UUCACACUCUCCGCAUCUCUGAUCUAUCAACUCUGAAAUCUUUGGACGGAAAGGGUCUUGGACACCUCACUUCUCUUCAAAAGCUAGAAAUUGACAGCUGUCCAAGUCUGGAAUUACUGCCAGGAGAGGAACUUCAACACCUCACUUCUCUUCAAACUCUAAUUAUUAGUUCGUGUGGCAGUCUCCAAUGCCUGCCAGAAGAGGAUUUGCCGUCAUCUCUUUCUCAUCUGAGUAUCUGGCGGUGUCCUCCCCUGGAGAAAAGGUAUAAGAAUAAGACGGGACAAGAUUGGGCAAAGAUAUCUCACAUUCCUUGCAUCAAGAUAGGAUACGAACUGAUCAUAUAAUAUGAGCUAUUCCAUAUUUCAUGCUCAACCCUCAACUCUCAAAUCAAAGUCAGGUGAGGUGUGUGCCUUCUCUUACUUUAAAAAACUGCUUCUCUUCUUCUAAUUGAAUACAAAAACCAAAACACAUAUUCUCUUUCUCUUCCAAAAACCCAAAUACAUGUUGGACAUUGCCCAAAUUUGAUCUCCAAAUUCCUAAUUAUUUCACGCUUUUUGUUAUUUUAUGGUUGCUGGUCACAAAUUAUAUCCUACUUGGAGUAUCAAAUGCUGAAUAAUUAGCAGUCUUUUUGCAGGACGACAUACCUUCUCUUGGCCCUUGGGGAGCUUUUCAAAAUUUGCAAGGUUUCUUUAUGUGGCAUUUCCAGAGGAGGGUCACAGGGCGGAGAAACAGAAAAGGUUUACCUGGAAUAUCUCAUACAUUCCUGCAUGUAGGCAUCAAAUGUACACCAUUUUUAGGUACUUUUAUAUGAAAAAAAUUGUAUUUGAGUCUCAUUUGCACUAGUUUAAAUCAAAUUUAAUGCCUAUGGAUAGUCUAUUAAUAGGUUCAUGCCAUGAAUUAAUCUUUGGACUUUCCCAGGUACUGCAGGUUUGUUAUUAAUGUUGUGGCUAGGUUGUCUUACGUUGAGGAGAGAGAUCGAUCAGCAAUUACAAAAUUGUUAGCGAAUUUAGUUUGUUUAUCAUCUCUCUCCUUUUGUUUGUUAAGUUUUGUUGUUCUAGGUUAAACCCUUGUCCCCGCAUUUCACAGCAACUCUGUGUUAUUCCACUCUGUUUAGAUUUCAUUUAUGUUGUGAUUCGACUGCUGCUGUAUUUUAGAUUUCGUUCAUGUAAUGUUAGGAUGUUUAAUCUCUGAUCUGUGGUGGUAGUUGAGUAGUUGAGUAGUCUAGUUAAUCCAGUAGAUAACUUGUCCCCUGUUUUGUAUUGUUUUUAUUUCUCUGGUAAUGAAAGCACGUUUCUUAUAAAUAAAUAAAAAAUAUUUCAUUGAUAUUCAUUGCUUAUUUUGAACUGCAGAAGCCUACUUUUGUCAGAGUCAGUAGAUGCCAGAAUGAAGUCAUUGCCUAAACACAUUGGCACCCUCACAGCCUUCGACAUUUUGGGAUAUAUGAUCUUCAAAAUCUUGUGUCAUUUGCCUCCCAACCUGCAAUAUUUUCAUAUUUUAAAUUGUGACAGACUGAGCCCUUUGGUGGGAGAUUACUGGGGUUUGCAAGGACUUGGUGGCAAUAUCUUGUAGACGUUUCUCAAGGAACAGCUGCUCAAUGCCACUCUUCGCACUCUAUAUAUUAUGGCCUGUCAGUCUAAAAUUCCUGCCAGGAGAGGAACUUGAACGCCUCUCUUCACUGCAAAGGCUACAUAUUUGUGGGUGUGACAAUACCCAAUUCCUGCCAGAAGAGCGUUUGCUGCCAUCUCUUUCUUAUCUGUGCAUCGACCAUUGUUUUGCCAUGUAGAAAAGGUAUCUCACAUUCCUUGCGUCAAGAUAGGUGAAGAAGUGAUCAUAAGGUAUGAGCUCUCUCUCCCUCUCGCUCACAUACAAAGUACUUAAACACUCAAUCUGAUUUCUAUUAUUAUUUUGCUCAGUAAAUUUUGUUUAAAUUUGCUUUAUUUCUCAUUGCGCUUGUUCUGCUUAUCACAACUUAUAUCCUAUUUAAAUCUCAAAUGCUGAAUAAUUAGCAGGCUUUUCGCAGGACAACAUAUCUUCUCUUGGAGAGAUAUUCAUUUGCAAGGUUUCUUUAUGUGUCAUUUCCAGAGGAGGGUUUACUAUUUAAUAGAAAGGUUCACCUGGAAUAUCUCAACUGACACAUUCCCAAAUACAAGCAUUGAAUGCACAACAUUUUGAGGUACUAUUUUUGUAAUAAAAAUGUACUUGAGUCUCAUUUGAGCUAGUUUAAAUUGUAUUCAAUGUCUAUGGAUAACCUGUGAGCUUAAGUAGUAAGAUAAAACUCACAGUAUAUUAUUAGGGUUUAGGGUUCAACAGGUGAGCUUUAGUUGUACUUUCCUAGGUACUGCAUGUAUAUUAUCUUCGUAUCAACAGGUGGUCUUAUGUGGACGAGCGAGAACAUUGAGGAAUUACAAAAUCUUCUUAGCUUGUUUCAGCUCUGUUUGUCAUCCCUCACAUUUUCUUUGUUAAGCCUUGAUUUUUUAUUAGACAUAAGAAAAAAUGCUUUUAUAAGACAGGAGAUGAAUGCUUUUAUAUGUUGAUGUCAUAGUCAGUCUUCAACCACACUCUGUUUUUAGAAUUCAUUUAUGUUACAAGUGGAGUGCUGCUGUAUUUUAUAUUUCGUUCCUGUAAUGUUUGGAUGUUUAGCUUGAGUAGUCUAGCUUAUCCAGUAGAUAACUUGUCCCCUGUUUUGUAAUGUUUUUGUUUCCUCUAAUGAAAGCAGGUUUUACUUAUCUUGAAUUGCAGAAGCCUACUUUUUGACAUAGGUGGCAUGGCACAAACUCGCAUCCGCAUUUCCUUCCCCAUUGGCAUGCUGUCUCAUCUUUUCUAUUCUGUUACCAGCUUGAAGCUUGUGUAGACAUGUUAUGCUCUUGUAAUUCUGAUCACAAACAUCACUUGACAAAUGGAAAGUCACAAUCAGAUCUUUCAGGUGAUCUGGAGGUUUACUUUCUAACAUUUGUUUUCGUGGGGGGGGGGGGGGAGGACAACAAUACAGAAUUUAAAAUUUCUGAUAAUCAAUAGUAGUUUGCAUAUAUCAGCUGGGACCUGUAUGACUGUAUUAUGUAAUUAAUUAUUCUCUUAUUGUUUUGGUACUGUUAAAAGGAGUUAGCCACACAAAAUAAAAAAGGAGGCCUCUUAUUUCAUACUAAUCGUCUGGUCCAUCUGCUGCUUCACUCCCUAGUAGCUUCAUCUCCUGUCCUUUGCUUUAUUUCUGUUAUUUAUUUUGAUUUCAUGUCCAUUGCUUCAUUUCUGUUUGGAUUCUUAAUUAAAUCUGUCCUGGACUUGAACAAGGGUUAGGUUAGCUGUAUAAUUUGCGGUUUUAUAUACACAACUGUCUACAUUGAUUAAAACCAGCAUUAUUCUAAGGUUCAUUUAGAAUGUAUUAUCACCAAAAUUAUAAAGUAUACUUCUAUUACAAUUAAUUUGUUGAUUCUAAUUUGGACUUGUAGGAACAGACCAAACAUGUUCAUAUGUGGCAUUGCUCAAGUCAUCAUCAUUCGGGACAGAGAAUAAGCCUUCAAAUGUCUGCUGAGUCAAUGAACCUUUCUAGAUAUCUCAAGUGUAAUGGAAAUUGAUGAGUUACAAAGGAUUUGUAAACAUUUUCUACUGGAGGCUAGAAAUGCUUCAAAUAAAUGACUGUGUUGCAAUUAUUUUGUAGGAUCAAAGACUCUGCAAAGAGGUAAGAAAGUCAUCAUCAAAUAACUUUGCUCUUCAAACUUUUUAUUUUUAUUUUUAAAUAUCAGUAAUAACUGGGAAAGCUUGCAUCUCCUUAAAUUGCUCAUUCUUACAUCUUUUAUAGUUUGUUGAUCUUGGGCAAGUGGAGAGAGAGGCGUCAAGUGAUACACAACAACCAUUUUCUGUGAGCUGAUUUGAUAAAGAGAAAUGGUAUGCUUUCUUGUCUUAAGCGGUGUGUUCUGCAAUUAUUUGAAACAAAGGAUGCCGCACUUCAAGUUCGAGAAAAUCAGGUAUUUUAGUAUUUUAUUCUUGAGAAAUUUGAUUUAUGUAGAAACUUGAACAUGUAAAUGAGAGAAAUAUAUAUAUAUAUAUAUUAUAUAUUGUAUAUGCUGUUAAUGAGUUAAUAUGGUGCUUGCUCCUAGUUGGAAAUUUAUGUAGUCAUCUACCUAUGAUCAAAUAAAGAUGAAAAAUAAAAUAAAAUUGAGAGCAUCUUCCUCUCCCCUGCUUUGCUCAUCCCUUGUUCUUCCACUUCAGCCCCACUAUUACACCAUUUUUUCAGCCACAAUUAUAAUAGCUCCAUGAGCAUAUUAACAUCAGUGGCCACAGUUCCAUGAUUUGAGUGCACAGAAAGGUUUCAAAAAUUGUCCCAAAAGUACAGUCGUUCAAAGUGAAAGAGAGUUUUCAAAGCUUAAUUACAAGUUCAUGUUAUUUACAAUAGCAAAAAGCUUUCAUUCUUGCUUACAAACUUGUAUUUCCAAGUUCUGUAAACCUUGGAAUUUCACUUCAUCCAAAUCCCCUUCCAAAGCAGGAAAAAAUGGCAGCAGCUUUGAUUGGAGAGGCUCUCAUCUCUGCUUCUAUCGAGGUGUUGUGUGACAGAGUUACUUCAGCCGAGUUCAUAGACUUAUUUCAGCAGAAGAACUUGAUGAAACACUCCUCAUGAACCUGAAGACAACACUGUUGAUUUUGUUUGCGGUGCUCAAUGAUGCAGAGGAGAAGCAAAUUGUGAACCCUGCUGUGAGAGAGUGGCUUAACAGCUCAAGCAUGCUGUCUUUGAUGCAGAGGACUUAUUUGAUGAGAUUGACACUGAAGCUUUGCGAUGCAAGCUGGAAGGUGAGGAUCAAACCCACAAUAGUUAACCAACAAGGAUCUUUUUGAUUGUUUGAAAGAAGAGUCUUUGAUGAUUUGAAAGGAGAGGGUUGCUUUAUUUCUGUUGGAUGCGUAAUUAAAUCUUAUUUGGAGUUGAACAAGGAUUAGAUUAGCUGUAUAAUUAGUGGUAAACGCCUUUUUCUAAGGGUCAUUUAGACUCCUAUUACGAUUAAUUUGUUGUUUCUAAUUUGGACUUAUAGGAACAGACCAAAUAUGUUCACACGUGGCAUCGCUCAAGUCAUCAUCAUUUCAGACUGAAAAUCAGCCUUCAAGUGUCUGUUGAGCCAAUAAACCUUUCUAGAUAUAUCAAGUGCAAUGGAAAUUCAUGAGUUACAUAGAGAUUUGUAAACAUUUUGAAGAUUGCAACACCUGCAAGUGAGAUAGGCGGUGACGAAAUCAGAGCUGAUUUUGAAGCCUCUGAUGCCCCUGUUGUUGCAAGUUGCACCUGAGAACAUGUUUUUUUUUUCUUUGGGGUAAAAAAACUGGCAACAUGUUCGGAGCUGACAAUUCAAUCCCUGAUGAACUAGAGAAGCGAAGCUCCGGUAAGGAAUUGGUCAAGGUUGUGACAGGGAUGAUUGAUGGUGAAAUGGAUGCUAUUUCUUAUUGCAGCCUGUUCUCAAAGUUCUUGUUGGCAAAUGCAAGAGAUGGAGUAUUUUGAUUGGGAGGAGAUAUAAUGACAUGGCUUGACAAUUCUAGAACAGCCCAUCAUUAAUCCCAGAAAAAAUCCAGUUUCUGCUAAACAAUCACUUAUGGCAAGGCCAACUCUGUAAAUGGAAUUUGUGAUCCCUUGAAAUUGUACACAUUUUUUCUUUUUGAGGAAUUUAAUCAAACAGUAUUCUAAUGUAUUAUGAUAGCACUACACGCUUUUGUUGUAACAAAUUACAAGGAGGAAUUUGGAUUGAGUUUCUUGUAUAAGCACACCUUACACAAAUUUGGUAUAUUUUCUUCCAGCAAGUCUGUUUAUUAACCCCCUUAUCUGAAAUUAAUUGUUAAAAGUUUUGAUUCAUCUUUAAUCAGUGUCUAACCCUUGUUGAAUAACACUCCUCUUUCUAAUUUAUAUUUGAAGUUUGAGGUUUCAAUUUCAAUUGUGGGCUUUGAUUUUACAGAUUUUGUUUGUCAAUUUCAGUUUGGACAAAGCAUAUGCAAACAAAAUAAGCAUUUUAUGUUAUACUUUUGAAAUAGGUGUUGAUUUGAUUUAAUCAUAAGUUUUGCUGGUGCAUUUACUAGGCUAUCAUUCAAUACUUUUGAUCAUAGAACUUCUUUGGUCGAUAUUAUCUUUGUUAAGUUUAACCAUAAAUUUAGAGAGGGGACUUCAACAGAUUUAUAAUCUCAUCAUUAUAGUAUUAAAAAUUAGAGAUUAAGGCAUUGUCUAUUAUCUGAAUUCUGCUUACUUUUAGUUCAUAUGUUUACAUCUUAGCAUAUUCAUGCGAUUAGUGCGGCUCAUACCACAAAGGCAACUUUAGGCUCAUCAAGUGCUAAGCAAUGUCAAGCUUCCAAGUGACAAGUUCUCUACAUAGUUUGAGACCUACACUUACUAGAUAUUAGAUCAUUUCGAUCAUUUCCAUAUGUUUAUAUGUAAUUGACAUGUUAUAACAAUUUUUGUAGCGUUAUAUAAUUAUUUAGCAAUUUAAUUAUUUCUUUGCAUCAAGAAAUAGUUCUUAAGUUAUUAAAAAAAAAAAAAAAGAUUUAAAAAAAAAGAUUUGUUGAUGCUUAAAAAGCAUCAAGAACAGGUAGUUUCUUGACGGUUUAGUGACGUUUCAUAACUGUAGGAGGCUUUUUCUUCCGACAGCUGUAAAUGGGCUGGGUUGCCGUAAAGGGCAGACUGAUGAAAUUGUCCCCUUUUGUCUGAGCUAGAAAAUUAAGCCCCAAAAUACUUCGAAAGGGCAGCAGAGCCUUAGGAAGUAUUUUGGUUACCCUCACCAACUAAAACAACAACAACUUACAGGUAAUUUCUUAAUGCUUACAGAUGAACUCUUGAGCUUGGCAUGAGAGACAUGUGGCAUGGAAGCAAAAUCAACAUGAGUUUAGCACUGAGGGGAAAUUUAGGCUCUCUUGGGGGAAAAAGGGAAGUGUUAAGGUGAGAGAGGAGAAGUUUGUAGGAGAUUUAGCUAAGAAAGGAGAAAUAUAGAACAAUGCUCUUCUGGCAGCUUGACAGAUGCUCUGUCUGCCAGAAAAGGAAGAUGGAGAAGAAAUGUGAAUAGUGCACGAGUUUGCUAGAUUUUUGCAGGUAAGAGAGGAAGCUUGCUCUCUGGGUCUGAGUUGAGUUUUGUUAGGUGGAAGAGACCUCAUUUUAUAGCUCCUGGAAACCAUCACUUCCCAAGAAACCCUAAUGGCUUCUACCCAUUUUGGCCAAGCUUUUCCAUUCCUUUCUCAUUUCCUUCCUUGACUUUACCCCUCUUGAUGAAAUCCUCUCUACCUAUUUGCACCAGAUCAGAGUUUUUUGAAGCUUAAGGCCCCCUUUUCCCGCAGUUGUCUCAAUGGGAGACUUUCAUUCCUAGUCAUUUCCUUUAUUGCUUUCCUUUCUUUUUUUCAUGGCCAAGUCUGGUGGGGAAAGGAGUUGGGAUAAAUAUGCUAGUUUGAAGGGUGCUUCUCUUCUUGGCAUCUUACACACUAAUACCCCUUGGUUCCUUGAAUGUUUUGGCUUUGAAACUUGCUCCCCUCCAUGUAUUGGAACCUCCCAGCAGCCCUGGUCAAUGAAUCUUCAGACCUUCUCUUCGUGGCUUUUAUUUUUUUAUCAACUGGCUAGGGCUUUUGUGGCUCAUUGGGGCAAUUGUAUGGGCUAAGGUGGUUCAUUAAGUAAGUGGGCUAUUUUUAUUAAACAUUGAGCUUUUUGGUUGAGUCACUAGGCUAUUUUGAUUGGGCUAUUGGGCUAUUGUUUCCUCUCUUGUGCUCACCCACAUGUUUGGACCAAAGAAAUGAGCUUGAGUCCUGAGGCUCCCAAGCGACCCGAGACUUUCCAUUUAUCGGUCCAUCAAUGGGCCUCAUGUUGAUUUAUUACCAUCCAUACCACACCCCACUCAAGCAAGCCCCGGGCAUUUGAGUGGCUUGGGCCCACUUAGGCUUGUAGUGUGGUUGGGUGCAAAAUAACGAUUUCGUGCUUGGCAUGUUUUAAUUUUAUCAUCCAUGGGAAAGGCUGCGAUGUUUGAUUUCGGCAUGGGCUUGUAGAGCUGGUAUGCUUUAUUUCAACUCCUAGCAUGACGAAUUAUUUAUUUAGCAUGGCACGUGAAUUACAACUCGCAUGUGGUGGGUUUUUGUGUACUACACCUUACGCCUCUUCUUAAUAGAACAUCGUUUCUGAUAAUUUAUUUGGGCCCAACCGUGAAUUUUUUGGAUCUCAAUAAUAACCAUCAUGAAACAUUACAUUUUGACUGACAUCAAGAAAUGGGGUAUCCCUUUCUUGAUAGUGGCAUCCAUGAUGCCUUCCAAGCCGUCAAUUAAGGGCUAUCGCGAUGCAUUUUAGUUGUCAGCAAAAGGUGUUUUUCUUGUACUAUAUUCACUCAAAAUCGUGUUUCAUUUAAGAUUAGUAGUAUGGUUGAAUACCAUUUGUUUUGUUAAAGAAUAUUAUACAUUAGGGAUUUUUGUAGAAAUGUCAUUUGAACUUAUACCUUAGUUUCAAUUUGUCACCUUGAAGAAAAAUUUAAGAGAAAUAUCACCUUAAUUUUUUAAAAUCCAUGAUUUGUCAUAUGACUUUAAGAUCAUCCAAUUUUCCAUCCAUUUUAAGGGUAUUUUAGACUUUUCAUUUUCAAGGAAAAAAAAGAGAUGAAAAAAGAGACCUCUCUCUUACUUUGUCCCCCAACCCAACCCCACCCGCCCCCAAAAACACAUCACAUAGGAUUGCCUCCCCCUUCCCCACUUUUCUUUUUUCUUUUUGUCAUACUUUUCCACUGUGUUUAUGUUGAAGGAUCUAAAGUUUGCUUGGUCACCAUCUUUUACGUAGGCUUCCUAAUUGUUGGUUUGGGUGGGUUGUGGGAAUUUGUGUGUGGAGGGCAAGGCUCUAUCUGACAGGACCCACCUCGAAUUCCUCGAAACCCGAGACGAAUCUUGUAGAAUUUCCGACAUCACACCGAUGCCGGGUCCACUUCUGAACUAAAUCCUCUUUUCCAAAAUUAAGGAAAAAUAGUACGAGGCUUUCUGCCAAAAUUUCGGCAGUCUUCCCUAUAAAUUUAACGUUUCAGCUUUGGAGGCCGUUCUUUCAUUUCUGCUUUGGUGGCCGGAUGAGAGAACGGCCGGCUAAAACGUGGCCAGCUGGCACUGCCGUCACGAGAGAGAGAGAGAGAGAGAGAGAGAGAGAGAGAGAGAGAGAGAGAGAGAGAGAGAGAGAGAGAGAGAGAGAGAUGUUUAUCAAACCAUUUUUGCCAAAAUUACGAUUAUGCAACUGAGGGUAUUUUGAUCGUAUCUUUUUCGUUAUAACUCCGAUUCAAGCCCACUACAUAUCUACGGACUCAUCUCGCCGUGCUCUAUGCAAUUGUAUAGUUGAAAUUCCCAAAUUCCAUCCCAGUCAAAAAGUCAACUUUAAACCUUAUAAAAUAUUCUAAGGGCAAAAUGGUCUUUUAUCUAAUUAAAUUAAUAAUUGAAAAUUUAUUUAGGACCGGGUCGUUACACUGUCGUUGAUGGACUGUGCGAUGGCACUCACACAAAGUCCUUAAGAAUAAAACACACACACACCAUGAAGAGAGUAAAACAAAUGCACAAAGAUUUAUAAAGGUUUGGCCUCCUGCCUACAUCCUCUUGGUGAUCCACCCGAGAAAUUCACUUGUACGUAAGAACAACUUUGGUUACAACUAAACCCCCUUAGCUUUCAUAAGAACCCUAGAUCUCUUUUCUCCCACCCUUGCUCCAACCCUUUGAUGCCCUUGUAAACACUCAAGAAUUCAUCCUUGAAUUCUAUCAUGUGUUACAUCUUCUCUUCUCCCCUUUGCCAACCUAACCCUACAAGUUAUAUUUAAAAUUCAUUGGACUUUAAGUACAAGUUAACUAGGAAUAGGAAACAUAAAAGACCCCAAAAAUUGGAGAAAAUAUGUCUAGAUCUCAUUAGGAAAUUGCACAACACGUGCGAUCCUCUCGAGCGCCUGCAAAAUCAUCCCUUUGCCGCUCGAGCUGCCGAUAGCUCAUGGGAUGGGGGAAUUAGAAAUUUUUUUUUUUCAAUUUUAAUUGUUUAAAAGAUAUACAAUUUAUUAAUAAUAAUUUUUCCAUUUUUAAAAUACCCUUGAAAAUAGAAAGAUUAAAAUGCCCUUAAAAAUGGAUGGAAAAUUGGAUGGUGUUAAGGUCAGAUGACAAAUCAUGGAUUUUGAAAAAUUAAGGUAACGUUUCUCUUAAAUUUUUCUUUACAGUGACAAAUUGAAAUUGAGGUAUAAGUUCAAGUUACAUUUCUGCAAAAAUUCUUAUACAUUAUGAUAUUCUAACAAUAAUUGGCUAAAAUUGAUAUGUUCCCUCUUUUAUUUUCUUUUUCUCUUUUCCUUUUCAUUUUAUGAUCCAAUCCUUUUCAUAUAUUUUUGUUCAAGACUUUGUUUUAUAAUGCUCUAUUACUAAUUUGGUACAGGUCCCUAAAAUCUCGGAGCCGCCUUAGUACAUUCAUAACGUACAUGUUCAGAGUUCAAGAAUAAUGUAUAGAAUGUGAAAUUGACGAUGCCGGCCUUUAUGAGGCAACAUCUUUAUUUCUUUGGUUAUUCCAGUUUAGAAUAUUUGCACAAAUGAGAUGACUCCAAGCAUAAAGUCACAUUCGACCAAAAAGCAUAAAGUCACACACAAAAAGAACACGGACAAUUGCUAAGUUUAUCCUUGUACCCUUAUUUUAUUGAUCCGACCCAAUUGAAAAAUAAAAAAAGAUGAUAAAAAAUAUUGUUCACUGCUUUAAAAUCUAUGAGUAGAGUCCUCCAUUUGAAAUUUGGUCAUUAUACAAAAUUGGAAUGAAAAAAGAAAAUCCUAAAGCUAUAUUUGAUAUAUUUCAUUUUCAUUUUUUGCUGGGUGUUAGGGCUCGUCAAUGGGCCGGGCCUGGCUAGCCCGGCCCGAAUUUAAUGGGCUUGGGCCAGGCCGGCCCAGGCUUUAAAGAGGAGAGAGAAAAUAUCAGGUCGAGUUUUUUAAGAAAAUUCAAAGCCCAAGCCUGACCCAUGAGCCGGGCUUGAGAAAGCCCAUCGGGCCGGGCCGGGCCUAAACGGGCCCUACUUCAUUCAAAAAAAAUCAUUAACUUAAUCAUAAGGUCAUUUUAGUCCAAAUUUGAGAUUAAACUCACUUAAUUCUAAUAUUUUUACUUCAAACCAAAUUCAUAAAACACCCAAUAAAGUCACACAACUUGUAAGAUUUUCCACAAAAAUAAUAAAACCAAGUAUUAUUUUUGAGGUUAUUACAUAAUUAGAUCGUAAUACGUUUUAAAAAAUAAUUUUUAAAAAUAAUAUUAAUAAGUAUCAAAAAAAUAUUUUUUUAAAGGAUGGUAUGAAUAAAUAUGCAAAUAUUUGGUGAUGUGUUCAAGAAAAGGAUGAUUAUAUUUGGUGGUACGAUUAUGUUUCGUGAUACGAUUAUAUUUAGUGAUGUGAUAUGUUGUUCAUCUUAUAUAUAUAUAUAUAUAUAAUUGUUGAACUAAUAAUUGACACAAAUUAAUGUGUUAAUCAUCCAAUUAUAAACUAGGAGUGAAUAAAGAAAAGUAAAUGAAAUGAAACAAAUUAUAUGUGUGAUUUAAGUGAUAUAAUCCUAAACCUAAACUCUUAUUUAUACAUAAUUAUAUAUGUAUGCGGGCCUAACGGGCCGGACUUUUGUGGGCGUGUCGGGCCGGGCUUUCUUGGGCUUAAUCAGGCUGGACCUAUGGGUCAGGCCGGGCUUCAAACACCCCAACACGAGCCUAGCCUAGCCCGCCUUGGGCCGGGCCAUCUCAAAGCCCAUAACGAGCCGGAUCGGGCUUUUUUCGAUUGGCCGGGCGGGCCCCCUCGACCCAUGAGCCCGCGGGCCAAAUGAUGAGGCCUACUGGGUGUUCAAUUUUUCUUGUUUCUUGUUGAAAAGAAAAAUGAUAAUUAAUAAAAUCUGAUUUGGUGGUUGUGCUCGUCACAAAUCAAUGAAAUGACAGCAGUGAUUUUGCAAGACAGCAUACCUUCUCUUGGGGUGCUUUUCAUUUUGCAACAUUUCUUUACGUGUAAUUUCCAGAGGAGGGUUUAUCAUUGUAUAUAGCUCUUCGGGUGGUUUUUUCUGCAAAACAAAUGUCACAAGGAAGGAGGAGAAACGGAAAAGAUUUACUUGGAAUGUCUCAAGUCUCCUUUGAGAUAAAGGCAUCGAAUGCACAACAUUGUUUUUGUGCUAUUUCAUAAUUAAAGUGUGCUUCCCAAGUCUCCUUUGCGUUUUGUAACUUGUAAUGUUUGUUUUUUUGUUUCCCCUGUUUUGUCUUUUAUAAAAGAAAGAGGAAUGCUAGCAACCUUCUCUCUAAUCUUCUCUUUUGGACCUUCUCCCUUUUCUUUUUGACAAGUGUCAUUUUCCAUACACUUAAAACAAUGACAUUAAUGCAUCACACAAUUUAGUUUUUGUUUUCCAAGUUUACCAUUUUAAAAUGUAUUGGCUUUUAUAUUUCCUUCAAUUAUUCACAUUUUGUUAUAACUUGUUUAGCACAUUAUUUUUUUUAAUUUAAAAAAAGUCAUAUUUUUUAAAAAUAAAAAUAAAGUUUGUUUCAUGACAUUGUUAUCAUUUUUAUUUUGUUUUUAACAAAACACGCAUUCUCUUUGGAAAAAUUAAAAAUUAAAAAACAAUUCAGUUUUUAUUUUCUUAUUUAAUUUUUAACAAGCUAGUAAGAAAGUUAUAAAAAAAAAUUAGCUUGUUAUUAAAAAAAAAUUAAUACAUUUAAUAAGGGUAAAUUUGGAAAACAAAAACUAGUUUGUGUGAUGCAUUAAUGACAUUGUUUUUAGUUUAAGGAAAGUGACACUUGUCAUGAGAAGAAGGGAGAAGGUCCAAAAGAGAAGGUUAGAGAGAAGGUUGUUAGCACUCCCCAUAAAAGAAAUACAGGUCUGAACCACACGGAUCUACUUGCAUAAUAAUGGACCAAAUUUAUGAUUUUUAGAAAGAACCUUCUACUGGUGGAAUCUUGGGCUACUGUUGUGGCUCUCCUCUGUGUGCCUCCUUUUUAGAAUGGUAAAAUAUUCAAAAUACCAGAAAAUGUUCAUGAUUAAUGCAAAUAUUAAGAAUUGAAAUUAUUAAUUAAAUGAAGAUAAUAUGGUAAAUUCACACUUUUUCAUAUUAAAAAAAUUAAAAUUAAAAGAAAUAUCAGAUAAUUACUCUUAUUUUUAUGGAACACAGCUACCCAUUAUCUUUUUUAAUUAUAAAAUAAAUUUAAAUUAUAAAAAAAAAAUCCUCUCACAUGCACGGAAGCGCGUGCUCAGAGGCUAGUUAAAAAUAAUGAACUUUGCUUCUGAUGUCUAUACCAGACCCACUCAACCUGCUUUAUGAUUAUACAAAGAACAAACUCGUCCUUAGACUCAUUUGGUUAAACUUAGAAAAUAAUGAAACAAAAAUAUACACACCCACAAGUAACACAGCCAGGAUUGAAAACAACUGGACAAAGAAAGGCAUGUUAAAACAGAAUUUUCAACAACUCAUCACCAUUAGACAAGAAAAAGAAAAAUCAAUACAGAAACAGAAAGAACAGAGAAUAAAUGUGGUGGAAGAAAAACGUUGAAGCCAUUUGUGAAUCCAACAACACUACCACUCUGUUUCUCUCCUUUUGUUCAGGCGGAUCUGCAUAUAUCCUAAGGCGUAUUACGGAAACAACUUCUUGCCGUUAUACUUGAAUGUUGUGGAUGCUUCAACGUUGCCAUCUGGGUGGAGUGGAUUUGUCCAAUUCACCUUCACUAUGGUUAAUCAACUAGACAGACAUAAGUCAGAAACAAUAGGUAUAUAGGUCCAAAUUGUUGUUAUUUGAAAGGCUUCUAAAUUUUAACAUUUUGAUUUCUAAAUUUUGUUUUAAUAUUUCGGCCCACUUAGUUCUUCUCAAAAUAUGUCAUCAAUAUCGUUGAAAGGUUGAACUUAGUGAAUUAUUAUAGUGCAGUACGGUAAAAUAGGCACAUGAUAUAAUUUGUCCACAUGUUCUAAUAUAAGUGAAUAUUUAUUGAUAUUAUUUUCAAAAAUAAAAAAUAUCAACCAUUACAUCCUCCCAUAUUAUAAUACAUAUACAAAUUAUACCACAUUAUCAUACUCUAAUACCAUUUUAUAAUUUCUCGUACUUAGGAGGUAUAGAGCGAGUCAAUGACAUUACAUAAUAUAUAAUUGUUCAUAUAAUGGGGCAACUAACGUGAUCAACAAGUUGUGGUGAUUAAUUUAACAUAAUAAAAAACAUACCAUUUACUAUGUAACAAUUUGUUCUUUUAAAUUGGAUUGUCAUCACUUUAAUAUGUUAUGUUUCUUAUUCUAGUCUCCCAUGUUAAGUGCUUCAGCAUUGUUUGUGGUGUGUACACAAAUUUUCUUAUAAAAUGUUUUAAUGCUUCUCACAUGUAUAUCAGAUAUAGACAGUUGAUGUGACUUAGAAAUCAAAUUGUCAAUAAAGAAAAAAAAUAUAAUUGGUGAUCGAGGUCCAAUUUAAUAGAAAAUAGUCUUAAUUUGUAUAUUAAAGGUUUCAGAUUCGAAUCCUCACUGCAUUAUUGUUGUAUGCGUACACGAGAAAUUCUAUUUCCCAAUAAUUUAGAUUAUCACUUAUACUAAAAAAAAUAUAUAUAAUAAGUUUUACGAAUGCAAACAUAAAAUUACACCAAACAAUAAUGGAAUAGAAAGAUGGAAGUUUUUUUUUUUUCCUACAUCUAAAGUAUACUUUAUAUAUAUAUUUAUUAUGGGAGUUAUAACCGUUUAAUUUUCAGUUUUUAUUUUCUAUUUAUUGUGUUAAUUUUUAUGGUUUAAUAUGUAUGGAGAUUACAAGUAUUGGAUGUCUAUAAAGGGCCACUCCUCCUUCACAUCUGAAACAAACCACCAUCUCAUUUCUGUAUUUUCAUACUUUCAUAUAUUUUCUACUUUCCAGAUUAUUAUUUUUGGGCAACGGUUUUGUGACUUGGAGAUUUCUAUCCGAUUGUUAACAUGCUCAUAACGGACCUUGAGCUUGCGUAUUGGGGAUCGUAUCUUGGAGCCUUGUAGACCUUUAUUACGUGCAUGUAGGGAGGCUACAAAUGCUUUAGGUCAGCGUCUUUGACGUACUUUUGCUUUCUUUUUUUACUUAUUUCUUCGUUUCUUUAUUUUUACUUUACUUUUAAAUCUUUAUUUUAUGUAUUAUUUAUAUUUAAAAGUUUUGAAUAAGAGUUUUACAGAAAAGGAAAAACACAAUUUCAAAUAACACAAAUUUCUCGUUUUUUGUUCUUAAAAAAGAAGAAGCAUUGAUUGGGGAGUUAUGGUAAACUCAGUUUCAAUGGUUGCGAUGAGAGGCGGUGGCGGCGAGGAGAGGACGAAGGCUUUGCUGCCGACGGGGUGGUGUGGCUGGCUGCUUGGUCCUGGGUUCUCCUUUAAUUCUCUGUUUUCUUUUUUCAUUUUCUUUUUCUCUUAGAGUUAUUGAUGUUAAGUGAAUGGACAGAUGCCAAAAUAGGGACAGAAGAUGUGAACCCAAUUAUAUACAGCUGCUGCUAUAGCUGAUUACAUAAAGUAACAAAUUAAUUAAUGCUUGAGUGGAGGACAGGCUUGAGUGGAAGAAUUGAUUAAGGCUUGAGUGGAAGACAAACUUCAGUGGAGGAAAGUAUAGAUAAGGAAAGCAUGCCUCGUUUAACGGCUUUAUCUAAUAAAGAUUACUUGUUGGCACUUGGAGUUUCUUAGGAAUGCUGGUUUUGUUUCCUUGGUGGACUUGAAAGGUGGUGCCUUGGCUCGGACAUCUCCCAAGACAUACAACUGCUCAUUAGCUGAAUAUCUCGCUCUCUUUAAAGAGAUCGAAGCAAACACAAUUUGCAAUUUGUGUGAUUCAAGCAUGAAUAUCUGAUAUAGUAACUAUACCAUUUGUUGGUUUGAUAAGAAAAGUUUGGUUAGCGAGGAUGAAACCAUAAAGUUCCCAAAACACACAAAGAACACGGACAAUUGCUAAGUUUAUUCUUGAGUUCACACAUAUUUGCACAAAUGAGAUUAUUCCAAGCAUGAUUAUACCAUUUGUUGGUUUGAUGUGAAAAGUAUGGGCAACGAGGGGUAAAACCAUACAAACACACACGAAGAACGUGGACAAUACUAAAUUUAUCUUUACGUUAUUGAUCCGACCUAACUGUAAAAUAAAAAAGAUGAAAAUAUAUAAUGUUCAGUACUUAGAUCUAUGAGCACUUGCACAAAACAUCACUUUUGGUCUUUGGUAAAUUUUUAAAAUAAAUGAAUUUUUUACUUAUUUGUGAACUGAAAUGCCUCUAAAAAAAUAAUGAUAGUUCGAAGAAUUUGAUAGAAAUUAAAAAAUAUCCUCAAAUUACUUGGAAUUGAAGACCACAUAGGCAAAAACACGAAAUUGAAACCUCACUUUAAUGAUAAAAAUGGUAAACUACAAAGACAAAAAUGACGUCUUGCCUUAUAAAUAAUUGGAAUUUGCUGGUGAUAAUAGUCGAUAUCAUCUUUUGUCGGUCCGACCUAAAAAGAAGAAAAAGUUAAAAGCAUCUUGUACCAAUUUUUGCCAAUGUGGGCCCAAACAAUUUGAAGAAGUCCACCGGCAAUUUCUCAAAAGCUAUUGUGUGAGUGUGAAGCUAAACCAAUAUUAUUUUGCAUAUCCGACCCCACAUCCCCAUGUGAUGUGAGGCUACAGAGGUGUUUCCAAAACGAAAUAUGAUAUUUCAAAACGUAGCUAUGUAUAGAGUCAUUUGUAUUUGCUUUCACAAUAACAUUUGAUUUUAUAUUUAUACAUUCUGAUAUUUUAACAAAUAAAUUGACUAAAUUUGGCCAACAGGAUUUAGCCGAAUAGAAAAGUUCUUAUUUAUGGACUAGUAAUUUUAAAUUUAAAAUUUAGACUAUCGCAUGUAUUUAAAAAAAACUAAACAAUUGGCUUAAUUUGAUAUAUUUCCUUUUUUUCCUUUUUGCAUUUUAUGCUGGUUGCCGUUAUUAAGUUUUAUCCUUAUUUUUUGUUGAAAAGAAAAUUGAAAAAAAUAAUAAUAAUUCCUACAGCUAGCAACUUCUCCACCUACAAAAAAUAAUAUUUUUUGUUUUAUCCUCAUGUGAGGCUACAGAAAAUUUUUGAAAACGAAACUGGAUAUUUUAUCUCUAACGACAGCUUUCAUACUUCGUUUACCCUGUGUUUCCAAGUUGUGCUAGCUAUUUGCAAACCUUGGAAUAUUACUUCAUCCAAAUCCCUUGCAGAGAAAAGAAAGAUAUGGCUUUGAUCGGAGAGGCCCUCAUCUCUGCUACCAUCCAGACGUUGUGUGACAAAAUUGCUUCGCCUGAGUUCACCGACUUAUUUCGGCAGAAAAAGCUCGAUGAACAACUCCUCAACAAGCUGAAGACGACGCUGUUGACCUUGUCCGUAGUGCUUAAUGAUGCAGAGGAGAAGCAAAUUGAGGAACCUUUAGUGAGAGACUGGCUUGACAAUCUCAGACAUAAUGUCUUGGCUGCGGAGGACUUACUGGAUGAAAUCGACACUGAAGCUUUGCGAUGCAAACUGGAAGAAGGUGAAGGUCAAACCCACAAUUUAACCAAGAAGGUACGUGAUUUUUAUCAACGCAUGAAUGUUGAGAUGAAAGAUUUAUUAGAAAGAUUAGAACAAUUUGUACAAGAGAAAAGUGCUCUUGGUUUGAGAGAAGGUGCUGGGAGGAAGGUUUCACGAAGAACAACAACUUCCUUGGUUCAUGAACCUUGUGUCUAUGGUAGAGAUGAAGUCAAAGAAAAUCUGUUGCCAAUUUUGUUAUCUGAUGAUGCAAGUAAGGAUGAUGUGUCUGUCCUCACCAUUGUUGGAAUGGGUGGGAUUGGCAAGACAACCCUUGCCCGACUGCUUUAUAAUGACGAUGAGGUGAAAGAACAUUUUCCACUUCACGCUUGGGUUUGUGUUACGGAAGACUAUGAUUCUAAUAGGAUAACUAAAACUCUUCUAGAGUCAGUCACCUCAAAGUCUUCUAAUAUGACAGAUCUAAAUUUACUUCAAGUUGAACUAAAAGAACAACUCAAGGGAAAGAAAUUCUUAUUUGUUUUGGAUGACCUAUGGAAUGAGAAAUAUGGUGAUUGGAAACGCCUCCAAACUCCUUUUACUUCUGGGGCAAGGGGAAGUAAAGUCAUUGUAACAACACGGAGCCAACAUGUAGUAUCUGUCCUGCAAAGUGUUCAUGUUCAUCACUUGGAACCCUUGUCGCACGAAGAUUGCUGGUUCUUACUUGCAAAACAUGCAUUUGGAAAUGAAAAUUGCAGUGAUCCAAACUUGGAAGAAAUUGGCAAGAAAAUUGCACACAAGUUCAAUGGGUUGCCUUUAGCUGCAGAAACACUUGGGGGUUUGUUACGUUGCAAUAUAGAUUCAGAGGAAUGGAAUACAAUACUAAAUAGCAGUAUUUGGGAGCUACCCUAUGAUAAAUGUGACAUUCUUCCGGCUCUUGGGUUGAGUUACCAUUAUCUCUCCUCCCAGUUAAAACGAUGCUUUGUUUAUUGUUCAAUUUUUCCAAAGGAUUAUGAGUUUAAAAAGGAAGAUAUAGUUCAAUUUUGGAUGGCAGAAGGUUUAAUUCCAAAAGCUGAGAAUGGAAAGAGCAUAGAAGCGGUAGCUAGAAAAUACUUUGAUGAGCUGUUGGCACGAUCGCUAUUUCAAAAGUCAAGCAAAUCCGGUUUCACAAUGCAUGAUCUCAUUAAUGACUUGGCCAUGUUCAUGUGUAAGGCAUUUUGCCUUAGGUUGGAAGGGGGGGAAUCACAUGUCGUAGAAAAAGUUCGGCAUUUUUCAUAUGCUAUGGAAAGAUUUGAUGCAGCUCCAAAAUUUGAGCCAUUACAUAGGGCUAAGUUUAUGCGGACCUUUCUACCCAUAUCAUUAAAUUUUGUUUCCACUUCUUAUGUAACUAAAAAGGUUCUACAAGAUUUGUUGCCGUCACUAAGAUGUUUACGGGUGUUAUCAUUGUCACAUUAUCAAAAUGUUACUGUGUUACCUGAUUCUAUUGCAAACCUCAUUCACUUGCGCUACUUGGAUCUUUCCGGUACCGCAAUUGAAAGGUUACCUGGGGUACUUUGCAAUCUCUACAACUUGCAGACAUUACUAUUGUCAAAAUGUUUCUCACUCCUUGAAUUGCCUGCAGACAUUAGAAAAUUGACUAAUUUACAGAAAUUGACAUUGCUCGGUUGUAGUUCUCUUAAUAAAUUGCCUGCAGGCAUGAAGGAGUUGACUAAUUUGCAUCAUCUUGAUGUCAGUGGAACUAAAAUUGAAGAGAUGCCGGUGCAAAUGGGUAGAUUGAAAAGUUUGAGAACAUUGACUGCAUUUGUUGUGGGCAAAUCUACUGGGUUAGGCAUAAGAGAACUGAGGCAGUUCCCGCAACUUCGAGGAAAACUAUCAAUUUUGAAGCUACAAAAUGUAGUUGAUGCGAGGGAUGCACUGCACGCCAAUAUGAAGCACAAGAAAGAUCUCAAGGAGUUAAAGUUUUCAUGGGGUGCGGAGGAUGCUGAUGAUUCCCAAAAGGAGAAAGAUGUACUCGACAAGCUCCAGCCUUGCGUGAAUUUGGAGAAAUUAUCCAUCAAAUUCUAUGGUGGAACCAAUUUUCCGAAUUGGUUAGGAGACUCGUCUUUUUCUAACAUACAAGUCAUGCAUCUCAGUGACUGUAGUUAUUGUUGGUUGCUCCCACCAGUUGGACGGCUACCGGCACUCAAAGAGCUCUGUAUAAAAAGAAUGAAGUCUUUGAGGACGAUUGGCGUUGAAUUCUAUGGCAGAAAUGGAGCUUAUCUGACUCAGCCAUUUCGAUCUCUGGAGAAGCUAGAGUUUAGGGGGAUGCCGGAGUGGGAGGAAUGGGUACCAAGUGGAAGUGCAAGUGGAGGUGAAUAUGGUCCAGACUUUCCUCGUCUCCAAAAGCUGAUUCUAAACGAGUGUCCGAAGCUAAGAGGAAGUUUGCCUUGUGAGUUGCCUUGCUUGAAGAAGCUUACGGUGUAUGGGUGUAAGGUUUUACAUGAUGGAAGGACCGCUACCGCAACUACCAAUAGUGUUAACUAUAAAUCUCUGGAAGAAUUGGAUAUAAGUGGUGGAUGCCAAACUCUGUUAUCAUUAUUAGAGACAAAGCUCCUGUCCCGACUUCGGAUUCGAAAUGUUGUUGACAUACAGUGCUUGCCCAACUGCAAUCGUCUUCAACGUUUGACUCUUUGCCUAACGCUGUCAUCGUUUCCCAAAGAUGGCCUACCCACUACAUUGACAUCACUUUAUAUAAACAAUUGUAGGAAAUUAGAAUUCCUACCUCAUGAGAUGUUGGCCAAAUUAACAUCGCUUGACUAUUUGUGCGUACAAAAUAGCUGUGAUUCAAUGAGGUCCUUCCCGUUGGGCAUUUUUCCCAAAUUGACGACGCUUCAAAUUCGUGGUUGUGAGAAUCUGGAAUCUUUUUCCUUGAUUGAAGAAGAAGGAGCUGUUGACAAUCUCAGCCAUCUCAAUUCCUUGCGUGUCUAUAACUGUCCAAAAAUGGUGUGUUUUCACGAGGGAGAAUUGCCCACUCCCAACCUGAGUCACUUUGUAGUCAUUGGUUGCGAGAAUUUGAAGUCAUUGCCCGAACGCCUUCACACCCUCACUGCCCUUCGAUCUUUGAAUAUAUGGAAUCUUCCGAAUCUGGAGUCAUUUGCAGAAGAUGGGGGUUUGCCUCCCAACCUCCGAUCUUUUAUCAUUAGGAAUUGUAAGAGACUGAGGGCACUUGACUCAGUGGGUUUGCAAGCACUUGUCUACCUUCAGAUCGAUGGAAGUGACCAUGUCUUGGAGACGUUGCUGCUCCCUACCACUCUUCACACUCUCUGCAUCUCUGAUCUAUCAACUCUGAAAUCUUUGGACGGAAAGGGUCUUGGACACCUCACUUCUCUUCAAACUCUAAAAAUUUACAGCUGUCCAAGUCUUCAAUGCCUGCCAGAAGAGGGUUUGCCGCCAUCUCUUUCUCAUCUGAGUAUCCGCUGUUGUCCUACCCUGGAGGAAAGGUAUAAGAAUAAAACGGGACAAGAUUGGGCAAAGAUAUCUCACAUUCCUUGCAUCGAGAUAGGGGAAGAAGUGAUCAUAUAAUAUGAGCUAUUCCAUAUUUCACGCUCAACCCUCAACUCUCAAAUCAAAGUCAGGUGAGGUAUGUGCCUUCUCUUACUUUAAAAAACUGCUUCUCUUCUUCUAAUUGAAUACAAAAACCAAAACACAUAUUCUCUUUCUCUUCCAAAAACCCAAAUACAUGUUGGACAUUGCCCAAAUUUGUCUCCAAAUUCCUAGUUUAAAUCAAAUUUAAUGCCUAUGGAUAGUUUGUUAAUAGGUUCAUGCCAUGAAUUAAUCUUUGGACUUUCCCAGGUACUGCAGGUUUGUUAUUAAUGUUGUGGCCUGAUAUUCGUCGUAUCAAUACGUUGAGGAGAGAGAUCGAUCAGCAAUUACAAAAUUGUUAGUGAAUUUAGCUUGUUUAUCAUCUCUCUCCUUUUGUUUGUUAAGUUUUGUUGUUCUAGGUUAAACCCUUGUCCCCGCAUUUCACAGCAACUCUGUGUUUUUCCACUCUGUUUAGAUUUCACUAGCAGGAGAGCCCGCGCGAUGCUGCGGGUUUUGAAAUUGUGUAGACAAAAUUAGAUUGUUUAUAUAUACAAUGAGAUUUAAUUUAUAACAUUAUGUUUAACUACAGGAGUGUAAGUUGCAAAAAAGUAUAUAAUAACAUAUUUUACAGGCUACUUGUUAUGGUAAAAUACUAUACUUGUUUGUAUAUACAUUGAGAUGUUUAUAGUAGGAAGUAGGCAUCAAAAUAGCAAAAGUUGGAUAGUUUUGUACAGAAUGUUAUUUAAUUGGGCAAGCUUUGUUUUGCACUUGCUUCAUGAUUUUUCUUCUCUUUCAUGGAAGUCUUGAUCCUGUUAUAAAAAAAAGUGAGAAAAUAGUAAAUGUUAAUAUUGAUGAAUGGGGGAAAUUGAGUUAGGACAAUAAUCAUAAACAUUUAAUUAUGUAUAAACAGGAAUAAUAUAAUUUAUUGAUUUAAUAAGAAAGUUAUAAAUAGUUUUUCAAUCUAGGAAAUACAAAGUUACAAAAUUAAGAGAACUAAUGAGCAAGUUGUAGAUGGUUUUCUAAUUGAAGUAAUACAAAGUAAACAUAUUUUAAAUUUUGUGUUUGUCUAAAAGAAAAGUUGAAGAGAGGCAAAAUAAUUAUGGUUGAAUAUAUGGAGAAAAGGAUGUCAAUAUAAUGUUUAGGUUUUUAUGUAUUAGGAAUAUAUGACUUUUUUGCUGUUAUUUAGAGCAAAAAUUAUUUAAGGGCUUGACAUUUCUGUUAAAAAACGGGUAGAAUCUACCCUGAAAAAUGGACAUUUUGCCAAAAAAUUCACCUGUAAACUAAUUAGUACUGAAUACCGAUUGGCGAAGGCAAGACAAUCAUAGUUGUGGAGUACAUAGUUAGAAAGAUGAAUGUGCAAACGUACAUCUAACCCCAUGAUAUACAUCUAACCCCAUGUGAACAUGAUUUAUUCUACAACAAUGAUUAUCAAUUUUCUAAUUGCUCAUUUUCCUAACCCUAAUCAUCACAAACCCAAAAUUAACUCUAAAAAUUUCAAAUAAGCAUGGUUCUAAACCAAUUUCUAACUUACUUAGCGAAGUCUUUUCUAUAAAUGAUAGUUGUUGAAGAAAAAGGGAAACGAAAAUAAGCUUUUAGUGUAUAAGUACAUUGAAGCAAAACAUGAAGAGAAUCCAAUAUAUAACUUCAAUAUAUAACUUUAAUUUUCUAUAAGUGUUGAUCUAAAUUUACAUCCCUUACCACUCUUCAAUUUAAAAAUAGUUUUAGCUACAACAAACAACUUCAGAGAGAAGAUUUGGCCCUGUUUUAUAAGGCAAAACCUCUCUAACCACAUGACAUACAUCUAACUCCAUGUGAACGUGAUUUAUUCUACAACAAUGAUUAUCAAUUUCCUAAUUGCUCAUUUCCCUAACCCUAAUCAUCACAAACCCAAAAUUAAUUCUAAAAAUUUCAAAUAAGCAUGGUACUAAACCAAUUUCCAACUUACUUAGUGAAGUCUUUUAUAUAAAUGAUAGUUGUUAAGGAAAAACGGAAACAAAAAUAAGCUUUUAGUGUAUAUGCACAGCACAGAAAUUGCAUGUAGCUUUCCGAUUUUUAUCCCAACUUCGUUUCUGUGGAAUCACAAAACUACAUACGCACAGCACAGGGAAGGGAAAAAAAAAAAAAGGCACAUUUAAGAGACACCUAUCUUCUCAUUCUACAUCACAUCCUCUUUUCCUAGCUUUCCAACCUUGCAACCAAAGCAAACAUCUUUCCUGAUAAAGGGUAGGAAAGAAAGUGGUUGUGUGAAUUGGGAUGAGAGAGACAGAGACAGAGACAGAGACAGAGAGACAAAGAGAGAGAGAGAAAAGAGAAAUCAAAGUAUAUAUAUAAAUAGUAAGUAUAGUUUAUAUCAUGCAAAGUUUUGAUGGUUUCGUUCAAAAAAAAAACAGGGAAAAAGUUUUGAUGGGUAAUUCUAGUAAUAAUGUUCUUAUAAUUCUAUAUAUAUAUAGAUAUCAAACUGUACUACCAUAUUCUUCCUAUAUAUACACUUGGUCGUCAACUACCUCUCUCUCUCUCUCUCUCUCUCUCUCUCUCUCUCUCUCUCUCUCUCUCUCUCUGUGACCUGCAUUUAUACAGAACCAAUUAUUCCAUCUUCACUAUACAUUUUCCUCAUCUUCCCAUUCAUAUUUUAUGGCUCUCUUGUUCUUCCUCCUAAUUCUUUUGGUCCCUGCAAGCAAUACUAAUUGGCCACCAUCACCUGGCUACUGGCCAAGUUCUAAAUUCAGGUCUAUGAGCUUUUAUAAAGGAUUUAAAACUCUCUGGGGUCCUCAGCAUCAAAGCUUAGACCAACAUGCAUUAACAAUCUGGGUUUAAUGAGGCCAGAAAAUUUUAAGAACUUAUCUACCAAGCAUACCAAACUGACAAAGCAAACCAUAUCUGUAUUUUAUCAUCAAUUUCAUCAAUUUUAUCACCAACAACAGAUAAAAAAAGGGAAUUUUUUCAAAAAAAAAAAAAAGGAAAAAACAUAAAUAAAAAAAGGGGCACAUUUAAGAGAGACCUAUCUUCUCAUUCUACAUCACAUCCUCUUUUCAUUUUGAAGCGGUCAUGUGUUGUGAGUUUCUUGUUUUAUAAAUUUUCAAAACUGUUGUUUAGAACUGCAAAAUUCUUCAUCAUAUAUCUUGCCUUCUAAUAUACAUUCUGUAUCAGGAAACUGGAAUGAGGCUUGCUCUUUGAGGAAGAGAAAUAAAAGAAAAAGUUGUGGCAAAGGUUCACGGAUGUAGUUGGAUUGUAGUGGGACAGAGAACAAAUUUAUUUGUUGCAGGGGAAAAGUCUCAUCCAAAUGCUAUGAAAUCAUGGCAACUUUAAAGUAUUGGACAGCAAUAAUGAAAGAAGAGGGCUAUGUUGGUGACACAGAUUCUUGCUUGCAUGAAUAAGAGGGAGAAAAGCCCCUAUGGUAUUGACUGUUGCCGCCAAGUGCAUAUUGUUAUUACUAUGCGUACUACAUCCCAAGGCCUCUCUCAGCAGGAUUACAAAGUAAACCAGAAUUACUAUCCCAGCAGUAUUCUGCAACUUUGCUCUGCACUUCCUUAUGUAAUCUCUCUCUCUCUCUCUCUCUCUCUCUCUCUCUAUAAAUAUAUAUAUACACACACACACACACACACACAUAUAUCUAGGCAUGCAUAUUUAUGAGUUCCCCAUUGAGGAGGGAUUCCCUUUUGAGGAUUUUAUAAUUAGAAUUAGACUGCCUUCUUAACCAAUAGUUGGGUUUGUGUGGUAAGGUAUGCUGGGUUUGUUGAUGUGGAUAUUUAUGCCUGGAGGUGCUUUGUUUUACUACUUCGUUGAAGUAGAAACAGACACUGACAAAGAAGCCCUUCAUUCUUUGUCUCAAUAGUGAUUGGUUUCUUUGAUCCUAUUCAUCAUAUCUGGUGGUGAGGUUGCCUAAUCAGCCAAAUGUUGGGUUCAACUACCUCUCUCUCUCUCUCUCUCUCUCUCUCUCUCUCUGUCUCUCUCUCUCUUUCUCUCUCUCUCUGUGACCUGCAUUUAUACAGAGCCAAUUAUUCCAUCUUCACUUUACAUUUUCCUCAUCUUCCCAUUCAUAUUUUAUGGCUUUCUUGCUCUUCCUCCUAAUUCUUUUGGUCCCUGCAAGCAAUACUAAUUGGCCACCAUCACCUGGCUACUGGCCAAGUUCUAAAUUGGCCAGAAAAUUUUAAGAACUUAUCUACCAAGCAUACCAAACUGACAAAGCAAACCAUAUCUGUAUUUUAUCAUCAAUUUUAUCGCCAACAACAGAUAAAAAAAGGGAAUUUUUUCAAAAAAAAAAAAAAAAAAGGAAAAAACAUGUUUAGUCUUUGCUUUCCAAUGUUUUAUCCAAAAACCUGAAAAUCAAAGUAACUAAAUAAAUGAACCCAAUCAUUCCUAAUUUCUAUUUUGUCAAAACCUAAUUAAGCUUCACUUCUUUUUUGCUUGUAUUUUAUCAUCAAUUUCAUCUAUUUUAUCACCAAUAGCAGAUAAAAAAAGGAAAUUUUUUCAAUUAAAAAAAAAAAAAACAUACUCAGUCUUUGCUUUCCAAUGUUUUAUCUAAAAACCUAAAAUCAAAGGAAUCAAAUAAAUAGGGUUUAGGGCUCAAGAACCUGAAAUCAAAAGAACCAAAAAAAUGAACACAACUCUACAUAGCACGAAAAAUCUCCCAGCCAACAAUCAAAUUCAUGAAAUAAAUACCAAAAGAUCUGUUAAAAAAUUGAUGAGAUGCAUACCUGAAAACAAAGGAUGCAACAAAGAUGGAAGCCUGAGUCGAAGCAAGAACGAUGGAAGCCUGAGUCGAAGCAAGAAAGAUGGAAGCCUGAGUCGAAGGUUGUAGAAAAGACGAAAUCUCCCGAUCCCAAAUCUGUGACACGAAGACUGAAAGCACGGCUGGAUUUGCAGCUCACCUCCCAAACAAAAAUCGACGGCCUUCAACGCAUCUCCAGCAACGAACACAACUCUUCCAUGGCUGCCCCCCAACCAGCUGGUUGGAAACGAACGGGAGAAAAUGGUUUCUCUCAGCGGACGAAACCAUCUCAACGAAGGGGGAGGGGCAAAAACGGGAACAAAAGAAACUGUUUAGUCAAGGGCAGUUUCGUCAUUUAACUGUGCUGCAGGAAAAAAAACGAAAACAGCAGAAAAAUGAGGGGCAUUUCCGUCAUUACACUGUGCUUAGCUACAGUGUUUAGUUGCAUUGGGUUUUAGUAUAUAUAUAAUUUAUGUUGUGAUUCGACUGCUGCUGUAUUUUAGAUUUAUAGGAACAGACCAAACAUGUUGAUUCUAUCACCAAAAUUAUAAAGUAUACUUCCAUUACAAUUAAUUUGUUGAUUCUAAUUUGGACUUGUAGGAACAGACCAAACAUGUUCAUACGUGGCAUUGCUCAAGUCAUCAUCAUUCGGGACAGAGAAUAAGCCUUCAAAUGUCUGCUGAGUCAAUGAACCUUUCUAGAUAUCUCAAGUGUAAUGGAAAUUGAUGAGUUACAAAGGAUUUGUAAACAUUUUCUACUGGAGGCUAGAAAUGCUUCAAAUAAAUGACUCUGUUGCAAUUAUUUUGUAGGAUCAAAGACUCUGCAAAGAGGUAAGAAAGUCAUCAUCAAGUAACUUCGCUCUUCAUACUUUUUAUUAGGGGUGGGCAUUGGAACCGCAAAACCGCAAAACCGAACCAACCCAAUCCGAAAAAAACCGAAAAAAACCGUGUUGACCGAAAAAGUCAAAAACCGAGACAAAUCCAAACCGAACCGGUUCAGACCGGUUCCGGUUCCGAUUUUCCACCUUAAGGAACCGGUCCAAUCCGAACCGGUCCAAUAUAAUUAAUUUUUAUAUUAUAUUUAUAUUUAUAUUUAAAAUAUCAAAUUUUGUAGGCCCAAACCCAACUAUUUCAUUAUACCAACAAAAAGCCCAAAUCUCCCAAGUCCAUUGCCCAAGUCCAACAAGCCAUAUUUUAAUAUCCUAAUCACAUCAAAUCUCACUUCACUCUCUCUCUCUGACGCACUCUCUCUUUUCCUCUCAGAUUUUUUUUACUCUCUUUUUCUUUCUUUCUUCUCUCUUCCGCCUCUUUUCCUCUAGGUUCUUUAACUUCUUUUUACUUCUUUCUUUCUUCACUCUUCUGCCUCUUUUCCUCAGUUUUUUCUUCUUCUUUCUCUCUUAUUCUUUCUCCUCUCAAUUCGUCUCCAUUUUUUUUCCCUCUCUUUCUCUGAUUUUCUGUUACUCUGAUUUUUUUCUUCUUGGUUUUAUGUUUCUCUCUCUCCCUCUAUAUCUCUUUCUUUGCAACUCUGUUUUUCAAUUUCUCCUUUUUUUUCUCUCUUCAUUUUUUGUUUCUCUGUACAUAUAUGUGUUCAUCUUGUAGAUCUGGGUGAAAUUCUUGUAGAUCUAGGUGAAGUUCUUGGAGAUCUGCGUUAAGUUCUUGUAGAUCUAGGUAAAGAGCCAAUUCAAAGCAGGUCAGCGUCUCUUAUCUCCCCAAUCCCUUGUGAAGAUAUGUAUUUUUUUUGUUGUCAACAAUCCAUUUUGGUGUUUUUAUAUGGUAUUGAUAUUUUCUAUGAUUUUGGGCUGAUUUGAGGUCUGAUUCUUUUUUUUUCUUUCAAUUUUUUCCUGUUGUGUUUUGAUAGACAUGUUCUCUAUUCCUGAUAUCAUUCCUCAGUGGCAAAAUCUUUGAGCGUUGUUGUAAAUUUUAGACGGGAAAGAAGCUCAUUCAUAAUUCAAAAAAAGAAAAUAAAGUUACAACAACUGACAAUUUGUUGCUCUUUGAAAUAGGUACUGAAGUAGCAUGGAUAAAAAGAAAGACUGAAGAUGUUGCAGAAGAUUGAAUAUGUUCUAUUUCUGUAAUUUGUUUGUAAUUAAAUUUGUUUAUUUUGUUUUGUUUUUAGGUUGUAAGUUUUAUUUUAAUGUUUGAUAUUUGUUGUUUUGUCAAAAAAUUGUAUUAAUGCUUGAUGGAUUCAUUCAAUUUGCAGUGCGUGGAUGUGAAUUGGGCCAAUCGGUAAUAAUUAGGCCCAAAAGGUUUUAAAUAUCAAUUGGGCUGAAACUUACAAAAAAAUUUAAGAACAAAAAAAAAAUCAAUUAAGCUGUGUGUCGGCCCAAACCGUAAAAACCGGAACCGAACCGGAUUCAAAUGGGUUCGGGUUGGUCCGGUUUUCUCAAGCAUUUUAGUAAAAAUCCGAACCGGACCGGACCGGUGAACAGUACCGGUUCCGGUUUUAAAUUGAUGCAAAAACCGGUCCAAACCGGACCGUGCCCACCCCUAUUUUUUAUUUUUAUUUUUAAAUAUCAGUAAUAACUGGGAAAGCUUGCAUCUCCUUAAAUUGCUCAUUCUUACAUCUUUUAUAGUUUGUUGAUCUUGGGCAAGUGGAGAGAGAGGCGUCAAGUGAUACGCAACAACCAUUUUCUGUGAGCUGAUUUGAUAAAGAGAAAUGGUAUGCUUUCUUGUCUUAAGCGGUGUGUUCUGCAAUUAUUUGAAACAAAGGAUGCCGCACUUCAAGUUCGAGAAAAUCAGGUAUUUUAGUAUUUUAUUCUUGAGAAAUUUGAUUUAUGUAGAAACUUGAACAUGUAAAUGAGAGAAAAAAAAAUAAAUAUAUAUAUAUAUUAUAUAUUGUAUAUGCUGUUAAUGAGUUAAUAUGGUGCUUGCUCCUAGUUGGAAAUUUAUGUAGUCAUCUACCUAUGAUCAAAUAAAGAUGAAAAAUAAAAUAAAAUUGAGAGCAUCUUCCUCUCCCCUGCUUUGCUCAUCCCUUGUUCUUCCACUUCAGCCCCACUAUUACACCAUUUUUUUCAGCCACAAUUAUAAUAGCUCCAUGAGCAUUAAGUCCCUUUCAAAUUCUGCUGACAUUCAAAAUUGGAAUCUGCUGGUGAUAUAUGAUAGCGUUAACAUAUUGUACCAUUUUGGCCAGUGUACGCAAUAUUAUUGCAUCCAACUUUGCAUAUUAACAUCAGUGGCCACAGUUACACGAUUUGAGUGCACAGAAAGGUUUCAAAAGUUGUCCCACAGAGAACAGUCGUUCAAAGUGAGAGAGUUUUGAAAGCUUAAUUACAAGUUCAUGUUGUUUACAACCUCAAAAAGCUUUCAUACUUGCUUACAAACCUGUAUUUCCAAGUUCUGCAAACCUUGGAAUAUCACUUCAUCCAAAUCCCCUUCCAAAGCAGGAAAAAAUGGCAGCAGCUUUGAUUGGAGAGGCUCUCAUCUCUGCUUCUAUCGAGGUGUUGUGUGACAGAGUUACUUCAGCCGAGUUCAUAGACUUAUUUCAGCAGAAGAAACUUGAUGAAACACUCCUCAUGAACCUGAAGACGACACUGUUGAUUUUGUUUGCGGCGCUCAAUGAUGCAGAGGAGAAGCAAAUUGUGAACCCUGCUGUGAUAGAGUGGCUUAACAGCUCAAGCAUGCUGUCUUUGAUGCAGAGGACUUACUUGAUGAGAUUGACACUGAAGCUUUGCGAUGCAAGCUGGAAGGUGAGGAUCAAACCCACAAUAAUUAACCAACAAGGAUCUUUUUGAUUGUUUGAAAGGAGGGUCUUUGAUGAUUUGAAAGGAGAGGGUUGCUUCAUUUCUGUUGGAUGCUUAAUUAAAUCUUAUCUGGACUUGAACAAGGAUUAGGUUAGCUGUAUAAUUCGUGGUAAACACCUUUUUCUAAGGUUCAUUUAGACUCCUAUUACGAUUAAUUUGUUGUUUCUAAUUUGGACUUGUAGGAACAGACCAAAUAUGUUCACACGUGGCAUCGUUCAAGUCAUCAUCAUUUCAGACAAAAUCAGCCUUCAAGUGUCUGCUGACUCAAUGAACCUUUCUAGAUAUAUCAAGUGCAAUGGAAAUUCAAGAGUUACAUAGAGAUUUGUAAACAUUUUGAAGAUUGCAACACCUGCAAGUGAGAUAGGUGGUGACGAAAUCAGAGCUGAUCUUGAAGCCUCUGAUGCCCCUGUCGUUGCAAGUUGCACCUGAGAACAUGGUUUUUUUUUGGGUAAAAAACCAGCAACAUGUUCGGGGCUGGCAAUUCAAUCCCUGAUGAACUUGAGAAGCAAAGCUCCAGUAAGGAAAUUGGUCGAGGUCACGACAGGGAUAAUUGAUGGUGAAAUGGAUGCUAUUUCUUAUUGCAGCCUGUUCUCAAAGUUCUUGUUGGCAAAAGCAAGAGAUGGAGUAUUUUGAUUGGGAGGAGAGAUAAUGACAUGUGUUGACAAUUCUAGAACAGCCCAUCUGAGUUCUUUUGUCAGGCUGCAUCAUUUAAUCCCAGCAAAAAUCCAGUUUUUGCUAAACAAUCAAAUUGUACACAUUUUUUCUUUUCGAGGAAUUUAACAUUACACAUUUUUUCAUUUUUUCAUCAAACAGUUUUCUAAUGCAUUUGUUGUCCCAAGUUACAAUGAGGAAUUUGGAUUGAGUUUCUUGUGUUAAUAACAUUAUACUUUCAUGGAAUGGUUUAUCUUCUUUUUCUGGACAAAAAUAUUUAGAUUAAUUUCUUGGAAUAAUUUUUUAAUAAUUUUUUAAUUGCAGUAGCGAAAAAAGGAAAAUUGUAUUUUUCAAAACCAAUCUUAAGUCCAGUUUCCUCUUCUUGGUCGUCACACUUGGAAAUUGCUAACCAUAUAUAACUUGGGGUAACAAUCUUAGUCCGAAUGUGUACGAUCUUAGUCCGAUCAAUGGCUACGCGUAUUGGCUCGGCCUUGGGGUCUACCAUUCCAGUGUACAAGCUUCCUGGGUCUUGGGGCAAUUCCUUCAAAUUGUACACAUGUUUUCUUUGAGAAGCAAGGCUCUAGUAAGGAAAUUGGUUAUGUAACAAAUUUUGGUCCCUUUGGAUGGAAUGAUUUACAAUGAGGAAUUUUAUUAUUAUUAUUUUGUUUUUGUUGUUAGUGUAAUGAAAAUGAUCUAGGUUCAUACACUGGGUAUAGCUCUAAUUUGGCCAAUUUCAUUAUUUUAGUUUCUUCAUAUUUUCAAUUAUUAUAAUUUGGUGCGUUGUUUUUUAAAAACAUUCAUGAGAAUCUCCAUUUUUUAGGUGUUUAAGUUAUUCAUCCACAACGGUUUUAUAAUACCGUCAUCUUUUCAAACACAACGAUGAUUUUUUAAUCUAUCGUCGUUGUUUUCUGAUCGUCUUUUUCACUUUUUGUAGUAGUGUCAAUAAGUAAGAUGAAAUAAUACAUUCACAAUCUGUUUAAAUUUUAAAUUAAAAAAAACACAAGAAAAUUUUAAAUAAGUAAGUAAUUUUAAAUAUAUAUUUCCAUUGUUUUGGUUUUCUUUUCAUAUUAGUUUUCUACUAGCUGCUAAUUUCAUUUAAAUUGUUUUUCUUACUUCAUUUAACUUUUAAGCAUGCAGAUGCAAUCAUGACUUCUUCUUUUUUUCAAUAGACUGAUUCUCUUCCCACAUAUAUAAUGCUCUCUAAGUAUUCGUAAUAUGAGUAGGAAUUUAUUUUCAUUUCACAAGAAUUGUCCAUCAAAUUCUGAUAGGUUUGUCGAUAGCACAAGCAUGCACAUAUAGACACUACAAGAACUUUGUUUCUUCAUUUUGUUUCCUAAAGAUUUGUUGGCUUCGUGCAGAUGAAUAACAAGUCUCUCUGUCCUCUAUUUCUUCUUUUUCUUUUUUAACAAUUCAUAUUCUACUUUCUGUUUUCACCCAGUAAAAAUUGAUUUUAGACAUGGGCUUCUAAAUUAUGUGCGGAUAAUGGUUGCAUUUAUAGAAUAUCCAUGGGCUUCUAGUCACCGUGGUUGUUGAUUCAGCAUGUCAUAUUACUCUUGGACUAGCUGUUGACACUACUACAUUUUACACUUUGCGCGACGAAGAACAAAACGUCGCGCAAAGUCGCAUUUAGUCGCCCCAAUUUCAGCGCGACAAAAACGUCGUCGCGCAUAUUCCGUCGCGCGAAGAUCGUGAAGAAAGCCUUUGCACGACGAGGUACAACCCUUCGUCGCGCAAAAGUGUGCGACGGGUAAACCAUCGUUGCACCAACGGUGUGGAGACGAAACAACCCUUCGUCGCAAAAAUAUUUGCGCGACGAUAAAUUAUGCGGCGCACGUAUAUUUGCGAGACGACGGGAAUUGCGCGACAAAACAUUAUUCGUCGCGCAAAAUAUGUAUGGGAGACGUAUAUGUUCGUCGCAGAACAAUUCGCGCGAUGAGAAAGUUUUCGUCGCACAUAUAAUUGCGCGACGAAAAAUUAUGUCGUCGGCCAAAUAUUUUGCGCGACGAAACAUUUCGUCGCGCAAAACGUGUUAUGUGUUCGUCGCGCAUGAAUUAAAAGUGAUAAAAAAAUAUUUGAUUUUUUUUUGUUACAUGUUGGUUUGCGCGACGAAAGAUUUUCCGUCGCGCAAAAAUAAUAUUACAAUUUUUUUUUUAUUUAUAUUUUUUAUUUGAUAUAAAAUUGGUUUCUUUUUAUUGAUUAAACAAUGAAAUUGCAAUAAAAAUAAAUUAGAAUAAAAUUUUGUUAUAAAAUAAAAUAAAAUAAAUGUAUUACAAAUAAAAUAAAUACACUAAUCAAAUAAUGAAUCAAAAUCAACCGAGUCGUCGCCAGUAUGCGGCUCGGAGGGCGGGGCGUUCACCGGGGCAGUGGUCUGGUGGGGAUGCCCGGGAUGGACGGGCUCAGAGGUCGGCGCAUCAAAAUGCGGGACUGGAAUGCCGGACUGUGCGAGGGACUGCAGAAUGACCGACAUCUGGCUCUGAAGAGUGGCCACCUGUGCUGUCAAAGCAGUGACCUGACUGUUUGACUGCGCCGAUGAACGAGGUCGAGGUUCCCUCCGCCGGGCAUUCCCCAUCCCUCGACAAUAUGUCCCCGGCCUCCUCCCGAGAGUCUGAUCCAACGUCUCCGUCAAUAUCUGAAAUCCAGCAUCCUGUGGAGGAGCCACAGACUCGAUCGGAGUCUCGGGAGGAAGCUGGGAGGCGGACUCCUGAAGAACAAGCUGGCUCCUCUCCACCAUCGUCGUCUGUUGAACAUAACAUAAAAUAUAAAUUAAAACAUGCAUAUAAAUUGAAUGCGUAACAUAAGAAUUAAAAUUAAAUAAUACUUACAUGAAGGGACUCGGCCAACUCAUUCCCGGGUCGAACAUAAACGUCACCAAAGACGUCGAUCUCUGGGAACUUGGACCCCUCCUAAAUUGAACAAGAGAAGAAAAAUAUUAGUAUGAAAAAAAUAAAUUAAUAAAAAUGACAUUAAAAAUGAAAUAAAAAUUUUGUGAUUAUUACCCGACGCCGUGCAUCCAUCCUAUAAGAAAAGGGUCUGGAGCCGGAAUGGUGGAGAAGGGUCUUCUUCUUCCUAUUACCCUUAUUCACUUGGGCUUUAUUCUGUUAUACAAAAAAUGAAACGUAUUAGUUAAAAUAUAAAAAAUUAAAUAAUAAUGAAAUAAAAAAAUAAAAUAAACAUUAAUAAGUAAUAAGUAAUAAUUAAACAAAUAUAAUUAAAAAAAUACCGCAAAUUCGGGCGCUUGAAAAUGAGCGCAGAGCCACUCCCAACUAUCCUCCCGCCCCUCAAGCUCCUUCGGGCAACCCUCCUGAAGAGCGACUUGCGGAUCAUCAUAGGCCUGAAAAUGGUGGUGCAAGUCGCUCUUCCACUGCUUGUACCUCUCAGCGAAGAGUCGGUUGACGUACGUCAACGACUCUUCGUCGAGAUCCUCCAAGUUAUAGUUCGUCUGCAAUCAAUUAAUUAGAUACGUUAAGUAAUAGAAAUAUACACAAUUUUAAAGAAAAAUAAUGAAAAUGUAAGGUACAUACCGACAACUGGCCGUGAAUCUCCGCCUGGAUCUCGUCAGGCAUGACCCUCCAAGACUUCCAUUGCAUCGGGCAAUGGGUCCGCACGACGUGGCCAAUGUCGUGGGCCAAGGAGCUAUGCAACUUCGCCGUCGGUGCAGCACGAUGGCGCUCGUCGUAUCCGAUGCUGAUACGACUGUUGGUCACCCGGGUGACCUUCGCCGUCUUCAGCUGACGACACGGUCCUCGGGUGUUCCUCUUCGCUGCAAAGAAAUAAGGUAUUAAUGUUAAAUAAAAAAACAUUGUCAAAUUUCAAUAUAAAAUUAACAAUACAAAAGUGUAGUUAUACCUGGCUGUGAUCCCGAGGCACCAGUACCGUCGGUCGAUGUCGUGUCGAUGGUGUCGGUGGGCCGGUGCCGCCGCCUAGCACUAGCUGGUUGCGCCACGGAUGACGCAGAUGACACAGGCGCCUGGGGCGCCCCGGGACCAACCACCACGUGGUCCAACAAAGCAGGAGCAGUGGCAGCAGAUGCCGACUGAGCCAGGGGAUCCGAACUCGGUGCAGUCGUCAUCGACCUACCACGUCUAAUCAAGUCUGACAUCUGCACAUAUAAUUUCAUUCAGAAUGUAAACUAAUUAAUUAAAAGCAUAGCCUGACCUAGGGUUUGGAAUUUCGGAGUAUCCGGGACUCCGAUCAACGAUCGGUCGAAUCCUAAACGAUCCUAGAAACACAAAGGUACAACUACGCGAGUUUCAGUUCGAUCCAACGGUCCGAACAUAUCAAACCUGGAAAUCGCACAAUAGGCGAAAUUCGAUCAAGACUCAAACGGUAACCAAAUUCAAAUCCGAGCAAACCUACGCGCUCGUGACAAACAGGGGAUCGCUCUGGGACACAAUGCCCCACUGCCACAGCAUCCCACGCGCCGGCAGCGCGUGGGUGUCCAAAGCGAUAACAUUCGCCGGAAAAUUCUAAAAACUAACGGCCAAGGUUCCUACCCUAGGUUGAAAACAAUAUUUGGCGCCACUUUUGUUCUCGGACCUACCCCGAAAAAUGGCCGGAAGUGGCCGGAUUUGAAAUUGCCAAACCGGCCAAAACCUAGGGUUUUAAUUCCUAUUUCCUAUACCCAUCAGCUAGAGCACAAAAAAUAGUCGAGAAAUCAUACCUCAGGCGUCGGAAAUGGUGGCCGGAGGAGAGAGAAAACGGCCGGCGAGGAAUCGGUGAAAAACCGACGAUGUGCGACGGCAGGCUCGACGGCGAAGGCAGGGGAGGCUAUGGCAGGAGCGGCGGUGGCUGAGGUGACGGCGGAGAGAGAGGGCUGAGGUGACGGCGGAGAGAGAGGCAAACGGAGGAAAAAACCAGAAAUGGGGAAGAAGGAGGCAUCGCGACGUUUCUGCAAAUUUUUACGACUUUGCGCGACGAAUCACAUCAUUCGUCGCGCAAAAUGCUAUUAAUGAAUCUUGCGCGACGCUAUAUCCGUCGCGCAAGAUCUGUCAGAACGCCAAAUUCUGAAAGUGGAUUAGGGUCUGUAAGUUUUGCGCGACGAAAUAGACAUACUUCGUCGCGCAAAAGGCUGUCUUUCCGCCAAAAUUUUGGGAUUUAGGGUUUAGCGGGAGGCUGAAACUGAAGGGUUUGCGCUUUUGCGCGACGAAGACGGUAAACGUCGCGCAAUGGUAACCUUGCGCGACGGAACGUAUUAUAUUCGUCGCGCAAAAGGCUAUCUUUCCGCCCAAAUUUUGGGAUUCAGGGUUUAGCGGGAGGCUGAAGGGUUUGCGCUUUUGCGCGACGAAGACACUAAACGUCGCACAAAAGGCUGUCUGCUGAAAUGAAUGGUUUCUGCUUUUGCGCGACGAAGACAAUAAACGUCGCGCAAAACGUUGUCGUUCCGCCAACAAUUUGGGGUUUAGGGUUUAGUGUGAAAACUGGCGCCCAGAUUGCGCGACGAAGAGUACAUAUUUCCUUCGCGCAAUCUAUUUCACUUUCACUUUGCGCGACGGAUAUGUUGGUUCGUCGCGCAAUCUUCAAGAUUUUCAUUGAAAUUUUCACUAAGUGUUCAAAGGGGAUGGAGGUGUGAAAACUGGCGCCCAGAUUGCGCGACGAAGAGUACAUAUUUCCGUCGCACAAUCUAAUUCACUUUCACUUUGCGCGACGGUUAAAUUGUUCGUCGCGCAAAAUGUAGACCCUAAACCCCCUUGUAAACCCUAAACCCUGAACCCUAAGCCAUAAACCCUAAACCCUAAAAUAGUUUCAAUGAUCCAACCGGCAAACUUAUUGUUUGAAACUUGGAGAUCAUAUACGCCAAAAAUCAAGAAGACCAAACAUUCAGAUAUCAGGGAACGGGACUAAAUAUUUCGACGGUUAUAAAUGAAAAGUCAUGAUUUAACGGUUAUUGUAACUCCGAUUUUGAUCAAUUUUGACAGCAGCAUUUGUUGACCCUAUAUGAAUACAAUGACUGAAUUUGAUCUUCAAUUUCAGAUUUUUACACUAGGGGAUACCACAUAAACGUGAAGUUACAUUUGCACAAAUGUAUAAACAAAUUUUAGGGUUUUUGGUGAAUAUAUGAUUUUGAUAGCACAUGCAGUCUACGAAACAAGUUUCAGUCAUCCAGCCGUCAAACUUGUUUUUUUAGACUUCGAGAUCAUAGACAGCAAAAAUCGGACAAAAAAAACAUUCAGAGAUUAAGCAACGGGGUAAAACUUUUCGACGGUUCUAAAUAAAAAGUGAUGAUUGAACGGUUAAUUUAACUCCGAUGUUGAUGAUUUUUUGCAGCUACAGUCCUACACUCCAUAUGAAUACAAUGAACUACUUCGAUCGCCAAUUUUAAAUAUAUAUGUGUGUAUAUAUUAUACUAUAACGUUACCUAAUAUAUAUUUGCGCGACGAAAGUUUGCUUAUCGUCGCGCAAAAAUGCCAUACGCGACGCAUGUAUAUAUGCGUCGCGGAAACUAUGCGCGACCAGUUGUAUUCGUUGCGCAAACAUUACGCGACGCUUAUGUAUGCGUCGCGUAUGGUAUGUUUGCGCGACGAUAUGGAGCCCUUCGUCGCGCAUGGAUUUGGCGCCAUAAAUCCUCAUUGAUUUCAAAUUGUGUAUGCUUUGUAUUUUUUAGAAAGGUUUUGUAUUCAUCAUUUUUUAUGCUUUGUAUUUUGUGGAAAGGCUUUGAAAUAUUCAUUUCUUUUGUUAUUUUUAUUGAAGCUUUAACUUGUUCUGUUCCGCAGAAAAUUCCAAUGAAGUUUGUGAUGAAAUAUGGAGAAUGAAUACACAACUACAUAUGGACAACUACACAUAUUCAAAGAUUUGUAUUACACAAAAUUAAUACACUAACAUAAUAAAUUUACAAAUAAAUUCAUUAUUCAUCAUCUGAACUAUAAUAACUUUCGUUAUCGUCGCUAGCUUUAACUUGUUCUGUUCCGCAGAAAAUUCCAAUGAAGUUUGUGAUGAAAUCUGGAGAAUGAAUACACAACUACAUAUAGACAACUACACAUAUUCAAAGAUUUGUAUUACACAAAAUUAAUACACUACAUAAUAAAUUACAAAUAAAUUCAUUAUUCAUCAUCUGAACUAUAAUAACUUUCGUAUCGUCGCUAUCAUCACUCUCGGUCUCCCAAUCUUCUUCCUCCUCCUCCUCUAUAACUGCAUCAUCGGCGUUGCUAGGGCCCACUGCAACAUCGUAUCGGGGAAGAUCACCGAGGUCAAUUGUAAUUGACUGAAUCGGUAUUUCGACUGAAGACACUCCUUCUAUUUGAAACGGUUCUUGUAUAACAUUUGUAUCUCGAAGUGUUUCCGCAUCAUUUUCCAUUGAAGAUUCUAAACGAUGGUCAGCCACAUUGUCGACGUCGUUGUCACUUGGGUCUAGUUCUGGUAUAUUAUACACGUUCCUAUGAUCCAUCUUCUGCACAACUUUCCACCCGUUCCCGGCUUUAGGGUCAUCUAGAUACACAAUUUGGGACGCCAUGUUUGCCAAAAUGUACGGGUCGUCAUCAUACCAAGUUCUGUUAAUAUUCACAGACAGUACUCCAUGGUCGAUUUUAACACUUCCCGCCCUAUUUGGGUUGGUAUCGAACCAUCGACACUUAAACAUGAUGACUUGGUAUCGAUCUUUGUAAAGCAAUUGCACGACAGUUGUCAGUUUGCCAUAGAAAUCAAUGUCUGUACUUUCGCCUCCACCUGGGACAUGAACACCGCUAUUUUGCGUACACAACUUGUCAUCUCGUGCGGCCCCUAAAAAUUUGACGCCGUUAACAUUACAACCCGAGAACAAUUCAGCGCGAAUUGGGCCGAACGCCAAGUUAUAUAACUCAUCACUGUAAGUGGGGGAAUUCGAUGAUUUCAAUUUAUUCACCUAAUAGUAUACAAAACCAUUUACAUGUUAGUCUGACAAAAUUAAAUACUAAAAUUUAUAUUUGUCAAUUACAAAACACUUAUAACUUACAGAAUCCAAAAACCAUUGUGGAAAUAAUUCACGGUGUUUCCGGGCAACCAAAUGUGAUGGAUGUUCUCGCUUCAUCAUCUGUUCAUGCUCAUCUAAGUAGGCCAUUAUCUCAUCACAAUUGUUCAGUACGAACCAAUGCGCUACCUCCAUGUCAUUUCUAGAAAACGACUCUCCUCGUCCAGGAUCUCCAAAUGGUCGUGCGCUUUGGGCAAAAACAGAAAGUUUUUCAUUUCUCAUACCUCCGUCAUUAUUGCGGUGAGGACGAUUGAAAACCGUCUCCACAUCUUUUAAAUACAUUCCACAGAAAGUAAGCGACUCAUAUUGAACCCAAGCCUCUAUAAUUGAUCCUUCGGGCUUUGCCCUGUUGCGUACACUUUUUUUCAGCUCUCCGAGAAGCCUGCCAAAAUAAAACGAUAUGAUACAAAUUAGCAAAGUGUCGAUAAUGAUGCAUACACAAAUGAUAAAGAUUAUAUACCUUUCUAUUGGAUACAUCCAGCGAUAGUUGACAGGACCAGCAAGCAAUGCCUCUUCUGGCAAGUGAACCAUCACGUGCAUCAUACUUAUAAAGAAAGCUGGAGGAAAUAUCAUCUCAAACUUGCAUAGGACUUGGACAAUGUCAUGGCGCAACUGAAACAUGUCUGUCCUUCGCAAUGUUUUUGCCGUCAGUUGGGAAAAAAAUCUGGAUAACAACAUGAUUGGCUUCACCACAUCUUCCGGCAGUAAGUGUCGAAUACCCACAGGAAGUAGGCGUUGCAUGAACACAUGGCAGUCAUGGCUCUUAAGUCCAGUAAAUUUACCCCCAUCGACAUUCACGCAACGUGCGAUAUUAGAAGCAUACCCAUCGGGAAAUUUGACAGACGAUACAAACUUUAGAAACUCCUUUUUGUCAUUCGGUUUCAUAGAAAAGAAUGCAAGAUCCCUUCUAGCUUUAUCACUGUCCCUAUUCAUCCAUAAACCCCUUCGUAUGCCCAUUCUUUCCAAAUCAAGACGAGCUUUGAUCGUGUCCUUCGUCUUCCCCUCGAUAUCUAGAAUCGUGCCCACCAAUGUGUCGAAAACAUUUUUCUCAACAUGCAUCACAUCUAGAUUGUGCCUCAAUUUCAGUUUCGACCAAUAUGGGCGCUCAAAAAACAUAGACUUGUGCGUCCAGUUCAAAUGUGUAGAAGGUCGGGUCCGACUAACUGUUUUCCCGAACGGAGCAAAAUCCAAACGGUUCAGCUGUUCCAAGAUCUCAUCACCGGACCAUUCUCUAGGUCUGAGGCGACGCUCUGUGUUCCCGUCGAACUCUUUAUCUUUUUCUCGCCACUCGUGGUCCCAUGGCAACCAUCUCCGAUGACCAAGGUAACAAACUUUUCCCGCGUGCCAACCAGAAGUUACAUCUUCCUUGCAUACAGGACAUGCCAUAUAACCCUUUGUGCUCCACCCAGAAACCAUUGCAUAUGCUGGAAAAUCAUUCACAGUCCACAUAACUGCUGCUCGCAAAGUGAACAUCCUCCCAGUUGAUUUAUCGUACGUGCGAACACCGUUUGUCCAUAAAUCCUUCAGCUCAUCAACCAGAGGCCUUAAGUACACAUCAAUUGACCUGCCAGGAUCCUCAGUUAUCAAAACAGUCAUCAUCAUGUAUUCUUUUUUCAUGCAUUUCCAAGGCGGCAAAUUAUAUGGGAAUGCGAAAAUCGGCCAAGUGCUGUGGUGUUGGUUUAGAACCCCAUACGGAUUGAAUCCGUCAGUGGCAAGUCCCAAUCUAACAUUUCGGGGAUCAGCAGCAAAUUCGGGGAACGUUCGAUCGAACUCUUUCCAUGCCUCCCCAUCUGCAGGAUGCCGCAUCACAUCAUCGUCUACCCGUUUUUCCUUAUGCCAUCUCAUGUCUGUGGCAGUAUGCGUUGACAUAUACAAUCGCUGCAACCUAGGUUUAAGGGGCAGAUAACGCAUGACUUUUUGUGGUAUCUUAGUCGUUCUAUUCUGGGAUGUCAGUUUGAACCUCGACUCAUUGCAUAUAGGGCAUGUAUCCAACGUUUCAUGCUCUUUGUAGAAUAACAUGCAAUUGUUUUUGCAAGCGUGGAUUUUUUCAUAACCCAAUCCAAGACCGUGCAACACCUUCUGUGCAUGUUUAUGGUCUUUCGGCAAACAAUUGUCCGUCGGAAGCAUUCUCUUGAAAACCCCCAAAAAGUAAUCAAAACACAAGUUCGACAUACGAUACUUUAUUUUUCCGUGCAUUAGCUCCACAAUGGCAGUGAGAACGGAAAACCUCUCGCACCCCGGGUAUAACUCUUGGUUGGCAUUUUUUAACAGUUUUUCAUACUGUUCAAACUCCGCACUGUCUAUUGGUGUAGGCACGUCAUCUUCCCCUUCCUGAUUGAUGUUGGUCGAUGCGAAUGGAAAAGCAUCCUGUAUAAUACCCAUGACUUGAUCAUUAGGAUCCACAAUAGGUUCAACAUUGUCCACUCUCGGGGCAUUUGAAGACGAAGCAUGGUCUACUUGUUCGCCGUGAAGGUUCCAAAUGCUAUAUGUUUCAAUCAUUCCAUUCCUUACUAAAUGAAAUCCAACAUUUUCAAUUGUCUCCCACAACGUGUUGUUACACCUCCUACAAGGACAACGGAUUCUAGUUGCACCCGGGUUGUGUCUACGUGCAAACUCAAUAAAAUCCUCGAUUCCAUCCAAGUAUUCGUCUGCGCAUCUAUUCGGGUUCUGUAUCCACCUUCUGCUCAUAAUUCCUGAAACCACAAUCACGACACAACAAUCACAACAACUUCAUACGAAGUUAUAAUGUCACCUUAUGCCUCCGGUAAGGGCCCUAUCCCAUUCGGGAAUGCAUAGUCCUGUCACGUAACCUACGGCUACAUGAGAUUAGAUUUCGACGUGGAUUAAUUUCAGCAGCAUCUCGACACAGUUCUUGAAGUGGGCAUAGGUAUAAAUACCUACGUACCACCCGAAGAACGUACCGAGAUGACACCGAAAUCUCCACAAUCGAAACCUAAUCCUGUAGCCGAAGAUUAUGUGACAACACUAUGCAUUACCAAACUGUCCAAAUAAUGGGACAAUUCAAGAAUUAAUUGGACCGCAGUCAUGCAUUACGCAUCCAUGCACGAAAUUCAACUAAUCUCGAACGGGAAACUACGUGUUACUAAACAUAAAAAUAAAAGUACGAAGUUAAUUUCAAUUAACUUCGUACAUCACAACACAUUGUGCUAUGUCACGCACAAUUUCACAACAUUAUACACAUAUAACUUCACAAAAAAAUUACAAACAUAACAAACAAACUUUUACAAUAACAUACCUUCUCAAUCGUUCUCCACCAAUCACAAAUAUCCCUAACGAUAACAAAAUUAAUAGCGUUACUACGAAUUUACAUUAAUACAUUUAAACUAACGACAAAAAAUACAUACCCAAUGAACGUACUGAAUUCACAGUAGAGCAACGGCAGAGAGAGUGAGAGAGAGGUAGAAUGCAGUGGGAGAGUGAGAGAGAGGCAGAAUGCAGAAACUGCAUUCUGCCUCUGCAAUGGAACUGGCUAAAAUGAAGAAGAAGGACUUUGCGCGACUAACAAUCCAAUCCGUCGCGCAAAAUGCCGUCGCGAAAACCCACUUUUCCGUCGCACAAAAAAACAUUUCCGUCGCGCAAUUACCUGCCGACAUCAGGUUUUUUGCGCGACGAAUACAAUUAUCCGUCGCACAAACAUCCGUCGCGCAAAUAACAUUAUUCGUCGCGCAAGGUUUAUAUUACGUCGCGCAAAUAACACUUAUUUCGUCGCGCAAGAAAUUACACUUUACGCGACGAAGGUAAUUCCGUCGCGCAAAAAAGUUUUUUCCACCCUGCAUUUUGCCGCCAAAAUUAAGUAACCCUCGUUUUCUUACGCGACGGUACAUAUUUCCGUCGCGCUAAGGCGUCUUUUGCGACGAAAAUGUUCGUCGCGCAAGAUUCUGGCGCCAAAAACAUAAACUGGGGAUUUUUCCCCGACCUUUGCUCGACGAAAUUAGUUUUGGUCGCGCAUAGAUUGUUUGCGCAACGAAGAUUGUUCGUCGCGCUAGUGUUCUGCUGUUUGCGCUACGGUAUUUUUUUUUCGUCGCAAUAGUGAUUUUUGCGCGACGAAAAUAUAUUCGUCGCGCAAACGUCCGUCGCGCAAAUAGUAAAUCGUAGUAGUGUGAUUUGGUUUAGACUUGGUUUAAUUAUCAUUGUUGUGGUUGGUUCACCAAAAAGAUUUGGCUUAGAAUUACCAGUUUUGUUGUUGGUUUAGUUAUGCUUGGCAUUUGAGGAUCCUAUGCUUACUUGUAUGGGUAAUACAUUUUAUUGAUCGUUUCAUAUACUAAUUAUGAACUUUUAGUUCCAUUGUGCAUUUAAGAGUACACAUAUUUCAUAUGUAAUUCGAAAGUUUGUCGCUGAAAUUUCUGAGAAUUUGAAACUAGAUAAGCACACCUUGCACAAAGUUCAUAUAUUUUCUUCCAGCAAGUCUGUCUAUUAACCCCCCUUAUCUGAAAUUAAUUGUUAAAAGUUCUGAUUCAUCUUUAAUCAUUGUCUUACCCUUGUUGAAUAACACUCCUCAUUCUAAUUUAUAUUCGAAGUUUGAGGUUUCAAUUUCAAUUGUGGGCUUUGAUUUUACAGAUUUUGUUUGUCAAUUUCAAUUUGGACAAAGCAUAUGCAAACAAAGUAAGGCAUUAUCUAUUAUUUGGAUCAUUUCCAUAUGUUUAUAUGUUUUUAAUAUCAUUUGCCUAUGUAGUUGACAUGUUAUAACAUUUUCGUAGUGUUGAAUAUAUAUAUAUAAUAAUUUUAUUUUAGUGGAUGUGAGAUCUCAGUUUGUUGCUUUAUAUAAUUAUUUCUUUGCAAUUUAAUUUUUUUUAUCAGUCAUACUAUUGUUGACGGCUAAAAACCAUCAAGAAACAACUCUUAAGUUUUUUAAAAAAUAAAUAAAUAAAUAAAGAUUUGUUGAUGCUUAAAAAGCAUCAAGAAAAGAUAGUUUCUUGACGGUUUUGUGACGUUUCAUAACCGUCAUGAAACAUUACAUUUUGACGAACGUCUUUCUGAUAGUGGCAUCCGUGACGCUUUCCGAGCCAUCAAUUAAGGGCUAUCGUGAUGCUUUUUAGUUGUCAGCAAAAGGUGUUUUUCUUGUACUGUAUUCACUCAAAAUCGUUUUUCAUUUAGGGUUGCUAGUGUGGUUGAAUGCCAUUUGUUUUGUUAAUGAAUAUUAUACAUUAUGGAUUUUUGUAGAAAUGUCGCUUGAAAUUAUACCUCAGUUUCAAUUUGUCACCUUAAAGAAAAAUUUAAGAGAAAUGUCACCUUAAUUUUUCAAAAUCCACGAUUUGUCAUCUCACUUUAACAUCAUCCAAUUUUCCAUCUAUUUUAAGGGUAUUUUAGUCUUUUCAUUUUCAAGGGAAAAAAAGAGAGGAAGAAAAAGACCUCUCUCUUACUUUCUCCCCCAACCCAACCCCACCCGCCCCCCAAAACACAUCGCAUAGGACCGCCUCCCCCUUCCCCACAUUUCUUUUUUCUUUUUGGCCUACUUUUCCACUAUGUUUAUGUUGAAGGAUCUAAAGUUUUCUUGGUCACCAUCUAUUACGUAGGCUACCGACUUGUUGGUUUGGGUGGGUUGAGGGAAUUUGUGUGUGGAGGGCAGGUGUUCAUGUUGUGUGCACCAAGACCUUAUCGUUGAUGAACUAUGUGACGGCACACACACAAACUCGUUGAGAAUAAAACAAACAUACCACCAAGAGAGUAAAACAAACACACAAGGACACAAAGAUUUAUAGAGGUUCGGCCUCCUGCCUACGUCUUUUUGGUGAUUCACUCGAGAAAUUCACUAGUAUGUAAAAAUAACUUUGGUUACAACUGAACCCCCUUAGCCCUCACAAGAACCUUAGAUCUCUUUUCUCUCACCCUUGCUCAAACCCUUUGAUGCCCUUGUAGACACUCAAGAAUUCACCCUUGAAUUCUAUCUUGUGUUACAUCUUCUCUUCUCCCUUUUGUUAACCUAACCCUAAAAGUCCUAUUUAUAAUGCAUAGGACUUAAGUUACAAGUUAACUUGGAAUAGGAAACAUAAAAUACCCCAAAAAUUGGAGAAAAUCUGUCCAAAUCUAGCCUGCAAAAUCAUCCUUCUGCCGCUCGAGCUGCCGGUGGCGCUCAUGGGAUGGGGGAAUUGGAGAUUUUCUUUUCAAUUUUAAUUGUUUAAAAGAUAUACAAUUUUUUAUUAUAAUAAUUUUUCCAUUUUUAAAAUACACUUGAAAAUAGAAAGCUUAAAAUGCCCUUAAAAAUAGAUGGAAAAUUGGAUGGUGUUAAAGUCAGAUGACAAAUCAUGGAUUUUGAAAAAUUAAGGUGACAUUUCUCUGAAAUUUUUCUUUUAAAAGUGACAAAUUGAAACUGAGGUAUAAGUUCAGGCGACAUUUCUACAAAAAUCCCUAUACAUUACAAUAUUAUAACAAUAAAAUUGGCUAAAAUUGAUAUGUUCCCUCUUUUCUUUUCUUUUUCUCUUUUCCUUUUCAUUUUAUGCUUUGUUGCUAUUGCUAUGUUUAUCCUACAAAUAUAGCAACUUCUCCACCAUUCAUUUGUUAGUGACUACGAUGCUUAGUAACUUCUUCAGCUCCCCUUAUUUCCAUGUACUAACCAGGGACACCAGGUCAGCAUCUUCGGUAAGAAUCCUAACUCAAUCAAACAAUGACAUCUGUAAAUAUUCAAAAUUGGAAUUUGCAUUGUGAUAGUUGAAAGCAUCCUUGUCCCAAAAAAAGCCAAAAAAUAAAAUAAAAUUGAGAGCAUUAAGUCCUUUUCAAAUUAUGCUAAUAUGCAAAAUUGGAAUUUUGAUGGAGUUGCUUCCUUGACUUUUCCACCUUUGUAUCCAGUCCACUUUGCACAAGGAGCCAAGUUUGAGAGAUAGUUUUCUGUAUUUACACCAUCCAGGAGAAAAUUAAAAAACUAUUUCAUGCCAAACUAACUACGGAUUCUUGCAAAGGACCCAUUAGUGUAGUGGUUUGGAGUAUUUACUCCCUCAGGCAAGGUCUUGGGUUCGAGUCCUAGCAUUCAUGUUGUGUGUGUGAGUUUAAUAUGCUAUCACCCCUUCCAAUAGGAAAGGACCUCAAAAAAAAAAAAAAAACUACAGAUUCUUUAAUUGAAAGAAACCCCAUAUUAAUCAUCCUUUGGCACAUAAAUGUUUGGUAAUUGGCAUUAAAGUAUCUAAAGGUUACGAAAUUAAAGAUUUUAAUGCAAACCUAAAAUUGGAAAAGAGGGCACCAAUUCAUGUAAAAUAUGGUGUACUUAGUAGAUCCAACAUAUUUUUUUAGCAACCAAGGACAAUCAUCAUUUUUUUUUUUAAGAACCAAGGAUAGCUUACAUUCUAGUUUGUCCAUCAUGUCAACACAUUUAUAAUUAAAACUUCUUUUUUGGUGAGGUUUCAAUUUUUGUCACUGUAACAAGACCACAAUUGCCAUUCAGUAUGCUAACAUUGUCACUAUGUUUGCCAAUUGCAUAUUAUCUAGAACAUAAAGGCUUUGGUGUUUUGUAUAUCCUCGGGGUGCCAAACCUGUCUUUAUAAAAAUGGUCCUUAUGAUACUACUUUAACAACAAAAAAAUAUAAUAAACUAGGCCUUUGUAGUCACUGAACGAAUGUUUUCUCAUAGAUAUGACUAUUUAAAUGUAAUUACGGGAUUAAAACAUUAUAAUAAAUUGGAGUGAACCAUAACAUUAUAUAUGAUCCAAUCCUUUUCAUAUAUUUUUGUUCAAGACUUUGUUUUAGAAUGCUCUUUUACUAAUUUGGUACAGGUCCCUAAAAUCUACGCCUUUAUGAGGCAACGUCUUUAUUUCUUUGGUUAUUCCAGUUUAGAAUAUAUUUGUACAAAUGAGAUGACUCCCAACAUAAAGUCACAUUCAACCAAAAAGCAUGAAGUCACACACAAAAAGAACACGGACAAUUGCUAAGUUUAUCUUGUAUCCUUAUUUUAUUGAUCCAACCCAAUUGAAAAAUAAAAAAGAUGAUAUAAUAUAUUGUUCACUGCUUACAUCCAUGAGUAAAGUCCUCCAUUUGAAAUUGCGUGAUUAUACAAAAUUGGAAUGAAAAAAGAAAAUCCUACAACUAAAUUUGAUAUAUUCCUUUUCAUUUUAUGUUGGAUGUUAAGUUUUCUUGUUUCUUGUUGAAAAGAAAAAUGAAAAGAAAUAAAUAAAUUACACAGCUAGCAACUUCUCCACCUUCCCUUCUUCCCAUGUACUGACAACAAGGGAGGCCUUCAAUCCAAAAUAAAGACAAGGGAUGCCAGGUCAGCAUCUCAGAUAAGUAUCCCAACCAAAACCAAUCAAAUAAUGACAUAUGUAUCUCUUUUUGUGUUUUGUUCUAUUUCUCUUUGAAUUAACUGCGAAGUUUCAUAAGCGUGUCCUCCUUUUGAAAUUGUGUAUUAUUCAAAAUUGGAAUUUGCUGGUCAUACUUGAUAUAAGCUAAAACAGUUUCCAACAUCUUGUACCAUUUUUUUCCAGUGUGGGUCAUAACUUGAAGAAGCCCACCGACAAUUUCUCAAAAGCUAUUACCAUCCAACUUUGAAAAAUAAAAGUUUCAAAAGUUACCCCAAACAACAGCCCUUGAAAGAGAGUUUUCCAAGGCUAAAGAUUACAAGGAUGUUAUUGGCACAUGCAUUAACGUGUGACAAGAAGUUAGUUAUAUUUAUAAAGUAAAAGAACGAAGUACAUAACAUGUAAGUUGAUGCCAAAUAUUUGAUCAACAGAGCUAAACAUAAAACCACGACAAUAUAACGUUGUUCACCAAAAAUUGUGUUUCGUUGAGGGUCAGUAGUGUAGGUUUCAAGAUACGAUUUAUUUUGUUAAAGAAUAUUCUGAUAUUCUAACAAUAAAAUUGGCUCAAUUUGAUAUGUUUCUUUUUUUUUUUGUUUUUGUUUUCCCUUUCAUUUUAUGCUUUGUUGUGCUAUUGCUAAGUUUAUCCUAGAGACCAGGGAUGCUUAGCAAGUUUCUUCACCUGCCCUUCUUCCCAUGUACUAACUAGGGAUACCAUGUCAGAAUCUUAGAUAAGAAUCCCAACCCAAUCAAACUAUGACAUCUGUAAGUAUUCAAAAUUGGAAUUUGCAUUGUGAUAGUUGAGUGGAAGAAUCGAUUAAGGCUUGAGUGGAAGACAAACUUCAGUGGAGGAAAGUAAUUAAUCUCACAAGACAUAGCCCAUCAGUUGGCUCAUUUUUCUUGAGUGUGUAGUCCUGGCCUUGAGGCGAGGCCACAUUGCUUUGGAGAUUUCUUUCUACUUGGUGAAAUUAUAAUUUAGAAGAAGCAAACUGCGUUUUGCAAUUUGUGCGAUUCAAGCAUAUCUGACACUAGUAAUUAGACCAUAAUCUUUGUCCGACCAGAAAAUAAGAAAAGUUGUCUUGUACCAUUUCUGCCAGUGUGGGUCCCACCCACCCCAUACGAGUAAUUUGAAGAAGUCCACCGACAAUUUCCCAAAAGCUUUGGCGUCCAACUUUGCCGACCCCAUCCCCAUGUGAGGCCAUAGAAAAGUUUUCAGCCACAAUCAAAGAAGGGAACAGUCCUUGAAAAGAGAGGGUUUUCCAAGGCCAAGAUUACAAGUUCAUGUUAUUUACAGUCUCAAAAAGCUUCCAUACUUGUUUACAAACCUGUAUUUUCAAGUUGUGCUAGCCUAGCUAUUUGCAAAUCUUGGAAUAUUUUACUUCAUCCAAAUCCCUUGCAGUCUGCAGAGAAGAUAAAAGACAUGGCUUUGAUUGGAGAGGCUCUUAUCUCUGCUUCCGUCCAGGUGUUGUGCGACAGAAUUACUUCACCCGAGUUCGUUGACUUAUUUUGGCACAAGAAACUCGAUGAGCCACUCCUCAGGAAGCUGAGGACGACACUGUUGGCCUUGAACUUGGUGCUCAAUGAUGCAGAGGGGAAGCAACUUGUGAACCGAGAUGUGAAAAAGUGGCUUGACGAGCUCAGACAUGCUGUCUUUGAUGCGGAGGACUUACUGGAUGAGAUUGACACUGAAGCUUUGCGAUGCAAGCUGGAAGAAGGUGAAGAUCAAACUCACAAAUUUACCAAUAAGGUGCGGAACUUGCUCUUUUCUCCUCGUAGUCAUUUUUAUCAGAGCAUGAAUGAUAAGAUAAAAGAGUUACUAGCAAGGUUAGAAAACUUUGUACAACUGAAAAGUGCUCUUGGUCUGGGAGAAGUUGCUGGGAGGAAGGUUUCGCAAAGAACUCAAACAACCUCCUUGGUUCUUGAACCUUAUGUAUAUGGUAGAGAUGAAGUCAAAGAAAAGUUAUCAAAAGUGUUGCUAUCUGAUGAAGCAGGCAAGGAUCCUGUGUCUUUCCUCACCAUUGUUGGAAUGGGUGGGGUUGGCAAGACAACCCUUGCUCGAAUGCUUUACAAUGACGAUAAGGUGAAAGGGCAUUUUAAACUUAAAGCUUGGGCUUGUGUUUCAGACUACGAUGAUUAUAUUAAAAUUACUAAAACUCUCCUUGAGGCAGUCACUUCAAAGCCUUGUAACACGGCAAAUCUGAAUUUGCUUCAAAAAGAUCUAAGAGAGCAAUUGAGGGGAAGGAAAUUUUUAUUUGUGUUGACCUAUGGAAUGAGAAUAAUGAGGAUUUGAACUACCUUAGAGCUCUUUUUAUUACUUUAGGAACAAUGGGAAGUAAAGUCAUUGUAACAACACGGAACAAAAAUGCAGCAUCUGUCAUGCAAAAUGUUCAUAUUCAAUACUUAGAACCAUUGUCGUAGGAGGACUGCUGGUUAUUACUUGCAAAACAUGCAUUUGGAAAUGAAAAGUGUAGUGCACAUUCAAACUUGGAAGACAUUGGAAAGCAAAUUGCACUCAAGUGCAAAGGGUUGCCUUUAGCUGCACAAACACUUGGGAGUUUGUUACGUUGCAAUAUGGAUUUCGAGUACUGGAAUAGAAUACUAAAUGAUAGUUUUUGGGACCAACCCUAUGAUAAAACUAACAUUCUUCCGGCUCUAGGGUUGAGUUACCAUUAUCUUCCUACUCAGUUGAAACGAUGCUUUGCUUAUUGUUCAAUUUUUCCAAAGGAUUAUGAGUUUGAAAAGGAAGAUAUAGUUCAAUUAUGGAUUGCAGAAGGUAUAAUUCCACAAGCUGAGAAUGGAAAAAGGAUGGAAGCAUUGGCUAGAAUAUACUUUGAUGAGCUGUUAUCACGAUCGUUGUUUCAAAAGUCAAGUAAAUUCAGCUUCAUUAUGCAUGAUCUCAUUAAUGACUUGGCUAUGUUCAUGUCUCAGGGGUUUUGCCUUAGGCUCGAAGAUGGGGUAUCCCGUGAAGUUAAAAGAGCUCGUCAUUUGUCAUAUGCUAGGGGAGAAUUUGAUGCUGCUCCAAGAUUUGAACCAUUAUAUGAGGCUAAAUGUUUGCGGACCUUCCUACCUACCAUUUGUUGUGGGCAAAUCUACUGGAUCAGGCAUAAGAGAACUGAGGCAGUUCCCGCAACUUCGAGGAAAACUAUCAAUUUUGAAGCUACAAAAUGUAGUUGAUGCGAGGGAUGCACUGCACGCCAAUAUGAAGCACAAGAAAGAUCUCAAGGAGUUAGAGCUUUCAUGGGGUGCGGAGGAUGCUGAUGAUUCCCAAAAGGAGAAAGAUGUACUCGACAAGCUCCAGCCUUGCGUGAAUUUGGAGAAAUUAACCAUCAAAUUCUAUGGUGGAACUAAUUUUCCGAAUUGGUUAGGAGACUCGUCUUUUUCUAACAUACAAGUCAUGCAUCUCAGUGACUGUAGUUAUUGUUGGUCGCUCCCACCAGUUGGACCGCUACCGGCACUCAAACAGCUCUGUAUAAGAAGAAUGAAGUUUGUGAAGACGAUUGGCGUUGAAUUCUAUGGCAGAAAUGGAGCUUAUCUGACUCAGCCAUUUCGAUCUCUGGAGAAGCUAGAGUUUAGGGAGAUGCCAGAGUGGGAGGAAUGGGUACCAAGUGGAAGUGCAAGUGGAGGUGAAUAUGGUCCAGACUUUCCUCGUCUCCAGGAGCUGAUUCUAUACGAGUGUCCGAAGCUAAGAGGAAGUUUGCCUUGUGAGUUGCCUUGCUUGAAGAAGCUUACGGUGUAUGGGUGUAAGGUUUUACAUGAUGGAAGGGCCAUUACCGCAACUACCAAUAGUCUUAACUAUAAAUCUCUGGAAGAAUUGAAUAUAAGUGGUGGAUGCCAAACUCUGUUAUCAUUAUUAGAGACAAAGCUCCUGUCCGGACUUGAGAUUCGAAAUGUUGUUGACAUACAGUGCUUGCCCAACUGCAGUCGUCUUCAACAUUUGACUCUUUCGAAUUGUCCAACGCUGUCAUCAUUUCCCAAAGAUGGCCUACCCACUACAUUGACAUCACUUUAUAUAAACAAUUGUAGGAAAUUAGAAUUCCUACCUCAUGAGAUGUUGGCCAAAUUAACAUCGCUUGACUAUUUGUGCAUACAAAAUAGCUGUGAUUCAAUGAGGUCCUUCCCGUUGGGCAUUUUUCCCAAAUUGACGAGGCUUGAAAUUCGUGGUUGUGAGAAUCUGGAAUCCCUUUCCUUGAUUGAAGAAGAAGGAGCUGUUGAGAAUCUCAGCCAUCUCAAUUACUUGCAAGUCUAUAACUGUCCAAAAAUGGUGUGUUUUCACGAGGGAGAAUUGCCCACUCCCAACCUGAGUCACUUUGUAGUCGGUGGUUGCGAGAAUUUGAAGUCAUUGCCCAAAAGCCUUCACACCCUCACUGCCCUUCGAUCUUUGUCGAUAUGUAAUCUUCCGAAUCUGGAGUCAUUUGCAGAAGAUGGGGGUUUGCCUCCCAACCUCCGACAAGUAAGUAUUAGGAAUUGUGAGAGACUGAGGGCUUCAUCAGUGGGUUUGCAAGCACUUGACUCCCUUGAGAUCAGUGGAAGUGACCAUGUAUUCUCUAUCACACUCUUCACAUCUAUUCUCUAUCAACUCUGAAAUCUUUGGACGGAAAGGGUCUUGGACACCUCACUUCUCUUCAAGAGCUAGAUAUUAACAGGUGUCCAAGUCUGGAAUUCCUGCCAGGAGAGGAACUUCAACACCUCACUUCUCUUCAAAAUCUAUACAUUUGGAACUGUCCCAGUCUUCAAUGCUUGCCAGAAGAGGGUUUUCCAUCAUCUCUUUCUCAUCUGAGUAUCCGCCGGUGUCCUACCCUGGAGGAAAGGUAUAAGAAUAAAACGGGACGAGAUUGGGCCAAGAUAUCUCACAUUCCUUGCAUCGAGAUAGGCAACGAAGUGAUCAUAUAAUAUGAGCUAUUCCAUAUUUCACGCUCAACCCUCAACUCUCAAAUCAAAGUCAGGUGAGGUAUGUGCCUUCUCUUACUUUAAAAAACUGCUGCUCAAUAACACUCUUCGCACUCUAUAUAUUAUGGCCUGUCAGUCUAAAAUUCCUGCCAGGAGAGGAACUUGAACGCCUCUCUUCACUGCAAAGGCUACAUAUUUGUGGGUGUGACAAUAUCCAAUUCCUGCCAGAAGAGCGUUUGCUGCAAUCUCUUUCUUAUCUGUGCAUCGACCAUUGUUUUGCCAUGUAGAAAAGGUAUCUCACAUUCCUUGCGUCAAGAUAGGUGAAGAAGUGAUCAUAAGAUAUGAGCUCUCUCUCCCUCUCGCUCACAUACAAAGUACUUAAAACACUCAAUCUGAUUUCUAUUAUUAUUUUGCUCAGUAAAUUUUGUUUAAAUUUGCUUUGUUUCUCAUUGCGCUUGUUCUGCUUAUCACAACUUAUAUCCUAUUUAAAUCUCAAAUGCUGAAUAGUUAGCAGUCUUUUCGCAGGACAGCAUAUCUUCUCUUGGAGAGCUAUUCAUUUGCAAGGUUUCUUUAUGUGUCAUUUCCAGAGGAGGGUUUACUAUUUAAUAGAAAGGUUCACCUGGAAUAUCUCAAAUGACACAUUCCCAAAUACAGGCAUUGAAUGCACAACAUUUUGAGGUACUAUUUUUGUAAUAAAAAUGUACUUGAGUCUCAUUUGAGCUAGUUUAAAUUGUAUUCAAUGUCUAUGGAUAACCUGUGAGCUUAAGUUGUAAGAUAAAACUCACAGUAUAUUAUUAGGGUUUAGGGUUCAACAGGUGAGCUUAAGUUGUACUUUCCUAGGUACUGCAUGUAUAUUAUCUUAGUAUCAACACUUGGUCUUAUGUGGACGAGAGAGAACAUUUGAGGAAUUACAAAAUCUUCUUAGUGAAUUAAGCUUGUUUCAGCUCUGUUUGUCAUCCCUCACAUUUUCUUUGUUAAGCCUUGAUUUUUUAUUAGACAUACGAAAAAAUGCUUUUAUAAGACAGGAGAUGAAUGCUUUUAUAUGUUGAUGUCGUAGUCAGUCUUCAACCACACUCUGUUUUUAGAAUUCAUUUAUGUUACUAGUUGAGAGCUGCUGUAUUUUAUAUUUCGUUCCUGUAAUGUUUGGAUGUUUAGCUUGAGCAGUCUAGCUUAUCCAGUAGAUAACUUGUCCCCUGUUUUGUAAUGUUUUUGUUUCCUCUAAUGAAAGCAGGUUUUACUUAUCUUGAACUGCAGAAGCCUACUUUUUGACAUAGGUGGCAUGGCACAAACUCGCAUCCGCAUUUCCAUCCCCAUUGGCAUGCUGUCUCAUCUUUUCUAUUCUGUUACCAGCUUGAAGCUUGUGUGGACAUGUUAUGCUCUUGUAAUUCUGAUCACAAACAUCACUUGACAAAUGGAAAGUCACAAUCAGAUCUUUCAGGUGAUCUGGAGGUUUACUUUCUAACAUUUGUUUUCGUGGGGGGGAGACAACAAUACAGAAUUUAAAAUUUCUGAUAAUCAAUAGUAGUUUGCAUAUAUCAGCUGGGACCUGUAUGACUGUAUUAUGUAAUUAAUUAUUUCUCUUAUUGUUUGGGUACUGUUAAAAGGAGUUAGCCACACAACAUAAAAAAGGAGGUCUCUUAUUUCAUACAAUUUUUCAAAUGUGAUCAUUAAUCCGUUUCUUUUUCAACAAUAGAGGAAUGUAUACUAAUCGUCUGGUCCAUCUGCUGCUUCACUCCCUAGUAGCUUCAUCUCCUGUCCUUUGCUUUAUUUCUGUUGAUGAAUGUUUUGUCUGGGUUAUUUAUUUUCAUUUCAUGUCCAUUGCUUUAUUUCUGUUUGGAUUCUUAAUUAAAUCUGUCCUGGACUUGAACAAGGGUUAGGUUAGCUGUAUAAUUUGCGGUUUUAUAUACACAACUGUCUACAUUGAUUAAAACCAGCAUUAUUCUAAGGUUCAUUUAGAAUGUAUUAUCACCAAAAUUAUAAAGAAUACUUCUAUUACAAUUAAUUUGUUGAUUCUAAUUUGGACUUGUAGGAACAGACCAAACAUGUUCAUGCGUGGCAUUGCUCAAGUCAUCAUCAUUCGAGACAGAGAAUAAGCCUUCAAGUGUCUGCUGAGUCAAUGAACCUUUCUAGAUAUCUCAAGUGUAAUGGAAAUUGAUGAGUUACAAAGGAUUUGUAAACAUUUUCUACUGGAGGCUAGAAAUGCUUCAAAUAAAUGACCGUGUUGCAAUUAUUUUGUAGGAUCAAAGACUCUGCAAAGAGGUAAGAAAGUCAUCAUCAAGUAACUUUGCUCUUCAAACUUUUUAUUUUUAUUUUUAAAUAUCAGUAAUAACUGGGAAAGCUUGCAUCUCCUUAAAUUGCUCAUUCUUACAUCUUUUAUAGUUUGUUGAUCUUGGGCAAGUGGAGAGAGAGGCGUCAAGUGAUACGCAACAACCAUUUUCUGUGAGCUGAUUUGAUAAAGAGAAAUGGUAUGCUUUCUUGUCUUAAGCGGUGUGUUCUGCAAUUAUUUGAAACAAAGGAUGCCGCACUUCAAGUUCGAGAAAAUCAGGUAUUUUAGUAUUUUAUUCUUGAGAAAUUUGAUUUAUGUAGAAACUUGAACAUGUAAAUAAAAUAAAUAAAAUAUAUUAUAUGCUGUUAAUGAGUUAAUAUGGUGCUUGCUUCUAGUUGGAAAUUUAUGUAGUCAUCUACCUAUGAUCAAAUAAAGAUGAAGAAUAAAAUAUAAUUGAGAGCAUCUUCCUCUCCCCUGCUUUGCUCAUCCCUUGUUCUUCCACUUCAGCCCCACUAUUACACCAUUUUUUCAGCCACAAUUAUAAUAGCUCCAUGAGCAUUAAGUCCUUUUCAAAUUCUGCUGACAUUCAAAAUUGGAAUUUGCUGGUGAUAUAUGAUAGCAUCUUUGUCCGACCAAAAAGAGAAAAAAAAAAAGUUGAUAGCAUAUUGUACCAUUUUGGCCAGUGUACGCAAUAUUAUUGCAUCCAACUUUGCAUAUUAACAUCAGUGGCCACAGUUCCAUGAUUUGAGUGCACAGAAAAGUUUCAAAAGUUGUCCCACAAAGAACAGUCGUUCAAAGUGAAAGAGAGAUUUCAAAGCUUAAUUACAAGUUCAUGUUAUUUACAAUAUCAAAAAGCUUUCAUACUUGCUUACAAACCUGUAUUUCCAAGUUCUGCAAACCUUGGAAUAUCACUUCAUCCAAAUCCCCUUCCAAAGCAGGAAAAAAUGGCAGCAGCUUUGAUUGGAGAGGCUCUCAUCUCUGCUUCUAUCGUGGUGUUGUGUGACAGAGUUACUUCAGCCGAGUUCAUAGACUUAUUUCAGCAGAAGAAACUUGAUGAAACACUCCUCAUGAACCUGAAGACGACACUGUUGAUUUUGUUUGCGGUGCUCAAUGAUUCAGAGGAGAAGCAAAUUGUGAACCCUGAAGCUUUGCGAUGCAAGCUGGAAGGUGAGGAUCAAACCCACAAUAAUUAACCAAAAAGGAUCUUUUUGAUUGUUUGAAAGGAGGGUCUUGAUGAUUUGAAAGGAGAGGGUUGCUUUAUUUCUGUUGGAUGCUUAAUUAAAUCUUAUUUGGAGUUGAACAAGGAUUAGGUUAGCUGUAUAAUUAGUGGUAAACGCCUUUUUCUAAGGGUCAUUUAGACUCCUAUUACGAUUAAUUUGUUGUUUCUAAUUUGGACUUGUAGGAACAGACCAAAUAUGUUCACACGUGGCAUCGCUCAAGUCAUCAUCAUUUCAGACUGAAAAUCAGCCUUCGAGUGUCUGUUGAGUCAAUAAACCUUUCUAGAUAUAUCAAGUGCAAUGGAAAUUCAUGAGUUACAUAGAGAUUUUUAAACAUUUUGAAGAUUGCAACACCUGCAAGUGAGAUAGGCGGUGACGAAAUCAGAGCUGAUUUUGAAGCCUCUGAUGCCCCUGUUGUUGCAAGUUGCACCUGAGAACAAGUUUUUUUUUUCUUUGGGGUAAAAAACUGGCAACAUGUUCGGAGCUGACAAUUCAAUCCCUGAUGAACUAGAGAAGCAAAGCUCCGGUAAGGAAAUUGGUCAAGGUUGUGACAGGGAUGAUUGAUGGUGAAAUGGAUGCUAUUUCUUAUUGCAGCCUGUUCUCAAAGUUCUUGUUGGCAAAUGCAAUUGAUGGAGUAUUUUGAUUGGGAGGAGAGAUAAUGACAUGGCUUGACAAUUCUAGAACAGCCCAUCAUUAAUCCCAGAAAAAAUCCCGUUUCUGCUAAACAAUCACUUAUGGCAAGGCCAACUCUGUAAAUGGAAUUUGUGAUCCCUUCAAAUUGUACACAUUUUUUCUUUUUGAGGAAUUUAAUCAAACAGUAUUCUAAUGCAUUAUGAUAGCACUACACGCUUUUGUUGUAACAAAUUACAAGGAGGAAUUUGGAUUGAGUUUCUUGUAUAAGCACACCUUACACAAAUUUCGUAUAUUUUCUUCCAGCAAGUCUGUUUAUUAACCCCCUUAUCUGAAAUUAAUUGUUAAAAGUUUUGAUUCAUCUUUAAUCAGUGUCUUACCCUUGUUGAAUAACACUCCUCUUUCUAAUUUAUAUUUGAAGUUUGAGCUUUCAAUUUCAAUUGUGGGCUUUGAUUUUUCAGAUUUUGUUUGUCAAUUUCAGUUUGGACAAAGCAUAUAUGCAAACAAAGUAAGCAUUUUAUGUUAUACUUUUGAACUAGGUGUUGAUUUGAUUUAAUCAUAAGUUUUGCUGGUGCAUUUACUAGGCUAAUCAUUCAAUACUUUUGAUCAUAGAACUUCUUUGGUUGAUAUUAUCUUUGUUAAGUUUAACCAUAACUUUAGAGAGGGGACUUCAACAGAUUUAUAAUCUCAUCAUUAUAGUAUUAAAAAUUAGAGAUUAUUUAAGGCAUUGUCUAUUAUCUGAAUUCUGCUUACUUUUAGUUCAUAUGUUUACAUCUUAGCAUAUUCAUGUGAUUAGUGCGGCUCAUACCACAAAGGCAAUUUUAGGCUCAUCAAGUGCUAAGCAAUGUCAAGCUUCCAAAUGACAAGUUCUCUACAUAGUUUGAGACCUACACUUACUAGAUAUUAGAUCAUUUCGAUCAUUUCCAUAUGUUUAUAUGUAAUUGACAUGUUAUAACAUUUUUGUAGCGUUAUAUAAUUAUUUAGCAAUUUAAUUAUUUCUUUGCAACUUAAUUUUUUUUGUCAAUCAUACUAUUGUUGACUGCUAAAAACCAUCAAGAAAUAGUUCUCAAGUUAUAAAAAAAAAAAAAUUUUAAAAAAGAUUUGUUGAUGCUUAAAAAGCAUCAAGAACAGAUAGUUUCUUGACGGUUUUGUGACAUUUCAUAACUGUAGGGGGCUUUUUCUUCCGACAGCUGUAAAUGGGCUGGGCUGCCGUAAAGGGCAGACUGAUGAAAUUGUCCCCUUUUGUAUGAGCUCAAAAAUUAAGCCCCAAAAUACUUUGAAAGGGCAGCAGAGCCUUAGGAAGUAUUUUGGUUACCCUCACCAACUAAAACAACAACAACUUACAGGUAAUUACUUAAUGCUUAUGGAUGAACUCUUGAGCUUGGCAUGAGAGACAUAUGGCAUGGAAGCAAAAUCAACAUGAGUUUAGCACUGAGGGGAAAUUUAGGCUCUCUUGGGGGAAAAAGGGAAGUGUUAAGGUGAGAGAGGAGAAGUUUGUAGGAGAUUUAGCUAAGAAAGGAGAAAUAUAGAACAAUGCUCUUUUGGCAGCUUGACAGAUGCUCUGUUUGCCAGAAAAGGAAGAUGGAGAAGAAAUGUGAAUAGUGCAAGAGUUUGCUAGAUUUUUGCAGGUAAGAGAGGAAGCUUGCUCUCUGGGUCUGAGUUGAGUUUUUUUGUGUGGAAGAGACCUCAUUUUAUAGCCCUUGGAAACCAUCACUUCCCAAGAAACCCUAAUGGCUUCUACCCAUUUUGGCCAAGCUUUUCCCUUCCUUUCUCAUUUCCUUCCUUGACUUUACCCCUCUUGAUGAAAUCCCCUCUGCCUAUUUGCACCAUAUCAGAGUUUUUUGAAGCUCAAGGCCCCUUUUUCCCGCAGUUGUCUCAAUGGGAGACUUCCAUUCCCAGUCAUCUCCUUUAUUGCUUUCCUUUCUUUUUUUCAUGGCCAAGUUUGGUGGGGAAAGGAGUUGGGAUAUAUAUGCUGGUUUGAAGGGUGCUUCUCUUCCUGGCAUCUUACACACUAAUACCCCUUGGUUCCUUGAAUGUUUUGGCUUUGAAACUUGCUCUCCCCCCCCCCCCCCCCCCCCCCAUGUACUGGAACCUACCAGCAGCUCUAUUCAAUGAAUCUUCAGACCUUCUCUUCGUGGCUUUUAUUUUUUAUCAACGGGCUGGGGCUUUUGUGGCUCAUUGUGGCAAUUGUAUGGGCUAAGGUGGUUCAUUAAGUAAGUGGGCUAUUUUUAUUAAACAUUAGGCUUUUUGGUUGAGUCACUAGGCUAUUUUGAUUGGGCUAUUGGGCUAUUUUUUUCCUCUCUUGUGCUCACCCACAUGUUUGGACCAAAGAAAUGAGCUUGAGUCCUGAGGCUCCCAAGCGACCCGAGACUUUCCAUUUCUGGCCCAUCAAUGGGCCUCAUGUUGAUUUAUUACCAUCCAUACCACAACCCACUCAAGCAGGCUCCGGGCAUUUGAAUGACUUGGGCGCACUUAGGCUUGUAGUGUGGUUGGGUGCGAAAUAACGAUUUCGUGCUUGGCAUGUUUUAAUUUUAUCAUCCUUGGGAAAGGCUGCGAUGUUUGAUUUCGGCAUGGGCUUGUAGAGCUGGUAUGCUUUAUUUCAACUCCUAGCAUGACGAAUUAUUUAUUUAGCAUGGCACGUGAAUUACAACUCGCAUGUGGUGGGUUUUUGUGUACUACACCUUACGCCUCUUCUUAAUAGAACAUCGUUUUGGGCUGAUAAUUUAUUCGGGCCAAACCGUGAAUUUUUUGGGUCUCAAUAAUAACCAUCAUGAAACAUUACAUUUUGACUGACGUCAAGAAAUGGGGUAUCCCUUUCCUGAUAGUGGCAUCCAUGAUGCCUUCCAAGCAGUCAAUUAAGGGCUAUCGUGAUGCAUUUUAGUUGUCAGCAAAAGGUGUUUUUCUUGUACUGUAUUCACUCAAAGUCGUGUUUCAUUUAAGAUUAGUAGUAUGGUUGAAUACCAUUUGUUUUGUUAAAGAAUAUUAUACAUUAGGGAUUUUUGUAGAAAUGUCAUUUGAACUUAUACCUUAGUUUCAAUUUGUCACCUUGAAGAAAAAUUUAAGAGAAAUGUCACCUUAAUUUUUAAAAAUCCAUGAUUUGUCAUAUGACUUUAAAAUCAUCCAAUUUUCCAUCCAUUUUAAGGGUAUUUUAGUCUUUUCAUUUUGAAGGAAAAAAAAGAGAUGAAAAAAGAGACCUCUCUCUUACUUUGUCCCUCAACCCAACCCCACCCGCCCCCCAAAACACAUCACAUAGGAUUGCCUCCCCCUUCCCCACUUUUCUUUUUUCUUUUUGUCCUACUUUUCCACUAUGUUUAUGUUGAAGGAUCUAAAGUUUGCUUGGUCACCAUCUGUUACGUAGGCUUCCCAAUUGUUAGUUUGGGUGGGUUGUGGGAAUUUGUGUGCUCGAAACCCGAGACGAAUCUUGUGGAAUUCCCGACAUCACACCGAUGCCGGGCCCACUUCUGAACUAAAUUCUCUUUUCCAAAAUUAAGGAAAAAGAGUACGAGGCUUUCUGCCGAAAUUUCGACAGAGUAUUCCCUAUAAAUUUAACAUUUCAGCUUUGGUGGCCGUUCUCUCAUUUCAGCUUUGGUGGCCGGAUGAGAGAACGGUCGGCUAAAACGUGGCCAGCUGGCACUGCCGUCGCGAGAGAGAGAGAGAGAGAGAGAGAGAGAGAUUUUUAUCAAAUCAUUUUUGCCAAAAUUACGAUUAUGCAACUGAGGGUAUUUUGAUCGUAUCUUUUUCAUUAUAACUCUGAUUCAAGCCCACUACGUGUUUACGGACUCAUCUCGCCGUGCUCUAUGCAAUUGUAUAGUUGAAAUUCCCAAAUUCCACCCCAGUCAAAAAUUCAACUUUAAACCCUACAAAAUAUUAUAGGGGCAAAAUGGUCUUUUAUCUAAUUAAAUUAAUAAUUGAAAAUUUAUUUAGGACCGGGUUGUUACACUGUCGUUGAUGGACUGUGCGAUGACACUCACACAAAGUCCUUGAGAAUAAAACACACACACACCAUGAAGAGAGUAAAACAAAUACACAAGUACACAAAGAUUUAUAAAGGUUUGGCCUUCUGCCUACGUCCUCUUGGUGAUCCACCCGAGAAAUUCACUAGUACGUAAGAACAACUUUGGUUACAACUAAACCCCCUUAGCUUUCAUAAGAACCCUAGAUCUCUUUUCUCCCACCCUUGCUCCAACCCUUUGAUGCCCUUGUAAACACUCAAGAAUUCACCCUUGAAUUCUGUCAUGUGUUACAUCUUCUCUUCUCCCCUUUGUUAACCUAACCCUAAAAGUUAUAUUUAUAAUUCAUAGGACUUUAAGUACAAGUUAACUAGGAAUAGGAAACAUAAUAGACCUCAAAAAUUGGAGAAAAUAUGUUUAGAUCUCGUUAGGAAAUUGCACAACACGUGCGAUCCGCUCGAGCGCCUGCAAAAUGAUCCCUUUGUCGCUCAAGCUGCCGAUAGCUCAUGGGAUGGGGGAAUUAGAGAUUUUUUUUUUUUUCAAUUUUAAUUGUUUAAAAGAUAUACAAUUUUUUAAUAAUAAUUUUUCCAUUUUUAAAAUACCCUUGAAAAUAGAAAGAUUAAAAUGCCCUUAAAAAUGGAUGGAAAAUUGGAUUGCGUUAAGGUCAGUUGACAAAUCAUGGAUUUUGAAAAAUUAAGGUAACAUUUCUCUUAAAUUUUUCUUUAAAGUGACAAAUUAAAAUUGAGGUAUAAGUUCAAGUUACAUUUAUGCAAAAAUCCUUAUACAUUAUGAUAUUCUAACAAUAAAAUUGGCUAAAAUUGAUAUGUUCCCUCUUUAUUUUCUUUUUCUCUUUUCCUUUUCAUUUUAUGAUCCAAUCCUUUUCAUAUAUUUUUGUUCAAGACUUUGUUUUAGAAUGCUCUAUUACUAAUUUGGUACAGGUCCCUAAAAUCUCGGAGCCGCCUUAGUACAUUCAUAAUGUACAUGUUCAGAGUUCAAGAAUAAUGUAUAGAAUGUGAAAUUGACGAUGCCGGCCUUUAUGAGGCAACGUCUUUAUUUCUUUGGUUAUUACAGUUUAGAAUAUUUGCACAAAUGAGAUGAUUCCAAGCAUAAAGUCACAUUCGACCAAAAAGCAUGAAGUCACACACAAAAAGAACACGGACAAUUGCUAAGUUUAUCCUUGUACCCUUAUUUUAUUGAUCCGACCCAAUUGAAAAUUAAAAAAAGAUGAUAAAAAAUAUUGUUCACUACUUUAAAAUCUAUGAGUAGAGUCCUCCAUUUGAAAUUUCGUCAUUAUACAAAAUUGGAAUGAAAAAAGAAAAUCCUACAGCUAAAUUUGAUAUAUUUCCUUUUCAUUUUAUGCUGGGUGUUAGGGCUUGUCAAUGGGCCGGGCUAGGCUAGCCCGGCUCAAAUUUAAUGGGCUUGGGCUAGGCCGGGCCAAGCUUUAAAGAGGAGAGAGAAAAUAUCCGGCCGAGUUUUUUAAGAAAAUUCAAAGCCCAAGCCCGAAUCACUGCUGUCUAGCCCGGCCCAAAUUUAAUGAGCUUGGGCCAGGCCGAGCCAAGCUUUAAAGAGGAGAGAGAAAAUAUCCGGCCGAGUUUUUUAAGAAAAUUCAAAGCCCAAGCCCGAAUCACUGCUGUCAUUUCAUUGAUUUGUGACGAGCACAACCACCAAAUCAGAAUUUACUCACGAAAAUAUCAAGUAUGUCUAGCAAAUUUCAAUUUUGAAUAAUACACAAUUUCAAAAGGAGGACAUGUUGCAAGACAGCAUACCUUCUCUUGGGGUGCUUUUCAUUUUGCAACAUUUCUUUACGUGUAAUUUCCAGAGGAGGGUUUAUCAUUGUAUAUAGCUUUUCGGGUGGUUUGUCUACAAAACAAAUGUCACAAAGAAGGAGGAGAAACGGAAAAGAUUUACUUGGAAUGUCUCAAGUCUCCUUUGAGAUAAAGGCAUCGAAUGCACAACAUUGCUUUUGUGCUAUUUCAUAAUUAAAGUGUGCUUCCCAAGUCUCCUUUGUGUUUUGUAACUUGUAAUGUUUGUUUUUUUGUUUCCCCUGUUUUCCCUCUUAUAAAAGAAAUACAGGUCCAAACCACACGGAUCUACUUGCAUAAUAAUGGACCAAAUUUAUGAUUUUUAGAAAGAACCUUCUGCCGGUGGAAUCUUGGGCUACUGUUGUGGCUCUCCUCUGUGUGCCUCCUUUUUAGAACGGUAAAAUAUUCAAAAUACUAGAAAAUGUUCGUGAUUAAUAUAAAUAUUAAGAAUUGAAAUUAUUAAUUAAAUGAGGAUAAUAUGGUAAAUUCACACUUUUUUAUAUUAAAAAAAUUAAAAUUAAAAGAAAAAUCAGAUAAUUGAUAUUAUUUUUAUGGAACACAGCUACUCAUUAUCUUUUUUAAUUCUAAAAUAAAUUUAAAUUAAAGAAAAAAACCCCUCUCACAGGCACGGAAGCGCGUGCUCAGAGGCUAGUUAAAAAUAAUGAACUUUGCUUCUGAAGACGUCUAUACCAGACCCACUCAACCUGCUUUAUGAUUAUACAAAGAACAAACUCGUCCUUAGACUCAUUUGGUUAAACUUAGAAAAUAAUGAAACAAAAAUAUGCACUCCCACAAGUAACACAGCCAGGAUUGAAAACAACUGGACAAAGAAAGGCAUGUUAAAACAGAAUUUUCAACAACUCAUCACCAUUAGACAAGAAAAAGAAAAAUCAAUACAAAAACAGAAAGAACAGAGAAUAAAUGUGGUGGAAGAAAAACGUUGAAGCCAUUUGUGAAUCCAACAACACUACCACUCUGUUUCUCUCCUUUUGUUCAGGCGGAUCUGCAUAUAUCCUAAGGCGUAUUACGGAAACAACUUCUUGCCGUUAUACUUGAAUGUUGUGGAUGCUUCAACGUUGCCAUCUGGGUGGAGUGGAUUUGUCCAAUUCACCUUCACUAUGGUAUAUACGUCCAAAUUGUUGUUAUUUGAAAGGCUUCUAAAUUUUAACAUUUUGAUUUUUAAAUUUUGUUUAAAUAUUUCGGCCCACUUAGUUCUUCUCAAAAUAUGUCAUCAAUAUCGUUGAAAGGUUGAACUUAGUGAAUUAUUAUAGUGCAGUACUGUAGAAUAGACACAUGAUAUAAUUUGUCCACAUGUUAUAAUAUAAGUAAAUAUUUAUUGAUAUUAUUUCUAAAAAUAAGAAAUAUCAACCAUUAUAUCCUCCCAUAUUAUAAUACAUAUACAAAUUAUACCACAUUAUCAUACUCUAAUACCAUUUUAUAAUUUCUCGUACUUAGAGCGAGUCAAUGACAUUACAUAAUAUAUAAUUGUUCAUAUAAUGGGGCAACUAACGUGAUCAACAAGUUGUGGUGAUUAAUUUAACAUAAUAAAAAAUAUACCAUUUACUUGAGUGAUGUAACAAUUUGUUCUUUUAAAUUGGAUUGCCAUCACUUUAAUAUGAUAUGUUUCUUAUUAUAGUGUCCCAUGUUAAGUGCUUCAGCAUUGUUUGUGGUGUGUACACAAAUUUUCUUAUAAAAUGUUUUAAUGCUUCUCACAUGUAUAUCAGAUAUAGACAGUUGAUGUGACUUAGAAAUCAAAUUGUCAAUAAAGCAAAAAAAUAUAAUUGGUGAUUGAGGUCCAAUUUAAUAGAAAAUAGUCUUAACUUGUAUAUUAGAGGUUUCAGAUUCGAAUCCUCACUGCAUUAUUGUUGUAUACGUACACGAGAAAUCCUCUUCUCCAAUAAUUUAGACUAUCACUUAUACUAAAAAAAUAUAUAUAUAUAAUGACUUUUACGGAUGCAAACAUAAAAUUACACCAAACAAUAAUGGAAUAGAAAGAUGCAAGUUAUUUUUUUUUUUUUUACAUCUAAAGUAUACUUUAUAUAUAUAUUUAUUAUGGGUGUUAUAACCGUUUAAUUUUCAGUUUUUAUUUUCUAUUUAUUGUUUUAAUUUUUAUGGUUUAAUGUGUAUGAAGAUUACAAGUAUUGGAUGUCUACCACUCCUCCUUCACAUCUGAAACAAACCACCAUCUCAUUUCUGUAUUUUCAUACUUUCAUAUAUUUUCUACUUUCCAGAUUAUUAUUUUUGGGCAACGGUUCUGUGACUUGCAGAUUUCUAUCCGAUUGUUAACAUGCUCAUAGCGGACCUUGAGCUUGCGUAUUGGGGAUCGUAUCUUGGAGCCUUAUAGACCUUUAUUACCUGCAUGUAGGGAGGUUAUAAAUGCUUUAGGUCAGCAUCUUUGACGUGCUUUUGCUUUCUUUUUUUUUUUACUUAUUUCUUCGUUUCUUUAUUUUUACUUUACUUUUAAAUUUUUAUUUUAUGUAUUAUUUAUAUUUAAAAGUUUUGAAUAAGAGUUUUACAGAAAAGGAAAAACACAAUUUCAAAUAACACAAAUUUCUCGUUUUUGGUUCUUAAAAUAAAUGAAUUUUUUACUUAUUUGUGAACUGAAAUGCCUCUAAAAAAAUAAUGAUAGUUUGAAGAAUUUGAUAGAAAUUAAAAAAUAUCCUCAAAUUACUUGGAAUUGAAGACCACAUAGGCAAAAACACCAUUUUGGACAAAGGCUGGUGAUAAUAGUCGAUAUCAUCUUUAAGUACUUUAAUAUGAUAUGUUUCUUAUUAUAGUGUCCCAUGUUAAGUGUUUCAGCAUUGUUUGUGGUGUGUACACAAAUUUUCUUAUAAAAUGUUUUAAUGCUUCUCACAUGUAUAUCAGAUAUAGACAGUUGAUGUGACUUAGAAAUCAAAUUGUCAAUAAAGCAAAAAAAUAUAAUUGGUGAUCGAGGUCCAAUUUAAUAGAAAAUAGUCUUAACUUGUAUAUUAGAGGUCUCAUAUUCGAAUCCUCACUGCAUUAUUAUUGUAUGCGUACAUGAGAAAUCCUCUUUCCUAAUAAUUUAGACUAUCACUUAUACUAAAAUAUAUAUAUAAUGACUUUUACGAAUGCAAACAUAAAAUUACACCAAACAAUAAUGGAAUAGAAAGAUGGAAGUUUUUUUUUUUUUUCCUACGUCUAAAGUAUACUUUAUACAGUCCCGAUCUCUUGGACCACAGGAGUCCAAGAGAUUGUGGUCACCCACCGUUGGAUAUUAAUCCAAUGGUUCAAAAUGAUAUAUAUAAAUGCAAUAUGACAUAAAUGAUUAUUACCCGAUCCAAGUCAACCGUUGAAUUUACAUUCAACGGUGGGUGACCAUAAAUCUCUUGGACUACAGGGGUCCAAGAGAUCAGGACUGAUACUUUAUAUAUAUAUAUAUAUAUAUUUAUUUAUUAUGGGAGUUAUAACUGUUUAGUUUUCAGUUUUUAUUUUCUAUUUAUUGUUUUAAUUUUUAUGGUUUAAUGUGUAUGGAGAUUACAAAUAUUGGAUGUCUAUAAAGGGCCACUCCUCCUUCACAUCUGAAACAAACUACCAUCUCAUUUCUGUAUUUUCAUACUUUCAUAUAUUUUCUACUGUCCAGAUUAUUAUUUUUGGGCAACGGUUCUGUGACUUGGAGAUUUCUAUCCGAUUGUUAACAUGCUCAUAGCGGACCUUGAGCUUGCGUAUUAGGGAUCGUAUCUUGGAGCCUUGUAGACCUUUAUUACCUGCAUGUAGGGAGGGUACAAAUGCUUUAGGUCAGCGUCUUCGACGUACUUUUGCUUUCUUAUUUCUUCGUUUCUUUAUUUUUGCUUUACUUUUAAAUCUUUAUUUUAUGUAUUAUUUAUAUUUAAAAGUUUGAAUAAGAGUUUUACAGAAAAGGAAAAAUACAAUUUCAAAUAACACAAAUUUCUCGUUUUUUGUUCUUAAAAAAGAAGAAGCAUUGAUUGGGGAGUUAUGGUAAACUCAAUUUCAAUGGUUGCGAUGAGAGGCGGUGGCGGCGAGGAGAGGACGAAGGCUUUGCUGCCGACGGGGUGGUGUGGGUGGGUGGAGACCUCGGCUGGCUGCUUGGUCCUGGGUUCUCCUUUAAUUCUCUGUUUUCUUUUUUCUUUUUCUUUUUCUCUUAGAGUUAUUGAUGUUAAGUGAAUGGACAGAUGCCAAAAUAGGGACAGAAGUAGGGGUGGGCAUCAAUCCGGCCGAUCCGGUCAAUCCGGCCGAACCGAUUAUAUUGGAUUGGUUUGGUUUGGUUUUGACCAAAGAAAAAGUCAACAUUUUGAAAAACCGAACCGAACCGGUUUGGUUUGGUUCAGCUGUGGUUUGAGAGUUUUAAAAACUGUCCUAAACCGAACCGGACCGAUUAUAAAUCAAUUUAUUAUUUAUUUAAUUUAGUUUACAUGUGGCAAGGUUUGUGUGCGUUUUGUGAGUCCGCGUAUCUGAAUGUUGGUGCACGUUUUGAUCUUCUAAUUUGCAUAUCCCAGUUAUUUGUGUGUGCUUGUAUUUCCCUCUCUUUCUAUCUCUACUAUGUGUGUUUGCUCUUUGUGUUGUGUGGCUCUUCUUACUCUAUCUAUCUUAAUUAAUGGGUCCAUUUCAUAAUUUCAUACGCAUUCAAACUCCACCUCUGUGAUAAAAACAUUUACCUCUUUGUGAUAAAAGCUUUUCAUUUGUUUGUAUUUCUCUUUGGCUUUUUGACUCACUCACUGUCUUUCUUUCUUUUAAUGCUACUUGUGAUGAAUGCAAUGAGUAAAUUUAAUGCUACUUGGUUAAUGCAAAUUUUGUAUAUGUUUGUUUUGAUGGAAAUUGUGAACUUAGAUGCAUGCUAGACAUUGGACAACCUUUGAAUAAAUGGAAUGAUGUUGUAUUAGCCUUUGAUGGAAUGAAAUGAAAUGAUAUAAUGGCAAAAUGUUAGCAUUAUAAUGUAAGAGCAGGUUGAAAAAUGCAUGGUUUUGUGUUAGGCACAAACCGGCCGAACCAAUCCGAACCAAACCGAUUACAAGUGGUUUGGAUUGGUUCGGUUUCCAUUAUGAUUUUAGGCUAAUCCGAACCAAACCGGACCGUUAUUUUCUUAUUGGUUCAGCUGUGGUUUGAGAGUAAAACCGAACCAAUCCGGACCGUGCCCACCCCUAGACAGAAGAUGUGAACCCAAUUAUAUACAGCUGAUUACAUAAAGUAACAAAUUAAUUAAUACUUGAGUGGAGGACAGGCUUGAGUGGAAGAAUUGAUUAAGGCUUGAGUGGAAGACCAACUUCAGUGGAGGAAAGUAUAGAUAAGGAAAGCAUGCCUCGUUUAACGGCUUUAUCUAAUAAAGAUUAGUUGUUGGCACUUGGAGUUUCUUAGGAAUGCUGGUUUUGUUUCCUUGGUGGACUUGAAAGGUGGUGCGUUGGCUCGGACAUCUCCCUAGUAAUUAAUCGAAGGUGGAAUCUUACAAGACAUACAGCUGCUCAUUAGCUGAAUAUCUCGCUCUCUUUAAAGAGAUCGAAGCAAACUGCAAUUUGCAAUUUGUGUGAUUCAAGCAUGAAUAUCUGAUAUAGUAACUAUACCAUUUGUUGGUUUGAUAAGAAAAGUUUGGUUAGCGAGGAUGAAACCAUAAAGUUCUCCAAAACACACAAAAAACACGAACAAUUGCUAAGUUUAUUCUUGAGUUCACACAUAUUUGUACAAAUGAGAUUACUCCAAGCAUGACUAUACCAUUUGUUGGUUUGAUAUGAAAAGUACGGGCAACGAGGAUAAAACCAUACAAACACACACAAAGAACGUGGACAAUAUACUAAGUUUAUCUUUGCGUUAUUGAUCCGACCUAACUGUAAAAUAAAAAAGAUAAAAAUAUAUAAUGUUCACUACUUAGAUCUAUGAGCACUAAAGUCCUCCUUUUGAAAUUGCACAAAACAUCACUUUUGGUCUUUGGUAAAUUUUUAAAAUAAAUGAAUUUUUUACUUAUUUGUGAACUGAAAUGCCUCUAAAAAAAUAAUGAUAGUUUGAAGAAUUUGAUAGAAAUAAAAAAAUAUCCUCAAAUUACUUGGAAUUGAAGACCACAUAGGCAAAAACACCAAAUUGCAACCUCACUUUAAUGAUAAAAAUGGUAAACUACAAAGACAAAAAUGACGUUUUGCCUUAUACAUAAUUGGAAUUUGCUGGUGAUAAUAGUCUACCAUCUUUUGUCGAUUUGCUGGUGAUAAUAGUCUAUCAUCUUUUGUCGGUCCGACCUAAAAAGAAGAAAAAGUUGAUGGCAUCUUGUACCAUUUUUGCCAAUGUGGGCCCAAACAAUUUGAAGAAGUCCACCGGCAAUUUCUCAAAAGCUAUUGUGUGAGUGUGAAGCUAAACCAAUAUUAUUUUGCAUAUACGACUCCACAUCCCCAUGUGAUGUGAGGCUACAAAAGUGUUUCCAAAACGAAAUAUGAUAUUUCAAAACGAAGCUAUGUAUAGAGUCAUUUGUAUUUGCUUUCACAAUAACAUUUGAUUUGUGAAAGCAUUUUAUAUUUAUACAUUCUGAUAUUCUAACAAAUAAAUUGACUAAAUUUGGCCAACAGGAUUUAGCCGAAUAGAAAAGUCCUUAUUUAUAGACUAGUGGUUUCAAAUUUAAAGUUUAGACUAUCGCAUGUAUUUAAAAAAAAAAAAACAAUUGGCUUAAUUUGAUAUAUUUCCUUUUUUUCCUUUUUCAUUUUAUACUGGGUGCCGUUAUUAAGUUUUAUCCUUAUUUUUUGUUGAAAAGAAAAUUGAAAAAAAAUAAUAAUUCCUACAGCUAGCAACUUCUCCACCUUCCCUUCUUCGCAACUAGGGAUGCCAUUGCAAGGUCACCAUCUCAGAUUAAGUCCUCCUUUUAAAAUUGUGUCGUUAUUCAGAAUUGGAAUAUAAUCCUGUACCACUUUGGCCACUUUUGAAGAUGUUCACCGACAAUUUCUCAAAAGCUAUUAAGCUGUACAUCCACAAUAUUAUUGCAUCCAUCCCCAUGUGAGGCUACAGAAAAAUUUUGAAAACGAAACUGGAUAUUUUAUCUCUAACAACAGCUUUCAUACUUCGUUUACCCUGUGUUUCCAAGUUGUGCUAGCUAUUUGCAAACCUUGGAAUAUUACUUCAUCCAAAUCCCUUGCAGAGAAGAGCAAGAUAUGGCUUUGAUCGGAGAAGCCCUCAUCUCCGCUACCAUCCAGACGUUUUGUGACAAAAUUGCUUCGCCUGAGUUCACCGACUUAUUUCGGCAGAAAAAGCUCGAUGAACAACUCCUCAACAAGCUGAAGACGACGCUGUUGACCUUGUCCGUAGUGCUUAAUGAUGCAGAGGAGAAGCAAAUUAAGGAACCUUUAGUGAGAGACUGGCUUGACAAUCUCAGACAUAAUGUCUUGGCUGCGGAGGACUUACUGGAUGAGAUCGACACUGAAGCUUUGCGAUGCAAGCUGGAAGAAGGUGAAGGUCAAACCCACAAUUUAACCAAGAAGGUACGUGAUUUUUAUCAACGCAUGAAUGUUGAGAUGAAAGAUUUAUUAGAAAGAUUAGAACAAUUUGUACAAGAGAAAAGUGCUCUUGGUUUGAGAGAAGGUGCUGGGAGGAAGGUUUCACAAAGAAGAACAACUUCCUUGGUUCAUGAACCUUGUGUCUAUGGUAGAGAUGAAGUCAAAGAAAAUCUGUUACAAAGAAGAGGAUUUGCCGUCAUCUCUUUCUCAUCUGAGUAUCUCGCGGUGUCCUGCCCUGGAGAAAAGGUAUAAGAAUAAGACGGGACAAGAUUGGGCAAAGAUAUCUCACAUUCCUUGCAUCAAGAUAGGAUACGAACUGAUCAUAUAAUAUGAGCUAUUCCAUAUUUCACUCUCAACCCUCAACUCUCAAAUCAAAGUCAGGUGAGGUAUGUGCCUUCUCUUACUUUAAAAAACUGCUUCUCUUCUUCUAAUUGAAUACAAAAACCAAAACACAUAUUCUCUUUCUCUUCCAAAAACCCAAAUACAUGUUGAACAUUGCCAAAUUUGAUCUCCAAAUUCCUAAUUAUUUCACGCUUUUUGUUAUUUUGUUGCUUAGUAAAUUAUGGUUGCUGGUCACAAAUUAUAGUCUGUUAAUAGGUUCAUGCCAUGAAUUAAUCUUUGGACUUUCCCAGGUACUGCAGGUUUGUUAUUAAUGUUGUGGCCUGAUAUUCGUCGUAUCAAUAGGUUGUCUUACGUUGAGGAGAGAGAUCGAUCAGCAAUUACAAAAUUGUUAGUGAAUUUAGCUUGUUUAUCAUCUCUCUCCUUUUGUUUGUUAAGUUUGGUUGUUCUAGGUUAAACCCUUGUCCCCGCAUUUCACAGCAACUCUAUGUUAUUCCACUCUGUUUAGUUUCAUUUAUGUUGUGAUUCGACUGCUGCUGUAUUUUAGAUUUCGUUCAUGUAAUGCUAGGAUGUUUAAUCUCUUAUCUGUGGUGGUAGUUGAGUAGUCUAGCUAAUCCAAUGAUAACUUGUCCCCUGUUUUGUAUUGUUUUUAUUUCUCUGGUAAUGAAAGCACGUUUCUUAUAAAUAAAUAAAAAAUAUUUCAUUGAUAUUCAUUGCUUAUUUUGAACUGCAGAAGCCUACUUUUGUCAGAGUCAGUAGAUGCCAGAAUGAAGUCAUUGCCUAAACACAUUGGCACCCUCACAGCCUUCGACAUUUUGGGAUAUAUGAUCUUCAAAAUCUUGUGUCAUUUGCCUCCCAACCUGCAAUAUUUUCAUAUUUUAAAUUGUGACAGACUGAGCCCUUUGGUGGGAGAUUACUGGGGUUUGCAAGGACUUGGUGGCAAUAUCUUGUAGACGUUUCUCAAGGAACAGCUGCUCAAUACCACUCUUCACACUCUAUAUAUUAUGGCCUGUCAGUCUAUAAUUCCUGCCAGGAGAGGAACUUGAACGCCUCUCUUCGCUGCAAAGGCUACAUAUUUGUGGGUGUGACAAUAUCCAAUUCCUGCCAGAAGAGUGUUUGCUGCCAUCUCUUUCUUAUCUGUGCAUCAACCAUUGUUUUGCCAUGUAGAAAAGGUAUCUCACAUUCCUUGCGUCAAGAUAGGCGAAGAAGUGAUCAUAAGAUAUGAGCUCUCUCUCCCUCUCGCUCACAUACAAUGUACUUAACACAAACACUCAAUCUGAUUUCUAUUAUUAUUUUGCUCAGUAAAUUUUGUUUAAAUUUGCUUUAUUUCUCAUUGCACUUGUUCUGCUGAUCACAACUUAUAUCCUAUUUAAAUCUCAAAUGCUGAAUAAUGAGCAGUCUUUUCGCAGGACAACAUAUCUUCUCUUGGAGAGCUAUUCAUUUGCAAGGUUUCUUUAUGGGUCAUUUCCAGAGGAGGGUUUACUAUUUAAUAGAAAGGUUCACCUGGAAUAUCUCAACUGACACAUUCCCAAAUACAGGCAUUGAAUGCACAACAUUUUGAGGUACUAUUUUUGUAAUAAAAAUGUACUUGAGUCUCAUUUGAGCUAGUUUAAAUUGUAUUCAAUGUCUAUGGAUAACCUGUGAGCUUAAGUUGUAAGAUAAAACUCACAGUAUAUUAUUAGGGUUUAGGGUUCAACUGUUCAACAGGUGAGCUUAAGUUGUACUUUCCUAGGUACUGCAUGUAUAUAAUCUUAGUAUCAACACUUGGUCUUAUGUGGACAAGAGAGAACAUUUGAGGAAUUACAAAAUCUUCUUAGUGAAUUAAUGUUGUUUCAGCUCUGUUUGUCAUCCCUCACAUUUUCUUUGUUAAGCCUUGAUUUUUUAUUAGACAUAAGAAAAAAUGCUUUUAUAAGACAGGAGAUGAAUGCUUUUAUAUGUUGAUGUCGUAGUCAGUCUUCAACCACACUCUGUUUUUAGAAUUCAUUUAUGUUACUAGUUGAGUGCUGCUGUAUUUUAUAUUUCGUUCCUGUAAUGUUUGGAUGUUUAGCUUGAGCAGUCUAGCUUAUCCAGUAGAUAACUUGUUCCCUGUUUUGUAAUGUUUUUGUUUCCUCUAAUGAAAGCAGGUUUUACUUAUCUUGAACUGCAGAAGCCUACUUUUUGACAUAGGUGGCAUGGCACAAACUCGCAUCCGCAUUUCCUUCCCCAUUGGCAUGCUGUCUCAUCUUUUGUAUUCUGUUACCAGCUUGAAGCUUGUGUAGACAUGUUAUGCUCUUGUAAUUCUGAUCACAAACAUCACUUGACAAAUGGAAAGUCACAAUCAGAUCUUUCAGGUGAUCGGGAGGUUUACUUUCUAACAUUUGUUUUCAUUGGGGGGAGGACAACAAUACAGAAUUUAAAAUUUCUGAUAAUCAAUAGUAGUUUGCAUAUAUCAGCUGGGACCUGUAUGACUGUAUUAUGUAAUUAAUUAUUUCUCUUAUUGUUUUGGUACUGUUAAAAGGAGUUAGCCACAAAAUAAAAAAGGAGGCCUCUUAUUUCAUACAAUUUUUCAAAAGUGAUCAUUCAUCCGUUUCUUUUUCAACAAUAGAGGAAUGUAUACUAAUCGUCUGGUCCAUCUGCUGCUUCACUCCCUAGUAGCUUCAUCUCCUGUCCUUUGCUUUAUUUCUGUUGAUGAAUGUUUUGUCUGGGUUAUUUAUUUUCAUUUCAUGUCCAUUGCUUCAUUUCUGUUUGGAUUCUGUCCUGGACUUGAACAAGGGUUAGGUUAGCUGUAUAAUUUGCGGUUUUAUAUACACAACUGUCUACAUUGAUUAAAACCAGCAUUAUUCUAAGGUUCAUUUAGAAUGUAUUAUCACCAAAAUUAUAAAGUAUACUUCUAUUACAAUUAAUUUGUUGAUUCUAAUUUGGACUUGUAGGAACAGACCAAACAUGUUCAUACGUGGCAUUGCUCAAGUCAUCAUCAUUCGGGACAGAGAAUAAGCCUUCAAAUGUCUGCUGAGUCAAUGAACCUUUCUAGAUAUCUCAAGUGUAGUGGAAAUUGAUGAGUUACAAAGGAUUUUUAAACAUUUUCUACUGGAGGCUAGAAAUGCUUCAAAUAAAUGACUGUGUUGCAAUUAUUUUGUAGGAUCAAAGACUCUGCAAAGAGGUAAGAAAGUCAUCAUCAAGUAACUUUGCUCUUCAAACUUUUUAAUUUUAUUUUUAAAUAUCAGUAAUAACUGGGAAAGUUUGCAUUUCCUUAAAUUGCUCAUUCUUACAUCUUUUAUAGUUUGUUGAUCUUGGGCAAGUGGAGAGAGAGGCGUCAAGUGAUACACAACAACCAUUUUCUGUGAGCUGAUUUGAUAAAGAGAAAUGGUAUGCUUUCUUGUCUUAAGCGGUGUGUUCUGCAAUUAUUUGAAACAAAGGAUGCCGCACUUCAAGUUCGAGAAAAUCAGGUAUUUUAGUAUUUUAUUCUGGAGAAAUUUGAUUUAUGUAGAAACUUGAACAUGUAAAUGAGAGAAAAAAAAAUUUAUAUAUAUAUAUAUUAUAUUGUAUAUGCUCUUAAUGAGUUAAUAUGGUGCUUGCUCCUGGUUGGAAAUUUAUGUAGUCAUCUACCUAUGAUCAAAUAAAGAUGAAAAAUAAAAUAAAAUUGAGAGCAUCUUCCUCUCCCCUGCUUUGCUCAUCCCUUGUUCUUCCACUUCAGCCCCACUAUUACACCAUUUUUUCAGCCACAAUUAUAAUAGCUCCAUGAGCAUUAAGUCCUUUUCAAAUUCUGCUGACAUUCAAAAUUGGAAUUGCUGGUGAUAUAUGAUAGCAUCCUUGUCCGACCAAAAAGAAAAAAAAAAAAAGUUGAUAGCAUAUUGUACCAUUUUGGCCAGUGUACGCAAUAUUAUUGCAUCCAACUUUGCAUAUUAACAUCAGUGGCCACAGUUCCAUGAUUUGAGUGCACAGAAAGGUUUCAAAAGUUGUCCCACAAAGAACAGUCGUUCAAAGUGAAAGAGAGUUUUCAAAGCUUAGUUACAAGUUCAUGUUAUUUACAAUAUCAAAAAGCUUUCAUACUUGCUUACAAACCUGUAUUUCCAAGUUCUGCAAACCUUGGAAUAUCACUUCAUCCAAAUCCCCUUCCAAAGCAGGAAAAAUGGCAGCAGCUUUGAUUGGAGAGGCUCUCAUCUCUGCUUCUAUCGAGUUGUUGUGUGACAGAGUUACUUCAGCCGAGUUCAUAGACUUAUUUCAGCAGAAGAAACUUGAUGAAACACUCCUCAUGAACCUGAAGACGACACUGUUGAUUUUGUUUGCGGUGCUCAAUGAUUCAGAGGAGAAGCAAAUUGUGAACCCUGCUGUGAGAGAGUGGCUUAACAGCUCAAGCAUGCUGUCUUUGAUGCAGAGGACUUACUUGAUGAGAUUGACACUGAAGCUUUGCGAUGCAAGCUGGAAGGUGAGGAUGAAACCCACAAUAAUUAACCAAAAAGGAUCUUUUUGAUUGUUUGAAAGGAGGGUCUUGAUGAUUUGAAAGGAGAGGGUUGCUUUAUUUCUGUUGGAUGCUUAAUUAAAUCUUAUUUGGAGUUGAACAAGGAUUAGGUUAGCUGUAUAAUUAGUGGUAAACGCCUUUUUCUAAGGGUCAUUUAGACUCAUAUUACGAUUAAUUUGUUGUUUCUAAUUUGGACUUGUAGGAACAGACCAAAUAUGUUCACACGUGGCAUCGCUCAAGUCAUCAUCAUUUCAGACUGAAAAUCAGCCUUCAAGUGUCUGUUGAGUCAAUAAAACUUUCUAGAUAUAUCAAGUGCAAUGGAAAUUCAUGAGUUACAUAGAGAUUUGUAAACAUUUUGAAGAUUGCAACACCUGCAAGUGAGAUAGGCGGUGACGAAAUCAGAGAUGAAGCCUCUGAUGCCCCUGUUGUUGCAAGUUGCACCUGAGAACAUGUUUUUUUUUCUUCUUUGGGGUAAAAAACUGGCAACAUGUUCGGAGCUGACAAUUCAAUCCCUGAUGAACUAGAGAAGCAAAGCUCCGGUAAGGAAAUUGGUCAAGGUUGUGACAGGGAUGAUUGAUGGUGAAAUGGAUGCUAUUUCUUAUUGCAGCCUGUUCUUAAAGUUCUUGUUGGCAAAUGCAAGAGAUGGAGUAUUUUGAUUGGGAGGAGAGAUAAUGACAUGGCUUGACAAUUCUAGAACAGCCCAUCAUUAAUCCCAGAAAAAAUCCAGUUUCUGCUAAACAAUCACUUAUGGCAAGGCCAACUCUGUAAAUGGAAUUUGUGAUCCCUUCAAAUUGUACACAUUUUUUCUUUUUGAGGAAUUUAAUCAAACAGUAUUCUAAUGCAUUAUGAUGGCACUACACGCUUUUGUUGUAACAAAUUACAAGGAGGAAUUUGGAUUGAGUUUCUUGUAUAAGCACACCUUACACAAAUUUCGUAUAUUUUCUUCCAGCAAGUCUGUCUAUUAAACCCCUUAUUUGAAAUUAAUUGUUAUAAGUUUUGAUUCAUCUUUAAUCAGUGUCUUCCCCUUGUUGAAUAACACUCCUCUUUCUAAUUUAUAUUUGAAGUUUGAGGUUUCAAUUUCAAUUGUGGGUUUUGAUUUUACAGAUUUUGUUUGUCAAUUUCAGUUUGGACAAAGCAUAUGCAAUCAAAGUAAGCAUUUUAUGUUAUACUUUUGAACUAGGUGUUGAUUUGAUUUAAUCAUAAGUUUUGCUGGUGCAUUUACUAGGCUAAUCAUUCAAUACUUUUGAUCAUAGAACUUCUUUGGUUGAUAUUAUCUUUGUUAAGUUUAACCAUAACUUUAGAGAGGGGACUUAACAGAUUUAUAAUCUCAUCAUUAUAGUAUUAAAAAUUAGAGAUUAUUUAAGGCAUUGUCUAUUAUCUGAAUUCUGCUUACUUUUAGUUCAUAUGUUUACAUCUUAGCAUAUUCAUGUGAUUAGUGCGGCUCAUACCACAAAGGCAAUUUUAGGCUCAUCAAGUGCUAAGCAAUGUCAAGCUUCCAAGUGACAAGUUCUCUACAUAGUUUGAGACCUACACUUACUAGAUAUUAGAUCAUUUGGAUCAUUUCCAUAUGUGUAUAUGUAAUUGACAUGUUAUAACAUUUUUGUAGCGUUAUAUAAUUAUUUAGCAAUUUAAUUAUUUCUUUGCAACUUUAUUUUUUUUGUCAGUCAUACUAUUGUUGACUGCUAAAAACCAUCAAGAAAUAGUUCUUAAGUUAUAAAAAAAAAUUAUAAAAAAAAAGAUUUGUUGAUGCUUAAAAAGCAUCAAGAACAGAUAGUUUCUUGACGGUUUUGUGACGUUUCAUAACUGUAAGGGGCUUUUUCUUUCGACAGCUGUAAAUGGGCUGGGCUGCCGUAAAGGUCAAGACUGAUGAAAUUGUCCCUUUUUGUCUGAGCUCGAAAAUUAUGCCCCAAAAUACUUUGAAAGGGCAGCAGAGCCUUAGGAAGUAUUUUGGUUACCCUCACCAACUAAAACAACAACAACUUACAGGUAAUUUCUUAAUGCUUACAGAUGAACUCUUGUGCUUGGCAUGAGUGACAUGUGGCAUGGAAGCAAAAUCAACAUGAGUUUAGCACUGAGGCGAAAUUUAGGCUCUCUUGGGGGAAAAAGGGAAGUGUUAAGGUGAGAGAGGAGAAGUUUGUAGGAGAUUUAGCUAAGAAAGGAGAAAUAUAGAACAAUGCUCUUCUGGCAACUUGACAGAUGCUCUGUCUGCCAAAAAAGGAAGAUGGAGAAGAAAUGUGAAUAGUGCACGAAUUUGCUAGAUUUUUGCAGGUAAGAGAGGAAGCUUGCCCUAUGGGUCUGAGUUGAGUUUUGUUGGGUGGAAGAGACCUCAUUUUAUAGCCCCUGGAAACCAUCACUUCCCAAGAAACCCUAAUGGCUUCUACCUAUUUUGGCCAAGCUUUUCCCUUCCUUUCUCAUUUCCUUCCUUGAGUUUACCCCUUUUGAUGAAAUCCCAUCUGCCUAUUUGCACCAGAUCAAAGUUUUUUGAAGCUCAAGGCCCCCAUUUUCUUGCAGUUGUCUCAAUGGGAGACUUCCAUUCCCAGUCAUUCUCCUUUAUUGCUUUCCUUUCUUUUUUUCAUGGCCUAGUCUGGUGGGGAAAGGAGUUGGGAUAUAUAUGCUGGUUUGAAGGGUGCUUCUCUUCCUGACAUCUUACACACUAAUACCCCUUGGUUCCUUGAAUGUUUUGGCUUUGAAACUUGCUCCCCCCCUCCCCCCAUGUACUGGAACCUCCCAGCAGCUCUGUUCAAUGAAUUUUCAGACCUUUUCUUCAUGGCUUUUAUUUUUUUAUUAACUGGCUGGAGCUUUUGUGGCUCAUUGUGGCAAUUGUAUGGGCUAAGGUGGUUCAUUAAGUAAGUGAGCUAUUUUUAUUAAACAUUGGGCUUUUUGGUUGAGUCACUAGGCUAUUUUGAUUGGGCUAUUGGGCUAUUUUUUCCUUUCUUGUACUCACCCACAUGUUUGGACCAAAGAAAUGAGCUUGAGUCCUGAGGCUCCCAAGCGACCCGAGACUUUCCAUUUCUCGGCCCAUCAAUGGGCCUCAUGUUGAUUUAUUACCAUCCAUACCACAACCCACUCAAGCAAGCCCCGGGCAUUUGAGUGGCUUGGGCCCACUUAGGCUUGUAGUGUGGUUGGGUGCGAAAUGACGAUUUCGUGCUUGGCAUGUUUUAAUUUUAUCAUCCUUGGGAAAGGCUGCGAUGUUUGAUUUCGGCAUGGGCUUGUAGAGCUGGUAUGCUUUAUUUCAACUCUAGCAUGACGAAUUAUUUAUUUAGCAUGGCACGUGAAUUACAACUCGCAUGGGGUGGGUUUUUGUGUACUACACCUUACGCCUCUUCUUAAUAGAACAUCGUUUUGGGCUGAUAAUUUAUUCGGGCCCAACUGUGAAUUUUUUGGGUCUCAAUAAUAACCAUCAUAAAAUAUUACAUUUUGACUGACGUCAAGAAAUGGGGUAUCCCUUUCCUGAUAGUGGCAUCCAUGAUGCCUUCCAAGCCGUCAAUUAAGGGCUAUCGUGAUGCAUUUUAGUUGUCAGCAAAAGGUGUUUUUCUUGUAUUGUAUUCACUCAAAAUCAUGUUUCAUUUAAGACUAGUAGUAUGGUUGAAUACCAUUUGUUUUGUUAAAGAAUAUUAUACAUUAGGGAUUUUUGUAGAAAUGUCAUUUGAACUUAUACCUUAGUUUCAAUUUGUUACCUUGAAGAAAAAUUUAAGAGAAAUGUCACCUUAAUUUUUAAAAAUCCAUGAUUUGUUAUAUGACUUUAAGAUCAUCCAAUUUUCCAUCCAUUUUAAGGGGAUUUUAGUCUUUUCAUUUUCAAGGAAAAAAAAGAGAUGAAAAAAGAGACAUCUCUCUUACUUUGUUGCCCAACCCAACCCAACCCCACCCGCCCCCCAAAACCACAUAGGAUUGCCUCCCCUUUCCCCACUUUUCUUUUUUCUUUUUGUCCUACUUUUCCACUGUGUUUAUGUUGAAGGAUCUAAAGUUUGCUUGGUCACCAUCUGUUACGUAGGCUUCCCAAUUGUUGGUUUGGGUGGGUUGUGGGAAUUUGUGUGUGGAGGGCAAGACCCUAUCUGACAGGACCUGCCUCGAAUUCCUCGAAACCCGAGACGAAUCUUGUGGAAUUCCCGACAUUACACCGAUGUCGGGCCCACUUAUGAACUAAAUCCUCCUUUCCAAAAUUAAGGAAAAAGAGUACGAGGCUUUCUGCCGAAAUUGCGGCAGUGUCUUCCUUAUAAAUUUAACAUUUCAGCUUUGGUGGCCAUUCUCUCAUUUUAGCUUUGGUGGCCGGAUGAGAGAACGGCCGGCUAAAACGUGGCCAACUGGCAUUGCCGUCGCGAGAGAGGAGAGAGAGAGAGAGAUUUUUAUCAAACCAUUUUUGCCAAAAUUACGAUUAUGCAACUGAGGGUAUUUUGAUCGUAUCUUUUUUGUUAUAACUCCGAUUCAAGCUCACUACAUGCCUAUGGAUUCAUCUCGCCGUGCUUUAUGCAAUUGUAUAGUUGAAAUUCCCAAAUUCCAUCCCAGUCAAAAGUCAACUUUAAACCCUAUAAAAUAUUCUAGGGGAAGAAUGGUCUUUUAUCUAAUUAAAUUAAUAAUUGAAAAUUUAUUUAGGAUCGGGUCGUUACACUGUCGUUGAUGGACUGUGCGAUGACACUCACACAAAGUCCUUGAGAAUAAAACACACACACACCGUGAAGAGAGUAAAACAAAUACACAAGUACACAAAGAUUUAUAAAGGUUUGGCCUCCUGCCUACGUCCUUUUGGUGAUCCACCCGAGAAAUUCACUAGUAUGUAAGAACAACUUUGGUUACAACUAAACCCCCUUAGCUUUCAUAAGAACCCUAGAUCUCUUUUCUCCCACCCUUGCUCCAACCCUUUGAUGCCCUUGUAAACACUCAAGAAUUCACCCUUGAAUUCUGUCAUGUGUUACAUCUUCUCUUCUCCCCUUUGUUAACCUAACCCUAAAAGUUAUAUUUAUAAUUCAUAGGACUUUAAGUACAAGUUAACUAGGAAUAGGAAACAUAAAAGACCCCCAAAAUUGGAGAAAAUAUGUCUAGAUCUCGUUAGGAAAUUGCACAACACGUGCGAUCCGCUCGAGCGCCUGCAAAAUCAUCCCUUUGCCGCUCGAUCUGCCGAUAGCUCAUGGGAUGGGGGAAUUAGAGAUUUUUUUUUUUUCAAUUUUAAUUGUUUAAAAGAUAUACAAUUUUUUAAUAAUAAUUUUUCCAUUUUUAAAAUACCCUUGAAAAUAGAAAGAUUAAAAUGCCCUUAAAAAUGGAUGGAAAAUUGGAUGGUGUUAAGAUCAGAUGACAAAUCAUGGAUUUUGAAAAAUUAAGGUAACAUUUCUCUUAAAUUUUUCUUUAAAGUGACAAAUUGAAAUUGAGGUAUAAGUUCAAGUUACAUUUCUGCAAAAAUCCUUAUACAUUAUGAUAUUCUAACAAUAAAAUUGGCUAAAAUUGAUAUGUUCCCUCUUUUAUUUUCUUUUUCUCUUUUCCUUUUCAUUUUAUGAUCCAAUCCUUUUCAUAUAUUUUUGUUCAAGACUUUGUUUUAGAAUGCUCUAUUACUAAUUUGGUACAGGUCCCUAAAAUCUCAGAGCCGCCUUAGUACAUUCAUAACGUACAUGUUCAGAGUUCAAGAAUAAUGUAUAGAAUGUGAAAUUGACGAUGCCGGCCUUUAUGAGGCAACGUCUUUAUUUCUUUGGUUAUUCCAGUUUAGAAUAUUUGCACAAAUGAGAUGACUCCAAGCAUAAAGUCACAUUCGACCAAAAAGCAUGAAGUCACACACAAAAAGAACACGGACAAUUGCUAAGUUUAUCCUUGUACCCUUAUUAUCCGACCCAAUUGAAAAAUAAAAAAAGAUGAUAAAAAAUAUUGUUCACUGCUUUAAAAUCUAUGAGUAGAGUCCUCCAUUUGAAAUUUCGUCAUUAUACAAAAUUGGAAUGAAAAAAGAAAAUCCUACAGCUAAAUUUGAUAUAUUUCCUUUUCAUUUUAUGCUGGGUGUUAGGGCUCGUCAAUGGGCCGGGCCAGGCUAGCCCGGCCCAAAUUUAAUGGGCUUGGGCCAGGCUGGGCCAGGCUUUAAAGAGGAGAGAGAAAAUAUCAGGCCGAGUUUUUUAAGAAAAUUCAAAGCCCAAGCCCGACCCAUGAGCCCGGCUUGAGAAAGCCCAUCGGGCCGGCCCGGGCCUAAACAGGCCCUACUUCGUUAAAAAAAAAUCAUAAACUUAAUCAUAAGGUCAUUUUAGUCCAAAUUUGAGAUUAAACUCACUUAAUUCCAAUAUUUUCACUUCAAACCAAAUUCAUAAAACACCCAAUAAAGUCACACAGCUUGUAAGAUUUUCCACAAAAAUAAUAAAACCAAGUACUAUUUUUGAGGUUAUUACAUAAUUAGAUCGUAAUAUGUUUUAAGAAAUAAUUUUAAAAAAUAAUAUUAAUAAGUAUCAAAAAAAUAAUUUUUUAAAGGAUGGUAUGAAUAAAUAUGCAAAUAUUUGGUGAUGUGUUCAAGAAAAGGAUGAUUAUAUUUGGUGGUACGAUUAUGUUUCGUGAUAUGAUUAUAAUUAGUGAUGUGAUAUGUUGUUCAUCUUAUAUAUAUAUAUAAUUGUUGAAUUAAUAAUUGACACAAAUUAAUGUGUUAAUCAUCCAAUUAUAAACUAGGAAUGAAUAAAGAAAAGUAAAUGAAAUGAAACAAAUUAUAUAUGUGAUUUAAGUGAUAUAAUCCUAAACCUAAACUCUUAUUUAUACAUAAUUAUAUAUGUAUGCGGGCCUAACGAGCCGGACUUUUGUGGGCGGGUAGGGCCGGGCUUUAUUGGGCUUAAUCGGGCUUUAUUGGACUUAAUCGGGCUGGGCCUAUAGGUCGGACCGAGCUUCAGACAUCCAAGCCCACGCCUAGCCUCGCCCGCCUUGGGCCGGGCCAUUCUUUUUUUGGGGUUCUAUUUCUCUUUGAAUUAACUGCUGAGUUUCAUGAACAUGUCCUCCUUUUGAAAUUGUGUAUUAUUCAAAAUUGGAAUUUGCUGGACAUACUUGAUAUUUUCGUGAGUAAAUUCUGAUUUGGUGGUUGUGCUCGUCACAAAUCAAUGAAAUGACAGCAGUGAUUUUGCAAGACAGCGUACCUUCUCUUGGGGUGCUUUUCAUUUUGCAACAUUUCUUUACGUGUAAUUUCCAGAGGAGGGUUUAUCAUUGUAUACAGCUCUUCGGGUGGUUUUUCUACAAAACAAAUGUCACAAAGAAGGAGGAGAAGCGGAAAAGAUUUACUUGGAAUGUCUCAAGUCUCCUUUGAGAUAAAGGCAUCGAAUGCACAACAUUGUUUUUGUGCUAUUUCAUAAUUAAAGUGUGCUUCCCAAGUCUCCUUUGUGUUUUGUAACUUGUAAUGUUUGUUUUUUUGUUUCCCAUGUUUUGUCUCUUAUAAAAGAAAGGCUUUUUAUCACAAAUGGUCCUUCAGGUUUACAAAAUUAUCACAAAUCGUCCUUCAAGUUUUUUUGUGACACUAAUAGUCCUUCAGGUUAUCAUUUACCCAUCAAAAUGGUCCUUCUGUCAGUUUCUGUCAAAACUGACGUUAAAUUCCUGUGCUCAGCCUGCUUUUGAAAUGAUAAUCUCAUCUUUUCCACUCAACCUUCAACCAAACUCAACUGUCAGAACCCUUUCCCUCCAUUUCCUCAUGGUCCUUCCAGUUUGGCGCCCCUGUAAUAUAUAACCAAUCUUAAAAAUUAAACUUCUGAAGAAAUUGAAACAAUCCAAGCUCAAGAGAAAGACCAACAAUUGAGAACUGCAGAGAAAGAUCAAACUCAUGGAUCAAUAUGGUAAAGCCAAAUUGAAAAACAUAAUUUGCUAAAGAUAAAGCCAAACUGAAAAACCAAACUGAAAAACAUAAAGAUAUCAUUGACAAAUAUAAAAAGUUAAAAAAUAUUGCACAAUCAAAAUACAACCACAUGUUUCACAAAACAAAACAAAACAACCACAUUUGCAGACAAGCUGUAGUUUACACUUUAACAAAGAUUAAAAAACUAACCUGUAUACUUUGGUUGUUUCCCCCCCUUUCGAAAGAACUCCUCGGACUCAUCCAUCUAGUCACUUUUGUAAGAAGAAUAAUGCGUAUUUGACUCUUACGAACCCAGAUAUUCCUUUUGCAGACCAGCUUUAUCAAUUAAAAACCCAAAAAACCUUAAUUGUGCAGGGCCCGAGGAUGAAAUGGAGGGAAAAGGUUAUAUAUGCGGUUUAGAGCGCCAAAAUGGAAGGCCCGAUGAAGAAAUGGAGGGAAAGGGUUAUUUCAGUUGGGUUUGGUCGAAGGUUGAGUGGAAUGAUGCGAUUAUCAUUUCAAAAGGCAGGCUGAGCACGCGACUUUAACGUCAGUUUUGACAGAAACUAACAGAAGGACUAUUUUGAUGGAUAGAUGUUAAACUAAAGGACUAUUAGUGACACAAAAAAACCUAAAGGAUGAUUUGUGAUAAUUUUGUAAACCUGAAGGACCAUUUGUGAUAAAAAGCCUAAAAGAAAUACAGGUCCAAACCACACGGAUCUACUUGCAUAAUAAUGGACCAAAUUUAUGAUUUUUAGAAAGAACCUUCUACUGGUGGAAUCUUGGGCUACUGUUGUGGCUCUCCUCUGUGUGCCUCCUUUUUAGAACGAUAAAAUAUUCAAAAUACCAGAAAAUGUUCAUGAUUAAUGCAAAUAUUAAGAAUUGAAAUUAUUAAUUAAAUGAAGAUAAUAUGGUAAAUUCACACUUUUUCAUAUUAAAAAAAUUAAAAUUAAAAGAAAUAUCAGAUAAUUACUCUUAUUUUUAUGGAACACAGCUACCCAUUAUCUUUUUUAAUUAUAAAAUAAAUUUAAAUUAAAAAAAAAAUCUCUCUCACAGACACGGAAGCGCGUGCUCAGAGGCUAGUUAAAAAUAAUGAACUUUGCUUUUGAAGACGUCUAUACCAGACCCACUCAACCUGCUUUAUGAUUAUGCAAAGAACAAACUCGUCCUUAGACUCAUUUGGUUAAACUUAGAAAAUAAUGAAACAAAAAUAUACACACCCACAAGUAACACAGCCAGGAUUGAAAACAACUGGAAAAAGAAAGGCAUGUCAAAACAAAAUUUUCAACAACUCAUCACCAUUAGACAAGAAAAAGAAAAAUCAAUACAGAAACAGAAAGAACAGAGAAUAAAUGUGGUGGAAGAAAAACGUUGAAGCCAUUUGUGAAUCCAACAACACUACCACUCUGUUUCUCUCCUUUUGUUCAGGCGGAUCUGCAUAUAUCCUAAGGCGUAUUACGGAAACAACUUCUUGCGGUUAUACUUGAAUGUUGUGGAUGCUUCAACGUUGCCAUCUGGGUGGAGUGGAUUUGUCCAAUUCACCUUCACUAUGGUUAAUCAACUAGACAGACAUAAGUCAGAAACAAUAGGUAUAUACGUCCAAAUUGUUGUUAUUUGAAAGGUUCUAAAUUUUAACAUUUUGUUGUAAAUGUGGAGAGAAAAAGUAGAGAAUUGGAAUAGAGAGGAGAGACUGAUUUUCUCAUUCAUAUGUUCAGAUGAAUGUCUUCAGUGUAUAUUUUACAAGUAGGGGGAGGUAUCUAUUUAUAGGCUAAGGUUUUGGUAAAAUACAGGGAAGGAAAGUUCCUGGAAGAUGCAAGGAAACUUCCUCUGUGGGCUCCACCUUCAAACUUUUACAACACUCCCCCUUGGAGACCACAAAUGAUAUGGAAUAUGCCUCGUUAAAAACCUUGCCAGUAAAAACCCAGUGGGACAAAAACUGGUCAAAGGGAAAAAGAGUACAUAAUGAUGUGUAACAUAAAAUUCUGUGUAUAUUGACGCGCGUGCGACACUGCCUCGUUAAAACCUUGCCAGGAAAAACCCAGUGGGAUGAAAACCUGGACGAAGGAAAAAGAGUACAGUGUUUGAAGAUCUUUAUUGAUAGCAUGCUCCCCCUGAUGCUUGGUAAAAUAUCUUUAAGUCAUACUGUUGAUCACCUUUCUGAAUAUCGUAGUUGACACUGCUGCUGUGAGUCAAUCUUGAGCGACACUGCCUCGUUAAAACCUUACCAGGAAAAACCCAGUGGGAUAAAAACCUGGAUGAAGGAAAAAGAGUACAGUGUAUGGAGGUCUUUAUGAAAAACCACGCUCCCCCUGAAAAAUAUCUCCCCCUAAAAAAUUUCAUGACUAGCUUUUCCAGUAUGCGACCAUAGAAAUUUUCAUAGUAUACUCUAAACCCUUGAGCGACACUGCCUCGUUAAAACCUUACCAGGUAAAACCCAAUGGGAUAAAAACCUGGAUGAAGGAAAAAGAGUACAGUGUGGAGCUGACCUCUAUCUGGUCUAGUAUACUUCCGGAAAAACAUUUAAGGUGUCCAACGGAUAAUCCUCAUAAAAAUGCUUCAAUACUUUCUUAGUAUAAGCAAGAAUCUCGUUGGCAUAAUGCUCGAUCUUUAAGUCGAGACAAAUAUUUCGUGACUUCUGCAGAAGCUUUAAUGUGUUGCAAACACAUUAUAAACAAUGUACUCACUGAGGUAAUUUAUGCAUAUUAAUAUUGAGUACAAAUUUUGUGCUUCAAGCACAUGUCCUUUAGGGACUUGCUUUAUGCAAUGUCAAUCCUCUCAACGGAUUUUGUUUAAAAGGGGAUUAAACUUUAUGACACAUUAUAUAGCUUUAACCCAGCUAUUUAUACAUCUUUAGGGAAUCACUUCAAGUGAUAUGCUCUGUGCAUUUAAUAACCCUUAAAGAUAACAUGUUGGUCUCCGUAAUUGUGCAGUAAGGGGGGAGGCACAAUUGAAUCUGUAAAUAUGGAAAAGACCCAACAUUCAUUGUUUCUGCCAGAAACAUUGUGUCAUACAAAGUAGGUAUAUUCCCUUUUAUUCCGAACACCCAAGUAUAAGUUUCAAUAUUAACAUCUUUUGGGGUUCGUACUGUGGGUUUGUUCUUUCACGUUCAUUCUCAUCUAUAAUGGAAUUACCUCUUUCCAUUUUGGCCAAUGAUAUUGUCGACAUCUAAUAAUUGAACGUGGUUCCAAUCAACACAGCCCAUUGAUGAUUUGAGUAGCUACUCCAAAACCAAAAAUUGUCAUUCAUCAAUUCAUUAUCCCACCAUUCUCAUGUGCAUGCGCAUGCAUCAAUUAUAAGCAUUUCUUUGCUUUUGGGUACCCAAGCCACUUCAGGGGGCUUUUAUUAUGUGAGAAUGUGGAUUAUAACCUCCAAUGGAGCGUUAUUUUGCAGUAGGGCGUGGAUAAUCUCCAUUUAGGGAGUUGGAACAUUUAGAACCCAUAUAUCUGUCAUGCUGCAGGCAUGCCACAGAUUAAUACAUACAUGUCAAUUAGUUUAUGGGACUUUAACCCAUAUGAUGGGACUUUAACCCAUGUAAUUUGCUACGCAUUCGGCGUGCAUAAUCUCAAUAUUGACAUGUCAAAGGAUUGUCCAUUCGGGACUUCAAUCCACAUCAUUUGCUACGCAAUAGGCGUGCAUCAUAUUGAUCACUGCUAUACCCAUAUUCUGUUCUUAUGGGACUUUAAUCUGUGCAAUGUAUUAUCAAUGUAUCCAACUUGCAAUCUGUAAAAUUUGCAUUAAUAAUACAUGGAUACAUACAAGCCAUUCUUUUGGGACGGACUUAUCUCCCCAUUUGGUUACCUUUCAAUAUAAAAUAUCAAAUAGGUAUAUAAGCAUAAAAUAACACAAGUAUUGCUUACAUCCUUAGGUGGGAGAAACUUUUCUCAAGUAUCGCUUGAUGAUCUUGUUAUAUCCUGCAAGAGCAAAAAUCACAAUUCCUUUCUCUGUCAAAAACAAAUAAGAGGAAUAGGUAGAACCGGUGAAUUUCAAAUUAACCAUAGGAAAAUUGCGAGAUUCUCGGGAUGCUUUUGAAAAAGUAGCUCCGUGAAAUCCGUAAAGCAAGAUUGGCUUUGAAAAUAAUACUUGAAAACGCCGAAAGUGCCGACAGGCAUUAUUAGAGGCCACGUGAAGUUUUGGACUUCUAGGAAAGAAAAAGAUAAUAUGGGGAUUCGAGAAGAUAUUGGGGUCUUGAAAAACAGUAGCCAUAUUUCCUCCUAUAGAUAUGGCCUUUGCAACAAUUGCGCACCUUCUUAAACUUGCACCUGUGGUUUUUACGCCUUUUCAAAAUGACGGUUUGGAACCUUGUGCCUUAUAGGUUCAAAUAACCACAUUGUUUCUCCCAAAUUUCAUAUUUUAUCGCAUGGUAGCCCGAAACUUUUGGCCUGGGCACAAAUUCAGAAUUUAUUUGCCCUUUUCAAAUGGACAUGAAAUAUGAAUUGAGUAAAAGCCAUGAUAAUAUCGCAAUAUAGUAGUGAAGAGCAUUAACUACUAUAUACCCACAACUUCAAGUUCAGGAUCUCUCAUAUAUUUGGAUCCAUGGGUUUCCGGCCCAGAUAUAACAAAAUAUGUGGGGAGCCUCAAUUCAUCAUUUGAGGUUCAUACUGAUAUUAUCCAUUUCACGGUGUAUUCUUGACAACCGGAAUUCACAAAAUAUAUUUCUUCCUUGAAGUGUCGAUUAUAACAAAAUCGAACUUUAAAUUCAUCAUCUUCUUAUGCCAAAGAAAUAUGUGGCAUACCACAAUUUGCAAUAAUACCUCAAGGGUUGUCCAUUUAAUUGUUGGAACUUCAGGUUCUCAACACUGUUAGAUUUUGAACUUCUGGCCAAAAUCACAUAUUCUCAUGGUAUGGACAUUCAAUCCCCUUAGAUUUUGAACUUCGGGCCAAAAUCACAUAUUCUCAUGGUAUGGACAUUUUUACAAUUUUCUGUACAUAUUUCUGGACUUCAAGCCCUUACAUAAUUGUCCAUAUUUUGAGGAACUUCUGGCAUCUCAUUUAAUUGCUCAUCCAUGAGUUUAAGGAACUGCAGGUUCCCUUUUGAAUGGUGAUGGUUUACCCAAAAUGGUAAAUACUUAUGCAUACAUCACUAUUCAUGUAUACGGCACUAUUUAUGUAUACAGUACAUUUGCCAGUACAGUUAUCAUCCAUGUGUACGGCAUUAUGAACAAAUACGGUACUGUUACAUCAUUAAGGAACCCCAUGUCCUUAUUUACAUGUCAGGGAUCAAGGACCCUCAAGUCCGAUCACAUGUUUACAAAUAUAGUACCGGAGAGACUGCCAGCUCUCAUAUUAACAUCAUCAUCAAGGAUCUUCAAGUCCUGAUGUAAUUGUAUGAUGAGGAUCAAAGAACUUCUGGUCCUGAUCUGUAUACUGUAAAAACUCAUCAUACAGCACAUUUAAUCCAUAGAAUAAAUUGCUGGUAAAUAAAUUACUGGUAUGGACGAUAAACUCGCACCAUACUUUAAAUAAAUAUUGCCUUACAUACACUUACAGCAUCAAUAAUUGAUAUCCAUCCAUGAUCCACCUGUAUAAAUGUAUAUAUAUAUAUGUAUAUAUAUAUAUAUUAUUUUUAUUUGGACUUAAACAGAAACAGGCAUUUUCUAUAGCUGUAAGUAUAAUUGUACCUGCCUACGCUGAAGAUUCCUUUCAUUGUUGCAGGAUGGUGGGCAUUCAGUUUAAAUAAAGCAAACACACACAUUUCAAAUUUUAAUUGAAUUUCAAAUUAGCAGUUUACUUACAUGCCCAUCCAUGACGUAAAAAGCAGAGACAAGUGAUUGUCUUUCGACAAUGACAUGAUAUCACAGUAGUGGGGAUAACGCUAUGAUAUUGGCCGAUCGGCUUCGCUGUAUCCCUGCACACCUUUAAUAAUUAUAUAAUAUUAAAAUAAUAUAAUUAUGUACCUGCACUAUAGACCUGCAUCUUAAGCUUCUUCCCUUUAUGGGGUCUGCCGCUUUGCCUUUUGUUUCCUUUGCUUUGCUUUCCACUGAAGCAAGUUGGCCAGCACCAAUAAUGCCGCCCACAAUGCAAAAAUCAAGUUGGCCAGCACCAAUAAUGCCGCCCACAAUGCAAAAAUCAAGUUGGCUACUUUUGCCUGUUGCUUUCUCAAUUUCCUCCACCCUUUCAUUGUCUUUUCUUCUUUCACUACUUCUCAUCUUCUGCCUCUCUCUUGCCUUUUUUUUUUCUUUUUUUUUUUUUGUAUUCGAUUUUCUGGCAAGCCUCCAAAGACAGCAACGACCAAGUUGCCUUGUCAUGGCUGGCGGCCAUUGCAAAAGCCUUUUCCAUGAAGAAAUGGACUUGGACACGAGGCUGGUUGAUUAUGUAGUUGGAGAUGAAGAAAGCAGCUGACAGUCUAGGGAGGGAGCGAACCAGAGAGUUUGUUACUCCACUGGUGUGGUUGGGAGGUAGGGAUCGUCUGUGGUUGGUACAGAGUUUUCUUCCUCAGCUCAAGCAAGGCAAUAGAGGUAGGUUUGUUUGCUCAGCUCAGCUCAACCUGUGCUCUCUGUGUUUGUUUGCUGGGUUAUCUGGGAGAGUAAUUUUCUUCGGGUUCGGUUCUGGUAUGCUUUUGCAUAUAGAAAACAGAGAACCCAGAAAGGAAAUCCAAGAGAGAGACUUUGGUUGAGAAAAUGGCAAUUUUUGAGAAAAAUGGAGAUGCUGAGGUUGGUUGGACAACACCGAAUGGAAGUUGUUGGGCUCGGAGCAGAGAAUUGGUUCUCUAGAUCGGAGGUUUUGUGUGAAAUUUUACUGGCAAGCAAUCCGUGUGGCUCUGUACAAAACUGGGUUGGUUUUGGGUGGGCAAUCUGGGCUUGGUUUCGAACUGGGUGUCUUGAUCAAUUUCUGGGAUCAAGAAAUCAGAGAUUUCAGCCGGUUAAAGACUCGUGCUGAUAUCGUGUUGUAAAUGUGGAGAGAAAAAGUAGAGAAUUGGAAUAGAGAGGAGAGACUGAUUUUCUCAUUCAUAUGUUCUGAUGAAUGUCUUCAGUGUAUAUUUUACAAGUAGGGGGAGGUAUCUAUUUAUAGGCUAAGGUUUUGGUAAAAUACAGGGAAGGAAAGUUCCUGGAAGAUGCAAGGAAACUUCCUCUGUGGGCUCCACCUUCAAACUUUUACAACACAUUUUGAUUUUUAAAUUUUGUUUUAAUAUUUCGGCCCACUUAGUUCUUCUCAAAAUAUGUCAUCAAUAUCGUUGAAAGGUUGAACUUAGUGAAUUAUUAUAGUGCAGUACGGUAGAAUAAGCACAUGAUAUAAUUUGUCCACAUGUUAUAAUAUAAGUGAAUAUUUAUUGAUAUUAUUUCCAAAAAUAAGAAAUAUCAACAAUUAUAUCCUCCUAUAUUAUAAUACAUAUACAAAUUAUACCACAUUAUCAUACUCUAAUACCAUUUUAUAAUUUCUCGUACUUAGGAGGUAUAGAGCGAGUCAAUGACAUUACAUAAUAUAUAAUUGUUCAUAUAAUGGGGCAACUAACGUGAUCAACAAGUUGUGGUGAUUAAUUUAACAUAAUAAAAAAUAUACCAUUUACUUGAGUGAUGUAACAAUUUGUUCUUUUAAAUUGGAUUGCCAUCACUUUAAUAUGUUAUGUUUCUUAUUAUAGUCUCCCAUGUUAAGUGCUUCAGCAUUGUUUGUGGUGUGUACACAAAUUUUCUUAUAAAAUGUUUUAAUGCUUCUCACAUGUAUAUCAGAUAUAGACAGUUGAUGUGACUUAGAAAUCAAAUUGUCAAUAAAACAAAAAAAUAUAAUUGGUGAUCGAGGUCCAAUUUAAUAGAAAAUAGUCUUAACUUGCAUAUUAAAGGUCUUAUAUUCGAAUCCUCACUGCAUUAUUGUUGUAUGCGUACACAAGAAAUUCUCUUCCCCAAUAAUUUAGACUAUCACUUAUACUAAAAAUAUAUAUAUAUAAUGACUUUUACGAAUGCAAACAUAAAAUUACAUCAAACAAUAAUCACUACUACAAAAAAGCAAAAAGACGACGGUAAAUCACCGUCGUGUAUUGGGGUUUUCAAUGGUCGUGGAAUCCACCGUCAUCUUUUCCCUCAUAAACCACGACGCUAAAUAACCGUCGUUGUUAAAAUAUACAACGUCAUCAACAAAUACAAAACGACGUCUUUGUACUGCAAAAAGAUCUAAAAAAAGCAAUCGAGGAUGAUAAUAGACGACCAACUCUCUAAAAAAACCGUCGUUAAAAAGAAAAAAUAUGACACAUAUUAAGAGAACAAGGCCGCAAGAUAGACAUACAACGACGAAAAUAAAAAUACGACGACGUUAAAUAUAAUUUUCACGACAAUAAAAAAUAUGACGUCUUUAAAUACAUUAGAAGACGACGUUAUUGAUACAUACUACGUCGCAUAUAUAAAAACAACCGUCGUAAAAUUAAUUUUCCACUUCGAUUUUUCGAUAAAAGAUGACGUGGAAAUAGUUGUCAGUGUCAUUAUUUACGACGUAUGUGUUUAUAGAUUAGACGUUGAAAAACUAAACAACGUCGGUUACAAAUAUAUGAGAGUCGUAUUACAAAAUUUAUACGUCCUAUUUUCAGAAACAAACAACGACGAUAAAUAUUAGACGUUGUUAAACAAAACAACGUCGGAAAAAUAAAAACAGACGUGUUUAGUCUGCUAAAGUUCUAGAAAAUAGUCGAGGAUGAGAAUAGACAACCAACUCAAAAAAAUCACCGUCGUUAAAAAGGAAAAAUCUGACACAUAUUAAAAGAACAAGGCCGCAAGAUAUACAUACAACGACGACAACUAAAAUACUACGCCGUUAAAUAUAAUUUACACGACAAGAAAAAAUAUGACGUCUUUAAAUACAUGAGAAGACGACGUUAUUGAAAUCUACUACGUCUCUUAUUUACAAAAAACCGUCGUGAAAUAAAUUUUCCACUUCGAUUUUUCUAAAAAAGAUGACGUGGAAAUAGUUGUCAGUGUCAUUAUUUACGACGUACACAUUUAUAUAGUCGACGUUGUAUUUAUAUGUAUUCAUUACUCACGACGCACUUAAUAAUAUAGACGACGUUGAACUUCUAAACAACGUCGGUUCCAAAUAAAUGAGAGCCGUAUUACAGAACAUAUAGACGGCGUAGAUUAUGAUGAGAGCCGUAUUACAAAUAACGUCGUUUAAUUGUUAUUAGACGGCGGUUAUAAUGAAUUUCCGUCGGAAUUCAUUUCGUUCCUCUUCGUUUAUAAAAGAACUUGCGACGUGGAAAAUGUAUGAUGACGUCGUAUUUUUUAACGUUCAGAUUAUAUAUCUCGUUUUUAGACGUCGGUAUUAUGGGAUUGGAGUCGUGUUAUUUUGAAUUACAUGGCGGUUCUUAAUCCUUCACCGACGUGAUAUCCUGAAUAAUUGCUUCACAAUAGCGUCGUGGUUCUUCAUUGUUACGUUGCUUUAAGACGUCGGUAAAUAUGCUGAAUAACUGAUUCACAAUAACGUCGUGUUUUAUUUGAACGUAGAAAGUGAAGAAAUCACAUUACAAUAUAUUACAAAAUUAAUGUCAUACACUGCCAAUUACAUAAGCAUCAUUCAAUCCAUAUAUCUUCACACCCAUCUCGAAUAUUUUGACCGCCUAACUCACCCACCAGUUCAUCAAAUGUGUCAACAUUUGGCAUCCCUCUAGUAAAUGGCUCACACUCAAUUAUCACAUCACCUAAGACUUCAUCACCAAUAACAUCAUUAUAUUCUCUAUUAGGCAUUGAUAACACUACCGACCAACCACGAUGCAUCGGGUCGUCAACAAAAAAUAUUUGUUUGACUUGAGAAGCCAAAACAAAUUGGUCAUUCCUAUGUCCAAUUUUACUCAAAUCUACAAGGGUAAAUCCAAGUUCGUCGACUACAAGACCAGAACUAUCUAUCCAAUCACACCUAAAGACUGGGAUUGUAAACUUUUGGUAGUCAAGGUCCCAAAUUUCUUGAAUGACACCAUAGAAACCCAUAUUUGAGAGAAUUGGGUUUUUAUCCUUGGCACUAGCAACUUGCAUGGUAUGUGCAAGUAAAUAAACUCCACUAUUUUGAGUUGUCCGCACAUCAUCUUGUGCCUUGAUAUUGAAUUUAAUACCUUUAAUAAGAUAGCUCCUAUAUAAUGGCACUGACAUGUUUGGACCAGCUGCUAGCCACCUUAAAUUUUCUGAUACGCCAUGAUUGUCUUCCUCAAGUUCACUUUGAACCUGCAAAUUAAUCAUAUCUUAAUUCAAUCUAACAUAUAAAUAAGAAGAAAAUUAAAAGAGAAAUAUGUUAUUCAACAACAUAUACCUUGAAGCGUAGCCAUUGAAUGAAAGUGCUAUUGUGCUUAUCCUGCAGCCACUUUGUUCUCUUUCUAAAUUUUGGAUAAGCAGUCUUGAUGUGGAUCAUAUGUUGCCCACAUGACACGAAAAAUUCAAGCAUUACGAUCCUAAAUAUAGAAGAUAAACAUAAGAAAUAAUUUAAAAUGGAAACUUAAAGAAUAAAGCUCAUACGUACUCGAUAUAAGGUAGGACUUCCUCCGUAUUCUCCAAGACAUAUAGAUGUGCUUGAUUCAACAGGUCCUGAUCAACUACGCUCACUGUGCAACCUGAUAAUGGCUUUGAAAGCCCCAUCUUUUGGCUUGAAGGCACUCCAACUGUACUAACAUCAGAUAAAUGCUGAGUACAACACUCUACCGCUUCUUCAGCUAUAUACCGCUCAGCAAUGCAACCUUCGGGACGAGUACGAUUCUGAACAUACCCCUUCAGCACUUUCAUAUAUCUUUCAAACGGAUACAUCCACCGAAAAUAUACUGGCCCACAUAGACGAACUUCUCUGACAAGAUGUACUACUAGAUGAACCAUGAUAUCAAAGAAUGAAGGGGGAAAGUACUUCUCAAGCAAACACAGAGUAACUACUACAUCUUCUUCCAACUUAUCUAGCUUGGAAACAUCAACAGUCUUUGCACAUAUAGCAUUGAAGAAGAAGCACAAACGAGUUAUUGCAUACCUUGCAGGCUUCUCCAAAACAGAACGAAUUGCCACAGGGAGCAAUUGUUGCAUUAAGGUAUGACAAUCAUGUGAUUUAAGGCCAAGAAGUCUUGAAUCUUGUAAAGAUACAAGAUUUUUAAUAUUUGAAGAAUAACCUUCAGGGACCUUCAUACCAUAGAAAGAAUUGCAAACCUCUCUCUUCUCUACUCUUGACAAAUUCCAAGGCCCAGGAGGCAAACGAGUACGUCUUUCUCCAUACUCGGGUUGCAAAUCAGUUUUGACCCCCAUGUUCAAUAAAUCUAAUCGAGCAGCAAUCCCAUCUUUAUUUUUUCCAGGGAUCUCCAGCAAUGUACCAAUGAUACUAUCACAAACAUUCUUCUCAAUGUGCAUAACAUCUAGGGCAUGCCUUACAGGAAGGUAUUUCCAAUACUCGAGAUCAAAGAAUAUUGAUUUCUUCUUCCAACAAACUCUGUCACCAUUUUCAACCAUAUGCAGCACUUCUUCUCCGGUUAAUGGCUCGGGAGGUAUGCCAUAUUCAGGUUUCCCAUUAAAAGCUGCACGUUGCCUCCUAUAUGGAUGAUUGAUUGGUAACCAUUUUCUAUGCCCAAUGUAACAAAUUUUGUGGCCAUUUUUCAACCUGUGACUAGGUGUAUCAUCGCCGCAUAUUGGACAAGCUUUAUAUCCUUUAACAACACAACCAGAUAAGUUUCCAUAGGCGGGGAAAUCAUUAAUUGUCCACAUUAAUGCAGCUCUGAGUGUAAAGUAUUCUCCAUUAUGUGCAUCAUACACUCCUCUAAUCCCAUCCCACAAAGAUUUUAAAUCAUCAAUCAAAGGCUCCAAGUAGACGUCUAUAUCAUUUCCGGGUUGUUUAGGACCGAAAAUCAAUAAGGUUAACAUCAUGAACUUUCGUUUCAUGCACAGCCAUGGAGGGAGAUUAUAUGUAACUAAGAUAACCGGCCAACAACUAUAUCUGCUACUUAGAGAACUGUGGGGAUUGAAUCCAUCAGAUGAAAGAGCCAAUCUCAAGUUUCUCGGCUCAUUACCAAACUCAGGCCAUUUAUCAUCAAGAAGUUUCCAAGACGGGGAAUCCGCCGGAUGAGACAUCUGACCGUCAAUUGAUUUUCUAGGAGCAUGCCAAGUCAAACUCUUAGCUGUCUCAUGUGAUUGAAACAUCCUUUUAAACCUUGGAAUUGGAGGAAAAUACCACACCACCUUCGCUGGCACACCCUCUUUCAAGAUUGAAUCUUUGCCUUCCUUCCACCUUGAGAUACCACAAGUAGGACAAUUAGUUGAAUCCUCAUACUCCUUCCUAUACAAGAUGCAAUCAUUGGGGCAUGCGUGCAUUUUCUCAUAACUCAGCCCCAAUGCACACAAAGUCUUUUUAGCCUCAUACAUAGAGGUUGGUAUUGUAUUUCCUUAUGGAAGCAAAUCGCCUUGAAGUAUCAAUAAUUCUGUAAAACAGACAUCACUCAUCCCAUGUUUUGCCUUCAAAUUAUACAACUUCACUAAUGCCGAUAACUUCGUGUACUUUCUACAACCAGGGUACACUGGUUGAUCUCCAUCCCCAAUCACAUUGGCAAACUCAUACGGAUCGGAACCAAAAUCAUUAUCAUCCAUAUCAAUUUCUUCAGACACAAAACUGUACCUACUAUGGCCAUCAUCUUCUUCAACAUUUCUACUAGCAUUAGUAGUUGCUUCCCAAGGUUCUCCGUGAAAUGUCCAAUUCUUAUAGCUUUGGUCAAUUCCAUUAAAGUAUAAGUGAUCCCUUAUAAUUCCAACCCCAAACAACUUCAAAUUAACACAUUUAACACAUGGACAACGGAUAUGUGUUGUAGUUAGAAGAUUUUCUACAGCAAAGUUCAAAAAUGCUUCCACCCCAAACUCAUAUGCCUUCGAUCUUCUAUCCGAGUGCAUCAUUGACUUAUCCAUCUCCGACACUAUAACCUAUUAUCUAUAAUAAAGUGAAAAUACAGGCAAUGACCAUCACUAUAGCAGAUUAUACAAAGAUCUAAUAGCAAGUAAUACACAACAAAGACGACGGGUUUUAAACAAAAACAGACGUAUUUGGCAUAUAUAGACGACGGAUUUUCAACAGACGUCGUCUAAUAUAAGUAAUACAAACGACGGUUUAUGAAAAAACCGUCGUGUAUAAGUAAUACAACGACGGUUUUUUCAUAAACCGUCGUGUAAUCGUCGGCGUAUGCCUAAAAAGGCGUCGUGUCUCAGUUUAUUUUCAAGAACCCAAAACCCAUUAAGAACACAACAUAUAUAUGAAACCAAGCAAGAAAACAACAUAUACAUGAAACCAAGCAUGAAAACAAUAAAUCCAUUCCCAAUUCAACAUAACAUAGGGUGAUUAAAAGAUCCGACAAAAUUAAAUCCAUUCCCAAUUCAACAUAACAGAUAAUGUAAUCCAUGAACCCAUUAAACAGAAAAUCCAUGAACCCAUACUUAUAAGCACAUUAUUAACAGAUCGCAAAGCAUAUACCUAAAACCCUUUAACAAAACAACCUAAUAUCAUUCAAUGAAUUUACAAGGGGAAGAUAGGGUUUGUACUUACAGGUUGGACGAGCUCACAGAUUCGACGGAGCAGAAGUGAGAGAGCAACUUUUAAUUAGAGCAGAAGUGAGAGAGCGAAAUGUUAUGUUGCGCGAAAUCUGAAAAUUUUAGGGUUCAGGGUUAGAAGAAUAAGAAUAAGAGCCAAAUAUAAAAAAAUUUAGGACGCGUGAAAAUUUUUAGAGCGCGCGCUCUUUAAAACUUCGAAAGAAAAACCAUGGCGAAAGUUCUACAAGAACCGACAUAAAUGUAAUAUUCCACGACGGAAACACUGAACGUAACGCCGUUUAUUUUGACGCUUCAUUUUUCGGAUUAAUUUUAAAUUUAUUUUCAAUAUUUUGAUAUAAAGACGACUGAAAAACCACGUCGGGGUUAAGAAAUUGAAAACGUUGUAAAUUAUAAUAGACGACUUACAUAUUAAAAUGACGUCGUUUAAAGUAGAAACUAUGUCGGAUAAUUUACUGCACGACGUAACAUAUGUAUUCCACGACUCAACCACCGUCGUUAACAAUUAAUACCCUAAACCCUUAAAACUAAAUUAUAUAAUUUUAAAAAUUAACUUUAUAAAAGGGUUUAUGGUUUUACAGCCUAAUAUAUACCCUAGACUACCCAAAAAUUAUACUUUAAAAAUAAACCCCAAUAAAUAACAACCCUAAUCUCUAAACCCUAGACUCUAAACCCUAAACCAUAAAACUAGAAGUGAUUUUAUGACUCAUCAAAACAAUUUUGUUUUGGAUGUUCAUUUUAAAUUUUUGUAAUUCAAAAUGAAUUUUUUCAAGGUUUAGGGGGAAGAAAAUAUAUCAAUGACUUCAUAGGAGUUGACUUUGCAUUUUUCUGAUUUAUUUUAAAUUUAUUUUGAAUAUUUUGAUAUAAAAAUAAUAAAAUAUUCUUAUCACAACAACAAACCACGUCGGUGUUGAUAAAUUGUAGACGUUGUAAAUUGUAAUAGACGACUAAGUUGUUAAAAUGACGUCGUUUAAAUGAGAAACGAUGGCGGAUAUUUAACUAUCCGACGUAAAAUAUAUAUUCCUCGACUUAACCACUGUCGUUACAAAGUACUACCCUGAACCCUUAAGAAAUUGAAGACGUUGUAAACCAUAAACGACUCCAUUGUUCAAAGAACGUCGUCUAAAUAUCCUUUUACGCCGGAUUUGUUUAAAACGAAACCACAAAAAACGACGGCUUUUGACUUUAUUACGUCGUUGGAAAAUUAUUACACGUCGGUUACGCAUUUUGUAUGUUUGUUUUUGUUUUUACUUUAAGAAAACCUCAACAAAUUUUUACAUUAUAUAUUAUAGACAAAAUUUGUACAUUAUACAUAAAUAUCAAGUGUUCAAUAAUUCCCCUAUUCCAGUUGAAUGCAAACAAACUCUGCCCAUUCAUUCCGGACUUCAUCAAUUGCUUCUUGGGGGUAUGGCUCUUCCUGUUUUCCCUUCGCAUACUGCAUAAAAACAAUGACUAUUAGGGUUUAUAAAUAAAAGGAAAUUCAAUCACAGACGACCAUAACCGACGUAGUAUAUCUAUUCAACGACGGUAAUUUUACAUGACCGUCGUUGAUAAUACAAAAAACGACGUAAAAUGUUUGAAGGUUAUUUCUUCUUACCUUCUUCUCAAACCCCAAGGAAGGAUCCAUGAUGAUGUCCUUCAUGAAGCGCAUCACGUAAUACCCGCAUUCGACAUUGCUGGGUUGCUUUGGUGUGCCUGACAGGGUUUUCCAAAUGACUGCCUUACGGCCUGAUCUGGCUAUGUGGGAAUUAUAAAUUUUUAUGGCACUGUUCACGAUGUCUUUGGCCUCUUCAUCGACCACACGAUUUCCUGGCAGAGGAUCCAGAAAAUAGACUGUUUCCCUCUUUGCUCUUACAAUCAGCAAGAUCCAAUGACGGCUGCACAAAAUUAAUAUAAAAACGACGGUUAUUUACAAAAACGACGUAUUAUAAUAUUUCACACGACGAAAUAAAGUAGCAAUCGACGACAUUAUAUAUUUAUAACGACGAUAAAUAACUACCGACGUGGUUAGUCGUUUCAAACGACUCAAUAAAAUAAAACACCGACGUGGUUAGUUUAUACGCUGUCAUUUAUUGAAAAUCAUAAAAACAAAAUCCUGUUAAGGAGACUAACCCUGGAUUGUAAGGCAUGAGGAAAAUCUGUUCACCGUCAGUCUUCUGAAGUCGUGAUGCUACAAGCCGUGAUCUGUCAGCUAUUGUGCCAGAGCUGGCACUAACUGUAGCAGGGUCGAUAAAGCCAACCAUUGUGCACAUAUUUGCUUGUUUUAAAACAUCGUGUAAGUACCUAAAUAUAUAAAAUAAUAUAAACAAGUCAGCGCAAAAAAAACACACGACGGUUAUGUAUAACAAAACGACGUAUUAUAAGGUUUCACACGACGUACUGAAAUAGACAACGACGUUAUAAUAAAUUUAUCACGACGGUACAUACUAACGACGUGGUUAGUUAGUUAAGACGACGCAAUAAAUAAACCAACGACGUAUUAUUUUAGAAUGACAAACCUCAUAUAUACAGCAAUGACUGUAGCUCCUAUUUCCUCCAUGCCUGCAAAUUGUGUAAUAUCUUCAGGCAGGAGGAAGGUAUCGCGCUCUAGACCAAACACCUCCUUAUCAAUUGUAAAGUGCAGGGUCUUAUCUUGAGUUACGAGUGUCGUUUCCACAUAACGACAAAGGGUUUGUAAAGAAGAUGGCGCCUCCAUAUUUGAAUAAUCAACAACUUUAGUAACCUGUUUAAAGAAAUAAAAAAAUGACGUGGUAAUUCAAUAAAAACGACGGUUUAAGGAAUAAAAUGUCGUUUGAAAACAAUUUAAACGACGGUGAAAAAACCGUCGUGGUGAAUUAUUUAUUACGUCUUAGAAAACAAUUCCGCCGUCUAAGUUGUAAACAAACGACGGUUUAAAGAAAAAUAUCGACGUCUGGAAUUUUGAAAACAAAUAAAAAAGGUAAAGUUAUGUGAACAUACCUGGUCGUCAUCUUCUUUCUCCUUUUCAUCUUGUUUUUCUUCCUUAUUCUCUUCAUAUAUGACGUCGGGAAUGAUUAACUCCGUCAUCUAAAAACCACAAAGUUUUAAAAAUAACGACGUUUAAUGGCGUGUAAAACAAGUAAACUAAAUACGACGUGGUAUUGAAAUACAAACGACGGUUUAUUUUUAAAAUCGUCGUGGUAUGUAUUUCAAACGACGGUUUUAUUAAAAAUAACGACGUCUAAUGGUUUUUAAAAAAACAGAGAAUUCAAAGUUCAGAUAUGUUACCUUUUCUUCCUGAUGUUUCCCAUUUUUGGCAGUAUCAUCCUCAAAAUGCUGGGAUCUCACAUCACCUCCAGAGCAGCUUGCUUUGUCAGACAUUGGAUUUUUGGGACUUUGGCUAAUUCUGGGUUUAAGCAUGCUUGGAUCAAAAUUGGGAAUUAAUUGGGAAAGCUGACUCAGGAAAUGCUCCCUCUCAGCCUCUACCAAUUGUUUCGUUCUAGCCUCCAUUCUUAAAGCCUCUUCCCUUGCCUUAGCCUCCAUCUUUUUAGUCUCUUCUUGAAGGAGAACUCUUAAACUGUCCUUCAAACGGUCGUCAAAGCUCACUCUCUGUGGUUUGGGUAAAUUGAAAUAUUGCUUUGGUGAGAUCCCAGCACCUACUCCUCUGACUCUGCCUGGAUGCUCGGGGCCCAAAGCCAUGGUCAGCACAUCAUUGCUGCCAGAGACGGUGACUUUGCCUUCCGAGACUUGUUUUUGCAAAUCAUCCUAAAACAAAGAUAUAUAAAAAAGUAAGAACAAAAACACACGACGGUUAUUUAUAUACAAACGACGUAUUAUAUAAUUUCACACGACUCAAUAACAUAUAAAUCGACGUUAUUAUAAUUUAUCACGACGGUAGUUAUACCGACGUGGUUAGUUCUUUAAAACGACGAAAUUAAUAAACCACCAACGUCUUAUGUAACAGAGGGAUGAUUCAAUAUUCACACCUUUAACGACGUUGUUUAAAACAUUUCGACGUAGUAAUUUAAUACAGACGACGCGAAAUUGAACCACCGACAUCUUAUGCUAUAAUUACAGAAAACAGAGUUCUGAUUCCUAUUUAGACCUUUAACGACGUGUUUUAAAAAAUGUCGACGUGGUAAUAUCAUUCACACGACGCAAAAUAUAACAUAAGACGUAAUAAGAAUUAUUCACAGUUUAAUAAAAAUUUAAAACAGAGUGAGUAGGCUUACAAUUAAUUUUGCUUUCUCUGCCACCUUUGGAUCAGGGAUGUUACCAUGUUUGUCAUGUCUAGCUCUCUUCCAUAAGGUAGAUCGAUCAAUUUCUACCCCAGGCAUGGUUUCCUCUAAUUGAUCCUCCAAACCGGCAUAUCCUUUUCGAGACAAUCGAUGAUUGUACUCGAGUUUCUCCCUAAUCUGUGCAUGUUGAGAAUGCACAGACUCAAAAUCUUUGGAUAGCCUUGAAGCUACAAAGGCAUCCCAUUGUGCUUUCUCUAUGAAUUUAUAUGUUUCAGGGGGUUGGCUUAAUCUCUCCCUGUCAUUGGUGUAUGGAAGGAUAUAAUGCCUCGUUAGUGUAGACUUGAAAUCCUUCCAUUUCUUGGCAGCAGAAGCUAAGACAGAGUUCUUGCCCCCUUGACCUACUACAAAAGCAAUGUCAACUGCUUCCCAAAUCUGCUCCUUUAUAUCCUUGGGGAUUUGAGCCCAUUUCAAGUCCACAAGUGGAACUCUGGAGCGUGCCAACACACCAAUAUAGGACUGCAUCUCACUAUGAGCUUGGCCAAUUCCUUUCCCCCUUUUAUUGUACUCAACAAUUGGCCUCAGUUUCUGCAGUUUUCUCUUCACAACACGAGGCAUUGUGCUCAUACCUCGACCAGCCUUUGAAUCAUCAGAUAUUGUUGUCCCGCUGGUUGGUUCUGUAUCAGCAGAUGAUGAAGCAAACUUCAUCUUCUUCGAAGACUUCAUUAUCUUCGAAGACUUCUCUUGAGGAGGUACUUGCUCCUCACCUCCAUUUUUCUUGGAGCCAGAAUCCUUACUUUAGUCUUGUUGAGAAACCAUUUUUACAGACAAAACUGCAAGUGAAAAUAUUUCAAGAAAAGAUUAAGAACACAAACGACGGUUAUUAAUAAAAUACGACGUAUGAUAUGAUUUUAAACGACGCAAUGAAAUAAUAUCAGACGUAAUAAAUUUUUAAAACGAAGGUAAUUAAACAACGACGAAAUAAUUGACUACAAACGACGAGAUAAUUAACUAUAAACGACGGAAUAUUUAUAUAACGUCGUGGUAUUGAUGUUCACACGACGUCAGUAGUAAUAUACCGUCGUCUAUAUAAGGAUCCAAAACCCUUCUUUCUUUCUCUGUGAAUGUUUGAUUGCAGAUUUGAUUUUUCUGAACCAUGGUUUUUGUUUUCUAAUUUGAUAAAAUACAAGGCCAAGAAAGAAAGUUUUGGAAUCUUAUAUAGACGACGGUAUUUUAAUAUGACGUCGUGGUAUUAACAUUCACACGACGUAAAACAAUAAGAUACUGUCGUCUAUAUUAGAUACCAACCCUAAUUUCUUUUUCUUUAUAUUUUAUCAAAUUAGGGAAAAACAAAAACCAUUGUUCAGAAAAAUCAAACCUGCAAUUAAACAAGCAAAUAAAAAAAAGACUAAAAUUUUAAAAACAACUUUGUCAAUUUUCAGACGACGCUAGAACGACUGACGAACCGUCGUGGUCUACAUAUUUAACCACGUAAAUAAGAAGCUACCGUCGUCUUAUUUAGUUAAGGUAGUUGUCUUCAAAGUUGGAAACUUUCCCUCUUUGUCUGUAUAUUUUAUCGAACUUGGAAAGAAGUAAAAUGAUUUUGGCCAGAAAAAAGGUAAAAAGAUUUUUCAAACAAAAAACGUAUGAGCAUGCAAAACAGCAACCAAAAUAGUGAAAAUGAAAGCUUACCUUUUGUGUGCAAUGAAAGCAAGAGGAAGACGAUCGAUGUUUAAAUUCAGAGACGACGAAGAAGACGAGAGGAAGACGAUGAGAUACUCUGAAAGUGCUCUGACAAGGAAAAAAGUCUAAAAGUUUUCUCUGGGAGAUUGAAAUUUUUAAUCGGGUUUGGAAAAAGUGCAUGUGUAAGUCAGGUAGACGAAAAGUUGCUUAUAUAUAAAACCAUUUCAAAAAAAUAAUACGGCGGUUACAUAUAACUACGACGUAUAAAUUACAAAAUACGACAGUACGUUUAACUUCGGACGUGGUAAAUAAUUACGACAGUAGUGUUAUAGGUACCGUCGUAGUAAACUCAAAAUUAAAGUACAUAAGUAAUAACUCGCGUCAUGGUAGAUCAUUUAACACGUCGGUUUUAUUAAUGUACCGACGUGGAUUUAUGUAAUAUACGUCGGUAAUACCGACGUUGAUUUUACAAUUUAAACGGCGGUUUUUUUGUAAGGACCGCCGUUGGUUUUAAAAAUUUAUUCUAUAAAUUUGUUGCUUUCAUUCAUUUUCGGUUUACAUUUAGGGUUCCAAGUUCUUCCUCUCUCAGAGACACUAUCUCUCACAUCUCAAAGACAGUAAUUUGGAUGUCUUUCUCAAAGAGAAAUUGAGCUUACUCGCAUCAAAUCUAUGUCCACAAGAAGAAGCUUGUCAACUAGCCUUCUCACUUCCUUGAUCAAGCCUGAUAGGACACUUAGUGCUUCUGAAUACUCCUUGCUUUCCAUCAAAAGAGAUGCAAGCCUGGCCUCCACUCGCUGUCGAAGGAAAGUUCGCUUCUCAGGGAAAUCUGAAGAUCAGAUGUGCCUGAUCCUCUGCUUGAUUUUCUUGGCUAAGAAGAUCCGUCAGAUUUGUGAUAGCCUCUUCCUUUAUCCGUAGAGCUUCAGAAGAAGAAGAUGGGUUUCAAGAAUGCGAUAAAGAAUAGAAAUGGCUUCAGAUGGCCUCUAAAGCAUGAGCAAUCGAAUCAGUGCUUUGAACUAUACUUUGAACUAUACAAGUCAAUGCUUUGAACUAUACAAGUCCUGCAGAAAGAUAAAGGACCAAACUAUUAAAGAAACCCCAAACUAACACGACGCAAUAUUUGUUUUGCGACGUGGAAUCUUUUCAUUUAACGUCGUUAGGUUUAAUAUAACCGACGUGGAUUUGAAUUUUUAAAUUAUGAAUAGCAUUUUUUUUCCCGUGACCUUUCAGUUUAUUUUUCAAUUACAGUGCGUUAUAAAUAGAGUUUUUUUUCCGGAGGAAAUUUAAAAUGAAGGAAAUUAAUGUUCUGGAAUAUGUAAAAUUUCUUUUUUGGAUGACAGAUUUAAAUAAAAUAAGAAUAUAAAAACAACGACUGUUUUUGUAUUACUGUCGUCGUUUUUCGUCGUCUUAAGUAAGACUAAGACAACGUAAUAUAUUUGUUGAGCGACGUUGAUUUGUGUUUUAAACGUCCUUAGGUAUAAUAUAACCGUCGUUGAAAAUUGUCUCUCUGAUUGCAAAUUUGCAACGACGUUAGGUAUAAUAUUUGUAGAUACACAAACGCACACACAUCAUCAACUUCCAAAAAAUUGUCUCUCUGAUUGCAAAUCUGUGUCAUCUGUUAAGAUUAUGAUGUGGAACAAAGUUCCAUUUGGUAAGAUUUCGUAACCCUUGGGAUCUCAGAAAAAUCUGAUUAUGUCGGCGAUUUUCUAUAUAAACCGUCGUGGUUAUUUCAAUUCUUGUCAUUAAGUAGAUCUACCGACGUAGGAUAAGAAAAUCAAAGAAAAAAAUUGUUAACAAAAAUUCUUAUUAAGACGACGGUUUAAAUUAAAGGUAAGACGUAUAAAAUGAAUAAAUACGACGUUAAAUUUUAUAGUACGAUUUAAAGAUAACGUCGUAGAACUAUACCAGAAUGACGUCGAUAUAUUUAUAUUUUUCGUCGUUGUACAUUAAUUUAAUACGGCGAUAUUUUGUAUUUUAAAGUCGUGGAUUUGUUUGUAAUUAUACAGCGUCUUAUACGAAAACCUCGUCGUGUUAUUUUAUGAGUAAAAACGGCGGCUUUUAUUGAAAUCGUCGUCUUUACUUUCUACGUCGGUUGAUUCAUAACUUCUGUCGUUCUUUGUUGGCUUUGAUUUUACACUGCGGAAAUCUGUUUCAAAUAGACGUCGGUUGUUUAAUUAAGUACGUCGUUGUUUUUGAACAGCCAUUUGAAUCUCCAUUUUUUAGUUGUCUAAGGUGGUAUUACACGACGGUGUUUUUAGAACCGUCGUCUUUUUAAAAACCACGACGGUUUUCACUGAGACCGUCGUUGUUUUCUGGUCGUCUUUUUCACUUUUUGUAGUAGUGAAUGGAAUAGAAUGAUGGAAGUUAUUUUUUUUUUUUCCUACGUCUAAAGUAUACUUUAUAUAUAUAUAUAUAUAUUUAUAUUUAUUAUGGAAGUUAUAACCGUUUAAUUUUCAGUUUUUAUUUUCUAUUUAUUGUUUUAAUUUUUAUAGUUUAAUGUGUAUGGAGAUUUCAAGUAUUGGAUGUUUAUAAAGGGUCACUCCUCCUUCACAUCUGAAACAAACCACCAUCUCAUUUCUGUAUUUUCAUACUUUCAUAUAUUUUCUACUUUCCAGAUUAUUAUUUUUGGGCAACGGUUCUGUGACUUGGAGAUUUCUAUCCGAUUAUUAACAUGCUCAUAGCGGACCUUGAGCUUGCGUAUUGAGGAUAGUAUCUUGGAGCCUUGUAGACCUUUAUUACCUGCAUGUAGGGAGGCUAUAAAUGCUUUAAGUCAGCGUCUUUGACGUGCUUUUGCUUUCUUUUUUUUACUUAUUUCUUCGUUACUUUAUUUUUACUUUACUUUUAAAUCUUUAUUUUAUGUAUUAUUUAUAUUUAAAAAUUUUGAAUAAGAGUUUUACAGAAAAGGAAAAACACAAUUUCAAAUAACACAAAUUUCUCGUUUUUUGUUCUUAAAAAAGAAGAAGCAUUGAUUGGGGAGUUAUGGUAAACUCAGUUUCAAUGGUUGCGAUGAGAGGCGGUGGCGGCGAGGAGAGGACGAAGGCUUUGCUGCCGACGGGGUGGUGUGGGUGGGUGGAGACCUCGGCUGGCUGCUUGGUCCUGGGUUCUCCUUUAAUUCUCUGUUUUCUUUUUUCAUAUUUUUCUUUUUCUCUUAGAGUUAUUGAUGUUAAGUGAAUGGACAGAUGCCAAGAGAAGAUGUGAACCCAAUUAUAUACAGCUGAUUACAUAAAGUAACAAAUUAAUUAAUACUUGAGUGGAGGACAGGCUCGAGUGGAAGAAUUGAUUAAGGCUUGAGUGGAAGACAAACUUCAGUGGAGGAAAGUACAGAUAAGGAAAGCAUGCCACGUUUAACGGCUUUAUCUCAACAAAUUAGGAAUGCUGGUUUUGUUUCCUCGGUGGUUGAAAGGUGGUGCCUUGGCUCGGACAUCUCCCUAGUAAUUAAUCGAAGGUGGAAUCUUACAAGACAUUCAGCUGCUCAUUAGCUGAAUAUCUCGCUCUCUUUAAAGAGAUCGAAGCAAACUGCAAUUUGCAAUUUGUGUGAUUCAAGCAUGAAUAUCUGACAUAGUAACUAUACCAUUUGUUGGUUUGAUGAGAAAAGUUUGGUUAGCGAGGAUGAAACCAUAAAGUUCCCCAAAACACACAAAGAGCACGGACAAUUGCUAAGUUUAUCUUUGAGUUCACGCAUAUUUGCACAAAUGAGAUUACUCCAAGUAUGACUAUACCAUUUGUUGGUUUGAUGUGAAAAAUAUGGGCAACGAGGGUAAAACUAUACAAACACACACAAAGAAAGUGGACAAUUACUAAGUUUAUCUUUGCGUUAUUCAUCCGACCUAACUGUAAAAUAAAAAAGAUGAAAAUAUAUAAUGUUCACUACUUAGAUCUAUGAGCACUAAAGUCCUCCUUUUGGAAUUGCACAAAACGUCACUUUUGGUCUUUGACAAAUUUUUAAAAUAAAUGAAUUUUUUACUUAUUUGUGGACUGAAAUGCCUCAAAAAAAAUAAUGAUAAUUUGAAGAAUUUGAUAGAAAUUAAAAAAUAUCCUCAAAUUACUUGGAAUUGAAGACCACAUAGGCAAAAACACCACUUUGGACAAAGGCUGGUGAUAAUAGUCGAUAUCAUCUUUUGUCGGUCCGACCUAAAAAGAAGAAAAAGUUGAAAGCAUCUUGUUACCAUUUUUGCCAAUGUGGGUCCAGACAAUUUGAAGAAGUCCACCGACAAUUUCUCAAAAGCUAUUGUGUGAGUGUUUUGAAGCUAAACCAAUAUUAUUUUGCACAUACGACCCCACAUCCCCAUGUGAGGCUACAGAAGUGUUUCCAAAACGAAACAUGAUAUUUCAAAACAAAGCUAUGUAUAGAAUAGAGUCAUUUGUAUUUGCUUUCACAAUAACAUUUUAUUUGUGAAAGCAUUUUAUAUUUUUACAUUAUGAUGUUCUAACAAAUAAAUUGACUAUAUUUGGCCAACAGGGUUUAACCGAGUAAAAAAGUCCUUAUUUAUAAACUACUGGUUUCAUAUUUGAACUCUAUGACAUUCUCUUUACCCUUAAAGUUUAGACUAUCGCAUGUAUUAUAAAUAAAAAAAAACAAUUGGCUUAAUUUGAUAUAUUUCAUUUUAUGCUGGGUGCCGUUAUUAAGUUUUAUCCUUGUUUCUUGUUGAAAAAAAAUUGAUAAAAAAUAAGAAUUCCUAUAGCUAGCAACUUCUCCACCUUCCCUUCUUCGCAACUAGGGAUGCCAUUGCAAGGUCACCAUCUCAGAUUAAGUCCUCCUUUUAAAAUUGUGUUGUUAUUCAAAAUUGGAAUAUGCUGGUCAUUCUUGAUAUAAUCUGUUCCACAAAAAGAAAAAGAAAAAAGUUGAUAGCAUCUUUUACCACUUUGGCCACUUUUGAAGAUAUUCACCGACAAUUUCUCAAAAGCUAUUAAGCUGUACGUCCACAAUAUUAUUGCAUCCAACUUUGCAUAUACGACCCCAUCCCCAUGUGAGGCUACAAUAUUGUUAAAAAAAUAUGCUAACAUUGUCAUUCAGUAUGCUAACAUUGUCACUAUGUUUGCGAAUUGCAUAUUAUCUAGAACAUAAAGGCUUUGGUGUUUUGUAGAUCCUCAGGGAGCCAAACCCGUCUUUAUAAAAAUGGUCCUUAUGAUACUACUUUAACAACAAUAAAGUAUAAUAAACUAGGCCUUUGUAGUCACUGAACGAAUGUUUUGUCAUAUAUAUGACUAUUUAAAUGUAAUUACGGGAUUAAAACAUUAUAAUAAAUUGGAGUGAACCAUAACAUUAUAUAUGAUCCAAUCCUUUGCAUAUAUUUUUGUUCAAGACUUUGUUUUAGAAUGCUCUAUUACUAAUUUGGUACAGGUCUCUAAAAUCUAUGCCUUUAUGAGGCAACGUCUUUAUUUCUUUGGUUAUUCCAGUUUAGAAUAUUUGCACAAAUGAGAUGACUCCCAGCAUAAAGUCACAUUCAACCAAAAAGCAUGAAGUCACACACAAAAAGAAUACGGACAAUUGCUAAGUUUAUCUUGUAUCCUUAUUUUAUUGAUCCAACCCAAUUGAAAAAUUAAAAAGAUGAUAUAAUAUACUGUUCACUGCUUACAUCCAUGAGUAAAGUCCUCCAUUUGAAAUUGCGUGAUGAUAUAAAAUUGGAAUGAAAAAAGAAAAUCCUACAGCUAAAUUUGAUAUAUUUCCUUUUCAUUUUAUGCUGGGUGUUAAGUUUUCUUAUUUCUUGUUGAAAAGAAAAAUGAAAAGAAAUAAAUAAAUUCCACAGCUAGCCACUUAUCCACCUUCCCUUCUUCCCAUGUAGUGACAACAAGGGAGGCCUUCAAUCCAAAAUAAAGACAAGGGAUGCCAGAUCAGCAUCUCAGAUAAGUAUCCCAACCAAAACCAAUCAAAUAAUGACAUAUGUAUCUCUUUUUGUGUUUUGUUCUAUUUCUCUUUGAAUUAACUGCAUAGUUUCAUAAGCGUGUCCUCCUUUUGAAAUUGUGUAUUAUUCAAAAUUGGAAUUUGCUGAUCAUACUUGAUAUCAGCUAAAAAAGUUUCCAACAUCUUGUACCAUUUUUUUCCAGUGUGGGUCAUAACUUGAAGAAGCCCACCGACAAUUUCUCAAAAGCUAUUACCAUCCAACUUUGAAAAAUAAAAGUUUUCAAAAGUUACCCCAAACAACAGUCCUUGAAAGAGAGAGUUUUCCAAGGCUAAAGAUUACAAGGAUGUUAUUUACAGUCUCGACAACGACAAGCUUCAUAUUUGUUUACAAACCUGUAUUUUCAAGUUGUGCUAGCCUAGCUACUUGCAAAAAAUAUCCAGUUGGCACAUGCAUUAACGUGUGACAAGAAGUUAGUUAUAUUUGUAAAGUAAAAGAACGAAGUACAUAGCAUGUAAGUUGAUGCUAAAUAUUUGAUCAACAGAGUUAAACAUAAAACCACUGACAAUAUAACGUUGUUCACCAAAAAUUGCAUUUCGUUGAGGGUCAGUAGUGUAGGUUUCAAGAUACGAUUUAUUUUGUUAAAGAAUAUUCUGAUAUUCUAACAAUAAAAUUGGCUCAAUUUGAUAUGUUUCUCUCUCUUUUUUUGUUUCUGUUUUCCCUUUCAUUUGAUGCUUUGUUGUGCUAUUGCUAAGUUUAUCUUAGAGACCAGGGAUGCUUAGCAAGUUUCUUCACCUGCCCUUCUUCCCAUGUACUAACUAGGGAUACCAUGUCAGAAUCUUAGAUAAGAAUCCCAUGCUUUGUUGUGCUAUUGCUAAGUUUAUCUUAGAGACCAGGGAUGCUUAGCAAGUUUCUUCACCUGCCCUUCUUCCCAUGUACUAACUAGGGAUACCAUGUCAGAAUCUUAGAUAAGAAUCCCAACCCAAUCAAACUAUGACAUCUGUAAGUAUUCAAAAUUGGAAUUUGCAUUGUGAUAGUUGAGUGGAAGAAUCGAUUAAGGCUUGAGUGGAAGACAAACUUCAGUGGAGGAAAGUAAUUAAUUAGACCAUUAUUUGUUGGUUUGAUGAGAAAAGUUUGCUGGUGAUAGUCCAUAAUCUUUGUCCGACCAGAAAAUAAGAAAAGUUGUCUUGUACCAUUUCUGCCAGUGUGGGUCCCACCCACCCCAUGCGAGUAAUUUGAAGAAGUCCACCGACAAUUUCCCAAAAGCUUUGGCGUCCAACUUUGCCGACCCCAUCCCCAUGUGAGGCCAUAGAAAAGUUUUCAGCCACAAUCAAAUAAGGAACAGUCCUUGAAAAGAGAGGGUUUUCCAAGGCCAAGAUUACAAGUUCAUGUUAUUUACAGUCUCAAAAAGCUUCCAUACUUGUUUACAAACCUGUAUUUUCAAGUUGUGCUAGCCUAGCUAUUUGCAAAUCUUGGAAUAUUUUACUUCAUCCAAAUCCCUUGAAGUCUGCAGAGAAGAUAAAAGACAUGGCUUUGAUUGGAGAGGCUCUUAUCUCUGCUUCCGUCCAGGUGUUGUGCGACAGAAUUACUUCACCCGAGUUCGUUGACUUAUUUCGGCACAAGAAACUCGAUGAGCCACUCCUCAGGAAGCUGAGGACGACACUGUUGGCCUUGAACUUGGUGCUCAAUGAUGCAGAGGAGAAGCAACUUGUGAACCGAGAUGUGAAAAAGUGGCUUGACGAGCUCAAACAUGCUGUCUUUGAUGCGGAGGACUUACUGGAUGAGAUUGACACUGAAGCUUUGAGAUGCAAGCUGGAAGAAGGUGAAGAUCAAACUCACAAAUUUACCAAUAAGGUGCGGAACUUGCUCUUUUCUUCUCGUAGUCAUUUUUAUCAGAGCAUGAAUGAUAAGAUAAAAGAGUUACUAGCAAGGUUAGAAAACUUUGUACAACUGAAAAGUGCUCUUGGUCUGGGAGAAGUUGCUGGGAGGAAGGUUUCGCAAAGAACUCAAACAACCUCCUUGGUUCUUGAACCUUAUGUAUAUGGUAGAGAUGAAGUCAAAGAAAAGUUAUCAAAAGUUUUGCUAUCUGAUGAAGCAGGCAAGGAUCCUGUGUCUUUCCUCACCAUUGUUGGAAUGGGUGGGGUUGGCAAGACAACCCUUGCUCGAAUGCUUUACAAUGACGAUAAGGUGAAAGGGCAUUUUAAACUUAAAGCUUGGGCUUGUGUUUCAGACUACGAUGAUUAUAUUAAAAUUACUAAAACUCUCCUUGAGGCAGUCACUUCAAAGCCUUGUAACACGGCAAAUCUGAAUUUGCUUCAAGAAGAUCUAAGAGAGCAAUUGAAGGGAAGGAAAUUUUUAUUUGUGUUGGAUGACCUAUGGAAUGAGAAUAAUGAGGAUUUGAACUACCUUAGAGCUCUUUUUAUUACUUUAGGAACAAUGGGAAGUAAAGUCAUUGUAACAACACGGAGCAAAAAUGCAGCAUCUGUCAUGCAAAAUGUUCAUAUUCAAUACUUAGAACCAUUGUCGCAGGAGGACUGCUGGUUAUUACUUGCAAAACAUGCAUUUGGAAAUGUAAAGUGUAGUGCACAUUCAAACUUGGAAGAUAUUGGAAACCAAAUUGCACGCAAGUGCAAAGGGUUGCCUUUAGCUGCACAAACACUUGGGAGUUUGUUACGUUGCAAUAUGAAUUUCGAGUACUGGAAUAGAAUACUAAAUGAUAGUUUUUGGGACCACCCCUAUGAUAAAACUAACAUUCUUCCGGCUCUAGGGUUGAGUUACCAUUAUCUUCCUACUCAGUUGAAACGAUGCUUUGCUUAUUGUUCAAUUUUUCCAAAGGAUUAUGAGUUUGAAAAGGAAGAUAUAGUUCAAUUAUGGAUUGCAGAAGGUAUAAUUCCACAAGCUGAGAAUGGAAAUAGGAUGGAAGCAUUGGCUAGAAUAUACUUUGAUGAGCUGUUAUCACGAUCGUUGUUUCAAAAGUCAAGUAAAUUCAGCUUCAUUAUGCAUGAUCUCAUUAAUGACUUGGCUAUGUUCAUGUCUCAGGGGUUUUGCCUUAGGCUCGAAUAUGGGGUAUCCCAUGAAGUUAAAAGAGCUCGUCAUUUGUCAUAUGCUAGGGGAGCAUUUGAUGCUGCUCCAAGAUUUGAACCAUUAUAUGAGGCUAAAUGUUUGCGGACCUUCCUACCUACCUCUUUAAAUCCAUAUAGAUUUUAUGAAAGAUUUUUUGUAAGUAAAAAAGUUCUACAAGAUUUGUUGCCAUCACUAAGAUGUUUACGGGUGUUAUCAUUGUCACGUUAUCAAAAUGUUACUGUGUUACCUGAUUCUAUUGCAAACCUCAUUCACUUGCACUACUUGGAUCUUUCCCAUACCGCAAUUAAAAGGUUACCUGGGGUACUUUGCAAUCUCUUCAACUUGCAGACAUUACUAUUGUCAAAUUGUUCCUCACUCCAUGAAUUGCCUGCAGACAUUAGAAAAUUGAUUAAUUUACAGAAAUUGACAUUGGGCGGUUGUAGUUCUCUUAAUAAAUUGCCUGCAGGCAUGAAGGAGUUGACUAAUUUGCAUCAUCUUGAUGUCAGUGGAACUGAAAUAGUAGAGAUGCCGGUGCAAAUGGGUAGACUGAAAAAUUUGAGAACAUUGACUGCAUUUGUUGUGGGCAAAUCUACUGGGUCAGGCAUAAGAGAACUGAGCGAGUUCCCGCAACUUCAAGGAAAACUAUCAAUUUUGAAGCUACAAAAUGUAGUUGAUGCGAGGGAUGCACUGCACGCCAAUAUGAAGCUCAAGACAGAUCUCAAGGAGUUAGAGUUUUCAUGGGGUGCGCAGGAUGCUGAUGAUUCCCAAAAGGAGAAAGAUGUACUUGACAAGCUCCAGCCUUGCGUGAAUUUGGAGAAAUUAACCAUUGGAUUCUAUGGUGGAACCAAUUUUCCGAAUUGGUUAGGAGACUCGUCUUUUUCUAACAUACAAGUCAUGCAUCUCAGUGACUGUAGUUAUUGUUGGUCGCUCCCACCAGUUGGACGGCUGUCGGCACUCAAAGAGCUCUGUAUAAAAAGAAUGAAGUCUUUGAGGACGAUUGGCGUUGAAUUCUAUGGCAGAGAUGGAGCUUAUCUGACUCAGCCAUUUCGAUCUCUGGAGAAGCUAGAGUUUAUAGAGAUGCCGGAGUGGGAGGAAUGGGUACCAAGUGGAAGUGCAAGUGGUAGUGAAUAUGGUCCAGACUUUCCUCAUCUCCAGGAGCUGAUUCUAAACGAGUGUCCGAAGCUAAGAGGAAGUUUGCCUUGUGAGUUGCCUUGCUUGAAGAAGCUUACGGUGUAUGGGUGUAAGGUUUUACAUGAUGGAAGGGCCGCUACCGCAACUACCAAUAGUCUUAACUAUAAAUCUCUGGAAGAAUUGGAUAUAAGGGGUGGAUGCCAAACUCUGUUAUCAUUAUUAGAGACAAAGCUCCUGUCCCGACUUAAGAUUGAAAAUGUUGACGUACAGUGCUUGCCCAACUGCAAUCGUCUUCAACGUUUGACUCUUUUGAAUUGUCCAACGCUGUCGUCAUUCCCUAAAGAUGGCCUACCCACUACAUUGACAUCACUUACUAUACUCAAUUGUAGGAGAUUAGAAUUCCUACCUCAUGAGAUGUUGGCCAAAUUAACAUCGCUUGACUAUUUGGGCAUACAAAGUAGCUGUGAUUCAAUGAGGUCCUUACCGUUGGGCAUUUUUCCCAAAUUGACGACGCUUCAAAUUCUUGGUUGUGAGAAUCUGGAAUCUUUUUCCUUGAUUGAAGAAGAAGGAGCUGUUGAGAAUCUCAGCCAUCUCAAUUCCUUGCAAGUCAUUAACUGUCCAAAAAUGGUGUGUUUUCACGAGGGAGAAUUGCCCUUUCCCAACCUGAGUCACUUUGUAGUCAUUGACUGCGAGAAUUUGAAGUCAUUGCCCGAACGCCUUCACACCCUCACUGCCCUUCGAUCUUUGAAUAUAUGGAAUCUUCCGAAUCUGGAGUCAUUUGCAGAAGAUGGGGGUUUGCCUCCCAACCUCCGAUCUUUUAUCAUUAGGAAUUGUAAGAGACUGAGGGCACUUGACUCAGUGGGUUUGCAAGCACUUGUCUACCUUCAGAUCGAUGGAAGUGACCAUGUCUUGGAGACGUUGCUGCUCCCUACCACUCUUCACACUCUCUGCAUCUCUGAUCUAUCAACUCUGAAAUCUUUGGACGGAAAGGGUCUUGGACACCUCACUUCUCUUCAAACUCUAAAAAUUUACAGCUGUCCAAGUCUUCAAUGCCUGCCAGAAGAGGGUUUGCCGCCAUCUCUUUCUCAUCUGAGUAUCCGCU
rnacentral:lncRNA from 1 species